rnacentral:lncRNA from 1 species
UUAAGGGAACCUCUGCAGGCAUCCUGUAAUGAAUUAAAAAGAAAUAAAAUUAGUUGAGAAUCAACUAAGGAAGGUCGUCAAACAGUUGAUAGGGCCAAUGUGUAGUGAUAGGAAAACUAAUGUGACGAAACAAUGCCAAAGAGACUUAAGUAAAACAGAAAUCAGAUGGAAUUAACUAAUGAUGAUAGAGAGUGAAUAUGAGGAUUAUGGAUGAUUAAGAAAAUUGGAGUUGACGAUCAUGGAGUAAGGUUGCUGAAGGAAAACAUCAUUGUGAUGUAGGGAAAGCUCUCAACAGAGAGAGAGAAGCUCUCACAGAGGGGAGAGACAUAUCUAUGCAUACCUCCCUGAUGAGAACUUAAUAUCCCAUUCUUUUUGGAGAAUAAAUACUAGAAAGCUAACAUAUGAAGAUAGAAGAAAAACAGUUCUCGUAAUUUCUAGCCUAAAGAAGCUCUUUCAGUAAAACCUCCAAAUUUAAAUUGCACGCACGUACUUAUGUGCAAUUAAUCUUGAGCUUCUGUGGCCGAAGAAUCAAUCUUGAAGUUCACUCUAUUAAUGCCAGUGAUCUUCCAUUAUUUUUGUAGUGUUCUAAUUCUACGCAGGGUCACACGACAUCGUCAACAUGUCAAAUGGUGAAAACAGUAACUGCCACAGUGCUUCUAUGUUCAUACACUAACCAAAGGACCAGCCAACUUUUCCCUCGACAGCGCCUGUGAAUAUUACUUUGUCUACACCUUUGCUAACAGUAAUCAUUGUUCUUAGGGCCAAAAAUUAGCUGUUACUGUAGGCGAAACUUCCAAAGCCCCGACCUCCAGUCCAGCUGGAUCCCCAUAGCUACCAGCCCCAGCCACUAGGACCACUCCAUCUCUGCCACCACCUAGAAGGUGAUGCUUCAUAUCUGUGUAACACUGCUAGUCCUGUUCAAGAGUUCAUUAUACAUUAAAUCAUUAAUUUUUACUAGAUAUAGGUGGACUAUGGAUAGAUUGUGAGAUGUUGCUACUCAUCAUAAAGUUAAUGAACUUGCAAAAAUGCUUCUUCUCAUAAUUCUAGCAUGAUCCAUAUAAAUAACAUUGCUCAAACUUGUAAUAGAUCAUAAGCUUCUUUGGAACAAAUAUAUGGUUCUGCUCCCAUAUUCUGAAGUUCGGCUCUAUUUCCAGUUCCGAUAUCAUGAAAAUCAAGUUAUUAGAAAAAUUAGAACAUGGCAGGAGACAAAAACUUGCAUACUGGAAAGUCGAAAUGGAGGAUCACUAGAAUAAAUCCUCAUUGGCAUAGCUAAAAAGUCCCACCUUUGGAAUGACAAAUAAGCAGAAGAGUAAAUCACACGGUGACGGGAAAAAUGGUGUGAAUCUUGUUAGGAUCAAACUCAACACAAACAGUCGAUCAAGAACUAAAAUGACAAUGAAACUAUGAACUCACUCUUGCAGUCCUGCAACAUAUCAAAUUCACACCUGAUGAUUAGCUUGAAAGAAACCAACAAAUUUUGGGGAUCCAGAGUGCCGCAAGUCCAGCAACAUGACUGCUCUCUUUGCUUAUGUGUUUUUGUACUUUGCCUCUUGAAGCUUCCCCGAUAAUCGACAUGUCAAUCAUUAAAUUGCUUCAAGCAAUCAUAUGAGAACAGAAAAAAGAGAAAAUUACAGUUGCAAUAUCCCAGAACAAUAAUAACCCCAAUUCAAGCAAUCAGGAAAAGAAAGCAAAUUCACAUUGUUUCUAGUGUGAAAUUUCACUCGCCCACCUUAAGAAGCUGAGAUGACUAUGGUCAAAGGGAUUUUCUUAAAGAGCUGCUUGUUCUUUCAACAUUUUCUAAUUUCCACUGUAUCGACGUCAUGUAUAAACCCGUAUGCCUCAACUGAAGAUAAAAGUUUAACUUGCCAUGGAAACAAAACAAACACGCUACAGAUGACCUGUGAGCAAGCAGAACGACCUUCAGAUCCGAAACUAGAAAAGAGAUUAUUAAUCUAAAAGUCCGGUUCCUGAUAUCAUGUUGAGAUUGAGCAAUCAUAGUGGAUGCAGAGGACAAAUUAUUUUCUCAAAAGGCACUCUUAAGUCUGCCACUCCAUCAAGGGCUGACAGUUACAUUCCUUUCAUGAUCGAGAGAAAGAUUUCAUUCCAACUAAGAAACAUGAAUCACUCAGUAAUGUACAAAAAAGAAUCACUCACGGAUGAUUCACCAGGACUGUUAGCUUCAUUCAUAUUUUUAUUAAGUCUAAGAUUUUGCCUUAUUAGGGGACAGGGAUCAUCUCAUAGAUUGAACUAUCCCCAGAAUGUGAUCUCAUGAAUAACUGACAUAACAACUGGGGAAAGCUCAAGACAAUUCACAUAUUACAAUUCACAUAUUAGCUUGCAUGUAGAAGUGUCUAAAACUUGUGGAGCUCCUAGUCUCCAAGCCCUCGGGGUUUAAUUGGUUUGUUGCAGUCUCGUGUGACAAUUGACGAGCAUUAGGAAAUCUCUAUACUUUAUAGGUAUCUCAAUCCUGUGAGUCCUGGAAUGGCUGAUAGCUCCCAACAAGCUAUCACUAACGAGUUCCUUAAAUCUUCAAAUUUCAACACAUUUGGGAAUUUUGCUAAUGACUUACAUCCUUGAAUACACAAACUUUUGCAGGAUGAGAAUACGUCUAGGCUUUGAAUGUCAUGUAGCUUCUCACAAUGGCUGAUGUUCAACCUUCUUAGGGUUUCCAAGCACAAUAGAUCCAAUAACUUCUAAGGAAGGCGCAACCACAAAUAUCCAAUAUUACCAAAAAAAAAAGAAAAAUCCAAACCAUCAGGACCAGUUUCAACUAGACUCUUGCACCGACCCAAAAAAAAAGAAAAAGAAUCUUGCAACAUGAAAGCCCUGAAAUUCUAUAAACUCGAAAGUUUUGGUUAUCUUUCAAUGGAUGUGCGAUUACAUAUAUCCAAUCUUACCAAUAAUCAACCUCUCAUGGCCGUGCAUUUCAACUAGAUUCCCGCAAUCUGCAGCAUAUAAUCCCUUUAGACAUUUUGAACUUGAAAGGUCUUUUAACUUUUAAUGGAUUGCAAGAUCUAUUAAUCAUUUUGAUGGACAUGCAUUUAUAGACAUUAAACCUUCUCAAAGAUUCUAAUCAAUCAACCAAGGCCUCCAACUUCAGCUAGAUUCUUGCAAGUUGCAGUGUGAAAUUUGAAGUUUUUAAACUGGAAAAGUCUAGCAAUCUUUUAACAAAACUGUGCCCAGAGAUAUUUGAUCUUGCCACUAAAUUCAACCUAUAAACACCAUGAAUUUCAACUAGAAUGGACGUGCAUCCAGAGAGAUACAGACCGCCUCCAGAUAUUCUAAAUGGGUCAAAGCCUCAAACUGCAACGAAAUUCUUGCGGUUUGGCGCAUCUGAUUCUCUUUUAACCUUGAAAGGACAAGUGAUUGAAUGGACAUGCGACCAGAGAUAUUCAAACUUACCAAGCUCUUGCAAUUCGCAACACAUGAUAGCCUCGGACGUUUCGAACUCGAAAGGUCCCACGAAUGUCGACUAGAUUCUUGCGACACACAGCAAUUUGUUUGGCUUUUAUUAGCCCAAAGGACUUGUCACGAAUCAAUUCGGCCAUCCACGUAUGAUAUGGAAGAGAGAGCUUUGAUAGUCGGGCGGGAAGCCCUAGGAGACAUUCGAGCGGACGUCAAUCAUAAAGAGUAAGAUCCUUGAGAAGGGUUAGUUUGGAAUGAUAUGGUAACGAUGGAGCUGGGAAAGUGAUAUGCAGAGCUGUUAAGCUGGAGGGCGGUUCCGGUAUUUCUUGAAGAUUCUUGCAAAAUCGAAGGCUGAGAUGUUGGAGAGAAGAGAGCUUCGAAAUUCUUUCCGACAAGCCCAAAAUGUAAAAGUUUUCCUAAUGUACACUACAUUAAUUGAUAUUAUAUACCGUUUUAUGGGAUUGGUCUAAGGUGAGAUCGAAUAUUUUUUAAUUAGUCUAUUAUUAGCCUGGUUAGUGUGGACCGAGUUGAGCUUGGCCCGUAAUGAGAGGGUCUGGUUAGAAACUUUAUAAAUAGUGCUCAAGUCGCUCGUGCGUGCGUUGGACGCUCGUGCGACAUGUGUUCAACGCACGUGCGUGGUGCGACGCGCAUGCGAAGGCUGAUGUCACAAUGACGUCAGUGACUUGGGACACGUGUGACAUUCUAAAAUUUCAUUCUGCUUUCAAUUGACGAUUUGUGGAAGUUAUUAAGAGAUUUUAAUGCAAUAGACUUGAGGAUUUGGCUAGGAAUCGGUUAUUCGACCGUGCUUAUCCGCAGAGAUCAAAGCCUCAAACUGCAACUAAAUUCUCGCAGUUUGGCGCAUUUGAUUCUCUUUUAACCUUGAAAGGACGAGUGAUUGAAUGGACAUUGUCGCAACCUUCCCGAAGGUGAAUUACUCAAAAGGGCUAAUGGAUUACUAAGUCCGAAGACUUGGCAUGGACUCUCCCAAGUCUUACCAAUCACGAUUUGAUAUUAAGAAAUUAACCAAUUUAAACAUGCAAUUAUACUCAAUUUGGAGCCGCCACUAACCAAUUAGGGUUGAUUAGAAACUCAAGUAAAGUAUAUGAGAAUACUUUACUUUUGCGAAUGAGAGAUUCAAUAGAUCCGAGGACUUGGUUACACUAGAUUUCAUCUAAUGCACUUUCGGUACCGUUUCUUUUUAAUUUUCAAAAGUAUUUUUUUUGUAGGUAGCUUAGAUUUAUUUUAACUUAAAUUUCUAUCAUACAAAUGGGUGAUCACACGGGAACUCAAUCAUUUUUAAACAUUCAAUAAAUUGAAUUGCAUCAAAAGAAUUAAACAUACAAACCAAACAAUUAUUUUUUUGGAUUUUCUUGAAAAUUAGAAUUCUUUUAUAAAAAAGCAUUUUUUAAUUAAAUGACUUAAACUUAUUAAUAUGCAAAUUCUAAUUAAAUGGGCCUAUUAUGCAAACUAGUUAUUAUGCACCUCAUAACCUAGCUUCAUUAAUGAACAAAUUUUGAUUAAAUGAUCCUAUUAUGCGAACUAGUUAACAUGCACCUAGUAUUCUUGUAUUUUUUUUUAUUGAAAUUCAGAAUUAAUAAAAACCCUAAUUAAACUAUCUAAAAAAGGAUAAUUUUUUAAUUUAUUCUAGGGAUUAAUUUGACUUAAACCCUAUCCUUUCUUAGAAAACUAUUUUUUGAAAAAUGAAAUAAUUAAAAUGUGCAAACAUUAUCUAAAAAAUUAAUUUAGGUCAAACCCUAACUUAUUUCAAAAAAUGCAACCCUAAAAAUGUAAUCCUAAGAAAAUUUUAAUUUACUAAACCUACAUGUCUGAUUUACUAAGCCUAUAUGCUCAUGCAGAAUUUUUUUUUUUUGGAUUUUUUUUAGUUUUUUUAAAGAUAAGUAAUUAUUAAAUAAAUAUUAAAUCUAAGCUAUCAACAAAAUAAAGGAUUAAAAUAAUAAAAAAAUAACCUGUUAUCUCACAGGUCAAAUUAACGAUUAUCAUAACCCUAAUUAUCACGACAAUGAUAUCAAAAUAAUUAAAAAACUGAUCUGAAGUCUUACGGAUCAAAUUAAUAAUUAUAAUGAUUUAAUAAUUAAAAUUCUACCCAAAAGCCCCAAAAUUAAUAUAAUUUUUAAAAAUAAUCCAAUGUCUCUCGGAUUAAAUUAAUAAUUAUAUUAAUUCUGGACAAAAUCCUAGCAAAUAAUGCCUACAAAAUGCAAAAAUAUUAAUAUUGACAAACCAUAUUCUAACUUAAAUAAUAAUAAAAAAAUUUAAAAUUUAAAAUGACAAUAAAAUGAAAAAUAAACUACCUAGGUGAAAUUUGAAAAAGAGGAAUGGCGACGAUGGGCGUCGCCGAGCGGAGGAUGGCCGGCGUUGGAGCUUCGGCGAGGGGACCGGCACGCAAUGAGGGAAAAACAACAGCGAGCAGUAGUUGUUGCCUGGGUCAAAGGGUCGUUGCAAAAAAAAAAAAAAGAGAGCGGGUGUAGAAGCGUCGCUUGGAGGAAGAGCGUCGGACGUUGAGCGGGUGGAGCGGCUUGGCAGUAGCGUCGGGUCACUAGACAGAGGUCGCGGUGGUCGGAUCUAAUUGUAGGAAUGACAGAGACCGGCACAGGGGUGCGGUGACGCGGCUGGGUCACGGGUAGAAACGGCUUCGCUGCUAGAAUCGCAAGGGGGUCGAGCGAUGAUGAUGAUGAGUGACUCGGGCAAGAACAGAGGCGCGGAGCAAUGGUGUCGCGGUGAAGCAAGGCGGUGACUUCGUCGGAGGGGAGUUUGGCGACCAGCCCUGGCAUUGCUCGGGCGUACGGUGGCUCGAUAAUUGGCGGGUGGAGGCGCAGCAGGGCGAGCUCGCGGGUUGCAGCAGCAGCAGUUGUCAGGGGAGCUUGGAACAAGAGUGGUGCGAGUGGUGGGCUACAGAUCUGGCUCGGGUCUGGCUCUGAUGGAGGCUCAGCGAAGGUUGGCAUGGCUCACGGAUGGCAAGAGGGUCGCGGGCCAGCAGGUCGCAAGCGAAGCAGGGAUAGUGGCGGAGUUGGGCUGUCGUUCGGCAGAGAAACUAGGCAGCAGGUAGAAGCAACGGCGAACGGGCCACAGGCAGAGCGUGGCGAGGACAGCAGCUUUGGCGUCAGGCUUCACAGAUGGCGACUGGUGGCACGGAAGCUGGCAGCGGCACAAGAACUAGUGACUGGAGGGCGUCGGCAGGGGGCUCGAAGAAGAGAAACAGUGAUUUUUUUUUCUCUCUCCACUGUAUGUCUGGUCACUUCCUUUGCAAUGCACUAUUGCGGCUGUACCUUCAGCAGAGGCUUGGUCCUUCUGCUGACUUUGCUAAAAGAAAACACUAAAGAAACUUUUCCCUUUUCGCUUCUCUCCUCUCGAGGACUCCACGGAUGACUCCCCUCUCUCUCUUCCCUGCCUCUGUCUUCUGCUUUUCAGCAUAAGAGAAAAAAAAAUUUCUCUCACAAAAAUUCUAUUCCCUUUCGUGAAUGUUUCGAAAACUCAAUCAUAAAGCCCCCACCUCUUUCACGUCUCGCACUCUUUACUGAUAAAAGGAAAACUCGAGUUUGUUUCUGCAAGUUCUGAUUUUCACUCAAUUUCUCAACAAAAAAGUGGCUCCAAAAUCACACGGCUGUUGAAUUUUUGAAAUUCAAUUUUUUUUUCAAAAUUUCCCUGUAAUCAAAUAUUAUCUUCUAUUCUAAAAGCUAAAUUUAAAUUAGGUGUCAACAAACAUGCGACCGGAGAUAUUCAAACUUACUAGGCUCUUGCAAUUUGUAACACACGAUAGCCUCGGACGUUUCGAACUCGAAAGGUCCCACGAAUGUCGACUAGAUUCUUUCGACACACAUCAAUUUGUUUGGCUUUUAUUAGCCUAAAGGACUUGUCGCGAAUCAAUUCGGCCACUUAUGAUAUGGAAGAUAGAGCUUCUAUAGUCGGGCGGGAAGCCCCAGGAGACAUUCGAGCGAACGUCAAUCAUAAAGAGUAAGAUCCUUGAGAAGGGUUAGUUUGGAAAGAUAUGGUAACGAUGAAGUUGGGAAAGUGAUAUGCAAAGUUGUUAAGCUAGAGGGCGGUUUUGGUAUUUCUUGAAGUUUCUUGCAAAAUCGAAGGCUGAGAUGUUGGAGAGAAGAGAGCUUCGAAAUGCUUUUCGGUAAGCCCAAAAUGUAAAAAUUUUCCUAAUGUGAACUACAUUAAUUGAUAUUAUAAUUUACCAUUUUACGGGAUUGGUCUAAGGUGAGAUAUAAUGUUUUUUAAUUAGUCUAAUAUUAGGUUGGUUAGUGUGGGCCGAGUUGAGCUUGGCUCGUAAUAAGAGGGUCUGGUUAGAAACUUUAUAAAUACUGUUUAAGUCGCUCGUGCGUGCGACGUGCGUGCGUUGGACGCUCGUGUGAUGUGCGUGCAAUGCGCGUGCGUGGUGCGACGCGCAUGCGAAGGCUGAUGUCAUGAUAACGUUGUUGACACCUAAAUUUUUGCCCAAAAAUAUUUCAUUCCGGCGCUAAUAAAAACAUUGGCGUAAACAAGUCCUCGUUCCUAGAAAUCUUUUGUUGUGUAGGAAUUAAGACAACACUCCCGUGUCUUGAUUGGUUUCUAGCUGACCCCAAUAGGCUAGUGGCGACUCCUAGAAUUACAUAGGUUGUUAAGAACUAAAAUUCAAAAUCCAAUGUUGCGCGAGAUAUGGGCUUGGGAGAGCUUGCGCCUAAUUUAGGGCCAUUGGUCCACCUCUUUAGGCAAAUACCCCUAAACCUUCUUCUUUUUCCCCGAACGGAAAAAAAAGAGGACCUAGUUGCAAACCUUAGAGGACUUAGGCCGUAAUAACUUGGUUGGUUGUUCACUAACAUGGUCUUCAUUUGAUAGCGCGUGUCAAAGUCGCGUGGAAAACAAGGUUAGUCCGCUAACAAAGUGUUAAAUGUUUUUGUAGGUUUGGAGUAAUAAGGGGUGGAGUGUUUGUUAACCCAUUUCUUUUGCAGGGAAGUGUAGGAAUGUAUGUCUAUAUGGAUGAAAUUGAAGUGUUGUUUGGAUAUCAAUUGUUGUGCGUGCCUUCAUACUUGCACUACACAUUUACACACACAACCCGCGAUCUAAAACCCUGAUCUCACUAGGAAGCCCAUAGGAGGUGCCAAAAGAUGGAACCCGUGCGGGGAAUGUCCCAUGGUUAUCCACUUUUGGUCCCGCUCAUUAUGAUUGAUGAUAAAGAGAACUGUCCGACGUAAGUGCGGAGUGGGGAAAAAUCUUUUGAUCUAAUCAAAAUCGGGACUUUAAGCCCUUAGAAUUCCACCUUUAUAUGUCAAACCUCACAAUUUUACAUCCGCAUGUCUAUGUGAUUGAAAAAAAAAAGUAUCUUCACCCACUGUAAGUAUGAUUUCUCUAUCUACUUGCUCACCUCGGAUUGAAAUUUUCAUUUUUUGGAGAUUCGCGGAAAUCAAUGGAAUGCCCUUGAAAAUAUAGGCUUGACACUUACUCUUGAUAAACAAACAUUUCAAAUGCAUCUGAUCUGGCUUAGAUUAGAACAUAUGUUUUUGUUUAAAUUUUCAAUUACAAACUCAAAGUCACAUUUUGUAUAGAAAUUCUUCCAAGUCAAGAUUACAUUUUGGGGCAUAGAAUUAAAAUCAAAUUUUCAAGAAAAUUCUUGGUCGCAUUUCGAAAUUCAAAUCACAUUUUGUGUAUUGAUUUCUCAAAGUAAAAAUCACCUCACCUUUGCAUUAGUGAAAUUACAAAUUAAUCUUUCAAAAUCAAUGCCCCAUUUGUGUAUGAAACUUUUGGAACGGAGUGGGCAUUCAAUUGAUAGCCGCGGAUUGAUCUUUUAAUGAAAUCUCCUCUUACUAAUAAAAUCUUGACGAAAUGACCAAAUUCUCAUAAGUGGAUACUACGGAGAAGGUAUUGUCGCCUUGAUUUCAUUGUAAGAGGCGGCUUUAUUGAAAGAUCAAUUUUUCAUUCAUGUACUAACAUUAUCUUCCUUUUGCAGGUCAUGUGUGACAACCAUUCAUUGAACUCCUCUUGCUUGACCAUGCCAAAAGUGGACUUUAAAGCUAGGAUGAGAAUUGUGUUUAUUAUGCUCCUCUACGAAAGAGCUUCUUGUACUUUAUCAGUCAUUAUUCCUAUUAGGAACUGUGUUUUGCAUUUUGGGUUUUGAUUGUGGACCCAAUCAAAUGCUUUUGUAAAUCAUACAACUCAAAUUUUUGAAUAAUGAAGUUAGAGUUUGUAAAAAUCAUAUCCUUUAAAACACUUCAAACACACCAUUUGGGCUUUUUAUGCCUUAGCUUCAAAAUGUUUGAAAAUGAGUUUUAAGAAGAACUUGCAAAAUAUUUUAUCUCUUCACUUAAUCGCUUUCGCAGGUUGAUCUGCAGAAUGAUGCUUUGAGGGGGUAAGGUUGUAAUCAUUCCAAUAGGAAUUUCUUAUUCAAAAACUAACUCGACCAUCCAUUUUUGUCAAAUAGGUCAAAUGACGGUUUUGUUCAAGAUUGACAAAAGCGCGGACCUUUCCCUAAUAGACAUAUGAAUUCAAAUAUUGUGAUUAUGUGUGAAAAGAACCAUCAAAGUCUCGAAGAUCACAAAUCUAUUGGUCUAAUGAAGUUCCACAUCUUGGACGACCUCAUAUUAAUUUGACAUUCUUCGUGGAAGAAGAAUUUUGUAGACACUCUUUGGCAUCAAACUACUUUGUUGGUUGCAAAUAAGAAGCAAUUGCAAUCUCUACACUUCCAAUGGUUUCUUGGCAUCCAAUCCUAUAUGGAGAUGAUUAUUGAUGGUCUACAAGACAACACUUCAAGAUGUAGAUGUACACAAACAAGAAUCGGUCAUCAAAUGUCGCCUUCAAAUAAAAGGUGGUAAUCGUUUCAAGUUAAAUUCGAUUUAUUUUAGGAAUGACUUGUCCUUGCACUUUGUGCAGAUUUUAGUGAGGCAAAUUACUGGCAAAUAACAAGAUUACAUGGGGAGGACAACAUGGUCCAGAAUUACACGAUCUCUAAAAGAAAAGAGUGUUCGUUCCAAAAGUCAAAACAACUCAUUCAUAAACUGACAUAGCCACCCAUGCUUACAGAUUGUGAAGUGGGAAAUGCAUUGAUGCAGCAAAAAUGGCGAAAAAUCACCUAGCCUAAAAGGGGUAUGCGGGAAACGGAGUAAAGCAUGAAGGAUUCAAAUGAAACGAAGAUUCAUCAAUCCAACAUAAUGGAGCUGCAUAUGGACAAGUUAUCUAACUUAGUGUGGCAUGCAUUCAACCAUAAGGACAAUAUCUUCCCUUCCUCCACAAAGAUAUGAUGAGAUGUUGAAUUGCCCGACUUUGAAAAAGGGUGUACUUCAUUCCUGAACCUAAUGUACCUAAGAAUAGAAAUAAUACAUUGUUUCCAUAUGUGUAGGAAAUUUUAAUUGGGGCAGAUGGCCACAAAAUGGAUUGGGGGCACGCAAUGCUUAAGUCGCCAAACUUCUAAAAAGGAAAAGAUUCAAAUGGAAUAGACAUUUGCCAAGUGAAUUGCUGUCAAUCAUGAGAGCAAAUCCAUCCCCAUAGCCAAGGAAAUAGGAUGGAACGUGGUCAUAAAAUGGACUAUGUCGAAUAUGAAAAUAUCAUAUUACGUCUCUUUUUCCUUGCAGUUGAUAAAUGGGGCAAGUCACUCGAAGUAGAUUUAGCACAAAAAGGGAGUAUCGUCCCUAAAUUAGUCCAAUUCAAUUUUGGAAUAUAAGUAACAUGCCCCAUCUCUUGUAGGAAAAUGUGCACAUUGACCGCUGGAGCAACACCUUAGACCAAGAAGGCAUGCUAAGGCCCAACCAUCCAUUUUGAUGGAAUAAAUGGAGUAAAACAUCCAAGGAGCAAUGCCCUCACAUGCCGAAACAAAGAGUACCCCUCUCCUUUCAUCUUUGACAUCCACUUAGAACGAGUGAAUUCGAUAACAUUUUUGAAAGCAAGAUCUUCAAGGAAAUGUUAACACUUGAGGAGCAAAAGCACAUCAAGAGGAAACACAAGACAUUUGAAGUCAGAUGCAGGAGAAGGGUAAUUCGGUAUCAUUUCCAAAAUGCCCCUCUCUAACUUCAUGUUUGACGUAGUUCCCUUGUUUGACAGGAAGCGUCGGUGUUCGAGGAACAAACUCGAGAAAUUGAUUUAAGCAUAAUCUAUAUCGACCAAGCAAGCAUUCGGAGGUAAUACGUGUCAAAUUCACCUACCUUGAUUUAAAAGAUGUGUCGUUCUAGAGCCGGUUAAAUUAAAUAAAAAAGGAAGCACCCCAUGGACAUUACCAGCGCUUCGGCCUGGUGGUAUGGGGAAUGAAUGAACGGGUUCGAUCCCUAGAAACGGCAACGAGGUUGCCAUGUAAAAAAAAAAAAUUUUUUUUGCAUCUCUUAUUUUUGCAAAAAGAAGAAAAUGCUUGAACUAAUGAGACCAAAGACCUGAGAUUCUCUUCAAGCUUAAAACAGUACGUUCAUUCCGCUAUUUGCCGCCAAAUAGUGAAAUUGACCAAGGGUAAUGUUGUAUCGUUUCCAAUUUUACAAUCCCUAAGGAUUCAUGUACUAACACAUUCCCUUUUGUUCUUCGUAGGGUCGCCUGACUACUAAAACACAGGUAAGUACCCUUCUCCUCAAAAUCAAAUGGAAAAUAAAUGGAGAAUUUCCAUCGCAAAAAAAAGAACAUUUAGUGUUUUUCUAGAAACAAGCGCAAAAAAUGGAAAUUAAAGAAACAAGUUUUCCACAAGGUUUGCAAAAAUAUUUUUUACCUUUAAAUUGUCCAUCCACUCGAUGGAUCACUCAUUUCGAAUCAAAGUUCUCUAUGGAGAUUAAUCCACUCAGAUGAUCUCAACAAAAAUGAAAGGCGAUGUUGCUUAUGCCAAGCGAGAAACACUUAGGAUGAGGAAAGGCAACCCAUUUCCAAACAUGUCCUUUAAACACUCUGGAAUUCGAGUGAAAAAGAAAGCUCGUGUUGUUUGAGGUCAAUGAAUUAAUUCGCAAGAGGUACAUAGAUCAAGAUGAUAAGAGGCAUUUCUUUCCUCUAUCAUACACACUACAUGUGACAAUAGUUAGCCCAUUUAAGCCUUUUAAUGUGAAGAAUUUUCUACAAAAUACCCCUGUCAAGAACUACCCCACGAUGGGGCAAUUAUGGAGGUUUAGGUUGACAUUAUUUGGAGAGGGAAGAUGAGAAAGGUUUCUUUACUCUCACUUGCAUAAAUCUUUUUUGUGGUAACUUCAGGUGAAUUCUUAUGGAAGCUCGAAGGAUCCCAAGGUGAAGAAGAGCAUUCUUUUCUCUACCCAAACACCGAUACCCUUUGCUUAAACCAUAUUGAGCCUAACUAUUCAUUUCUAAAACCCGAGUGGUGAUUAUCUCCCCACAUUGGGGCAGGGUACAUGAUUUACCAAUGCAAUUGGUGUUUAUAUGAGAAUAUGAAAAGCAUCUUGAAAGUCCCAAGAGCUCAAAAAGUUUGAAAGAACAAAAGUCAAGUGAAAAUUAAGGGGCAUGAAAAAGCAGUGUGCCUGGUAAAAGCAAGGCCAAUGCCCACAAAAAAAAGGGAGAGAGAGUGGAAGAAAAACAAUUGCAUCAAGAGGAAUAUCUCUGUGAAAGCAAAAAUGGCAAAAAAAAUGCCUGCAUUGAAAAGAAAAUCAUUGCAAAUGCAAAAGCCAUUAUGUUAAGAUGAUUAGUCAAAGGACUUUCAAGACAAUUUGAAUUCUAACCAUUGAGUGCUUUAAAAAAAAUGGAUGAUAUGGUAAUGAUGCCAUGAUAAUCACCAACUCCCAAAUCCCCCUUUGACAAAAAGUUCUAAGCCUUUUGAGCUAAGCAUUUUGUUCUAAGCCUUUUGAACCUUUCCCCGAAUCAACAUUACAACCCAUUUCCAAAGUCUCUUCAGAUUGGGAUGAUUCAAAGUGGAAAUAAGGACUUCCUAAAGAAGAUGCCGCUCGAAGAAGUGAGAGCAAGGUUGUCUUUUCUCAUCUUAAGGUUUCUUGACUUGUAAACCCAGCGAAGAUGUCGAUCAGUGAUUAAUUCAUUUCAUAGCCAAUGAUGCUUAUCCAUUGCUAAAACCAUGACCAAACCCGCACUACGGUUCUUUCAAAAGACCUCUUUGAUUGGUCAAUGUGUACUUAUUGCGAAUGAUUCAAAGCCUUGCACACUAGAAGAGUGAGGUUGAGUGAUCAGUUUAUUUCCCACAUGAACAGAUGGGAUCAAACAACCAUUUUCUUGAGGAUAUGCGAGAAGCCCUUUCUGACUAGGGGUCCUUGCUUGGCAUACUUAACAAACCUUUCUUAUAAGUCAGGGUCAUUUCGACAAGGACUUUUCUCCCAAGAGAAUUUGACGAUUAAUGAUAUCAUCCGAGCGUGAUGAUAGUUUUGCGAGUUUGUCAAGUUGUCAGAAUUAGUUUGAUUUGUUUAUGCAAUCAUUGCCUUCUCAUUACUGAUACACUCUUGAUAUUGUUUCUGAUGACAUAUGCUAAAAUUGAUCUCAUCUAGUGUGCUUUCGCUACUAGAAUACUUGUUAUAAUGAAUUCUAUUUGAUGUGCAGUAUCCACUUCAGAAUAUUCUCGAAUGACAGGUUUCUCUAGAAAAACCACACGAUUUUCAAGAGGUUCUUGGUUAUCCUUAAACCUUGCAAUUUCAAUCCUUAAACCUUGCAAUUUCAAGUGGUUCUUGGUUAUCCUUAAACCUUGCAAUUUCAAAUGGUUCAUGGGUUAGCCUUAAACCAUGCAUUUUCAAAAGGUUCUUGGUUAUCCUUAAACCAUGCAAUUUCACACGGUUCAUGGGUUAGCCUUAAACCAUACAAUUUUCAAAAGGUUCUUGGUUAUCCUUAAACCUUGCAAUUUCAAAGGGUUCAUGGGUUAGCCUUAAACCAUGCAUUUUCAAGAGGUUCUUGGUUAUCCUUAAACCUUGCAAUUCACAGGGUUCAUGGGUUAACCUUAAAUCAUGCAUUUUCAAAAGGUUCUUGGUUAUCAUUAAACCUUGCAAUUUCAAAGGGUUUAUGAGUUAUCCUUAAACCAUGCAUUUUCAAGAGGUUCUUGGUUAUCCUUAAACCAUGCAAUUAUAAAGGUUCAUGGGUUAGCCUUAAACCAUGCAUUUUCAAAAGGUUCUUGGUUAUCCUUAAAUCUUGCAAUUUCAAAGGGUUUAUGAGUUAUCCUUAAACCAUGCAUUUUCAAGAGGUUCUUGGUUAUCCUUAAACCAUGCAAUUCUAAAGGGUUCUUGGAUUAGCCUUAAAUUAUGCACUUUCAAGAGGUUCUUGGUUACCCUUAAACCAUGCAAUUCCAAAGAGUUCAUAGGUUAGUCUUAAACCAUGCACUUUCAAGAGGUUCUUGGUUAUCCUUAAACCAUACAAUUCCAAAAGGUUCAUGGGUUAGCCUCAAACCAUGCAUUUUCAAGACAUAAUUUCAAAGGGUUCAUGGGUUAGCCUUAAACCAUGCAUUUUCAAGAGGUUCUUGGUCAUCCUAAAACCAUACAAUUUACAUGGUUAGUGGGAUUGCCUUAAAACCACAUGGUUAGUGGGACUGCCUUAAACCACAAGGUUCGUGGGACUGCCUUAAACCACACGGUUAGUGGGACUGCCUUAAACCACACGGUUAGUGGGAGUGCAUUAAACCACAAGGUUCGUGGGGCUGCCUUAAACCACAAGGUUUGUGGGUAUAUCCUUAAACCACAUUUUUCAAAGUAUUCAUAGGUACAUCCCUAAACCACGCUCUUUACAUUAAGCUCAUUUGCAUUUUCAUUUUACUAUUGUAAAAAAAAGAAGAAGCAAAAACAAAAAAACAAAAAAUUAGGCGUCACCUUAUCUUUGAAAGAAACUUCUUUGAGCUUCCUUCUAAAAAGGGGCAGCUGUUGACACCUAAAUUUUUGCCCAAAAAUAUUUCAUUCCGGCAUGUAGAUUAUCUAGGUGUUUAAUAUAGUUUUUAAUGGAAUAUAUUUUUCCUAAAAGAAAAAAAAAAGAAGCAAGUUGGGGCCAAUGAUCUGAAUGUGACUAGCCAAGCCUAGGAGAUCAUAUUGUAAUUAAAACGGCAAGUUGAGGCCAAAAUGCAAUUUCCAAAAGUUGAGGGAUCAAUUUGCAAAAUUUGCAAAAUUUUGCCCGAACCAUUAACUCAUUAUGUUGGCCCUCAAUUGAGUUGAAAUUGAACUUGGGUAAGGUAUAAUUAAUCGAAUCGGGCAAAAAGGACAUAAUUGCAUUGAAUUUGGCAUUUUCGGGCAAGAAAAUAGCCAACUUUGAGGGACUUUUUUGCAAAAUUGGGUGGGCACAAUUGCGAAAUCUGGUCGAGAUCUUAAACCACUAUACAUGAACUUGCUAAUUGAUCAAAAACCGCAGCCAAAGUGAUGGAUUAAAGCACCCAAACCAGCUGCCAAAUCUCAGUCCACGAUUAAGUCUUAAUUCGAAGCUGCUAAGUAGCCAUAUUGGUGGCCCCACCAUAUCCCACUCAGCCACUCAUUUAGGUUAAUCUUUGCAUGUGAUGGAAUACCGUAUAUAGUAGUACAAGUGGACGAAAAUUCGACAGGGAUAAGCUGCUGAAAACACCGGAAAAUCGCAGCAAAACCUGCACACUCAACAGCUGCAGAAUUGAAAAAAAUUGGCUUAAGUCAGAGAGUGGGUGAAGUAGCCCUAUUGAUAGGCCUGGUAGGUGGACAAAAGGCUGACCAAAAAUUCUCUAAUUCAGGGGAUAAGAUCUACGAAAUUAGUUCUUUUCGAGGACGAGAGAAAGGGACGAGAGAGGGAGGAGAGAGCUCCGAAUCGAUCCCCAAAGAAGCCCUCAGAAGCAACUCCAGAAAAGAGAAACCUAGAAAUUUCAGACCGACCUGGAGAGAGAAAAGUGAGAUUUUCACACAUCUGUGGCCAAAAUUAGCCAAAACCUUAAACUAGAGAGUGAAACUUCAUUCAAAUAUCUUUCCAACCAUAGGUCGAAUGUUCCAAAUGGAGAUCGACAAGGCCUCCUAAAGCCCCCCGAAAUAGUGCCCUCCUGGCGGGCCAAGAAAGUCCGAAAUCUUUUCUAAGUGUUGAGACUGGUUGGUCACGAGUGAGGGAAAGCUAGUGUUUUUUGAAAAAUUUGAUAGAUAAAUGAGGAAAAUAUUGACCUUUACCCCAAACUAGAAUACAUAUAGUUUGGCGUGGUUCAAUUUUUCCAACAAAAGACGUCUUGAAGUCUAAUGUUAGAGGUCAACGAAAACCUUCAUUGUCAGUUCUUUUUUUUUUUUUGCAGAUCUCAUUUCCAGUUGAAGAAGCCAAACAGGCCCCCGAAGAUAAUUUUUUCAGUUUCAUCGGCCAAGAACCACUUGAAAAGGAAACUAGGAAGUAAGGUAAGCAUCCUAGAUGUACUUAUUUUCGAGUUUGAACAUGUUUUGAUCAUGAAAAUCAAGAGGAAAACUAGCCCGGAAAACUGAUUUCUGAGGCUGAAAUUUUUCUAAGUGUUUGAAAUCUCUUCAAGAGUGUAGCAUGUGUGCUUCUUGGAGAGGUCGUUUUGAUGUUGUUCUGUGGGUCAUUCUCUAUGAUGUUUGUUGCAUUUGAAAGCUCAUGUUAUCUACUUUCACUCUGAUCAAAUAGUGUUUCCCUUAGAUCUCGUAUGUGAUGAGUGUCGGGGCUUGAAUAUGGGCAUUCAACCUGUUUGCUUGACUUGGGUUCAAACCCAGAUUUGCAAAAUUCGCUCGAACCUCCAUAUUGGAGGACGAUUUCAGCUUGGUUCUUGUGUGUUUUAGGCUAUGAUCUUUAUCUAAUCUUACUCUUUGCAUGUGCUAGUUUAACCUUGAUGUUUUAGUUCCACAUAAUAUUGCUCAUGCUCUGAGAUUGAAGGCCGCAAACAUGGCCUGAGGAAGUUGACUUGGGGUGAUUUGAUGCAUACCAAGUGUUCAACGAAAUGCGCAAACCAAGUUUCGAUCUUGAAACGGUUGAUUUGAGCCCAGUUAUUGUGAUAUUCAUGUGCUGUGUUGUUCAAUGUUAGCAUAUAUCGGUUUAGGAAAUUAUUAUUUUUAUAAAAAAAAAAUCCAAAAAUCCAAAAAUUUCAAAAAAAGUAUAAAAGUGAUAGAUGUAUCAAAUUAAGGCAAAAAUGACAUCUAUGAAAUUUUCCUAUUUUUAAAAGGUCAUUUUCCUAAUUGAAUGCUAUUUUGGUAUUUUAUAACCAUUUUUGUAAAUAAUCCAUUUUGCGUAGAUUAAAACUAUCUAAAGUAAUUUCAUGCAUCUAGAGUAAUUUCAUGCAUAUUUAAAUUUCCAUUUUGCUCACGGGGGUCCUGUCUCAGGGUGUGAUAACAAGGCCAUGUAAUAUUAUUUGCCCGACUUGUAUCGGGUUUACCUUUUCCGCGUUUAUUUUCAAGUCAUUUCAAUUUCUUGGAUAUUUACCUAUGCGCCGCUUUUCAUUAAUUUGAGUGUAAAUUUCUCUUCUAAAUUAUGUUAGGAUUAGUCUAGACAUUAAAAAAAAAAGUACAAAAACAUUUACAUGGACACUUAGUGGUUUCAUAAAGAUUAUAAUUGGUGAUUAAGAUUGUGUGGCCAUUUAGAUAAACAACAUUCUAAGUUAGUGGUAUUGCAAGGACGCUAAUAAAAACAUUAGCGUAAACAAGUCCCCGUUCCUAGAAAUCUUUGGUUGCGUAGGAAUCGAGACAACACUCCCGUGUCUUGUUUGGUUUCUAGCCGACUCCAAUAGGCUAGUGGCGACUCCUAGAAUUACAUAGGUUGUUAAGAACUAAAAUUCAAAAUCCAAUGUCGCGCGAGGUAUGGGCUUGGGAGAGCUUGCGUCUAAUUUAGGGCCAUUGGUCCACCUCUUUAGGCAAAUACCCCUAAACCUUCUUCUUUUUCCCCGGACGGAAAAAAGGAGGUCGUGACAGACGUCAGUGACCUGGGACACGUGUGAUAUCCUGAAAUUUCAUUAUGCUUUCAAUUGAAUAAAUCAGACUUUUCAUCAAUGCGCCUAUAGUUAGGGGUGUGCAAAAGAACCAGGAUUCGCCCGAACCACCCGGAAUCGGAUUGGAAUCGCCCAGAACCAGUAGUUCUUGAGGGAAUCGGUUCGGUUCUCGGUUCCAUGGGCGGAUCUGCCCGCCCACCCACCCGGACCAGACCGAUUCCCUUUUAAUAUUAAAAAAAAAUUAUUAAAACAAACCCUAGAUUUCAUCUUUCUCACUUCUCUAUCUUCGGUUCUGCGGUUGCCUCUCUCUCUAUGUCUCUUCCUUGGUUCCUUUCGCCAUUUCGAUUCUUCCCCGAGUGUCGACGCUACUGCCGCUGCUCCUCUGCCAUUGCUGUCCGCGCCCUCGUGCCGGCUGCCACCCGUCAUAGCCUUUGCUUCACCCAACAGUGACCCGCGACGCCACAGCUCGCCUCCGCGCCGACCACUGCGCCAGCAGCCCCGAGCGCCUUUCGCCCGCUCGCCCGUCACCGUGAUCGCCUUCGCUUCUGCUGCUUUUCGUCCAAGCACCACCGCCGUUGCUUUUGCUUCGGGCCCCCUCCGCUAGCAAUUCGACGUCGUUGCAGCCCCUAUAGUCGCGAAAGAUUCUGUGAAGCCGAGGGAGGAUGUUCUAGUUCAAGUCGCGGACAAGUGCUUCUCUUUGGACUGGCUCGACGAUUGAUCGCAUCUCUUAUGAAAGCUUGCCACAUCACUCAGCAUUCACUAUUAAGCAACAAGUUCUAGUCAAGCUAUUCUCGCAUCCGUAACUUUCAUAUCUUUUACAUGUUAAUUUGGUCCUCCAUGUCUCAAAGACUUAUUAAAUUUUGCGUUCUGUUCAAUGUUAUUUUGCUCUGUAUAUCCGUGUGGUGGACACAGAUAAGUUCUCCAAAGACCAUCUUGCAUUUUUUGUUUCUAGCCCCGUUUUUCCAUUUUGAGUUUCGUUAAACUGACCGGACUAUUAUGUGUGCAAUGCUGCCUGUACUGAUUUUCGUUUAUUAAAUGACUUGAUGCUUAAGCAAAACAUCUAUGGCAUUUCUGAGAGUUCGAAGUCCAAUUGUUGACUAUUGUUUCUAUUUGACUCUCUAUGCUGAGCAUAGAAGUUCCUAGUCAUUUGUGCCGUCAAAUUCAUGCUUUGGUUCCAUGGAUCCACCCGGGAAGCAAACCGGACCGGCGGUCCGGUUCUCGGGUGGAUCCAUGCAACAAAUGGGUGGAUCUCAGUUCCAAUUUUUCGGAACCAGUCUUUAGCGGGCGAUUCCCAGUUCUAGGUUGGGAACCCCCCCGCCUAAACCAUGCAUACCCUACCUAUAAUGCUAUUCUUAGAGCUGAUCACUCUUGAGAUAACUGGACGAUCUUGGGAAGUCAUUAAGAGAUUUUAAUGCAAUAGACUUGAGAAUUCGAUUAGGAAUCGGCUACUUGACCGUGCUUAUCCGCACAGAUCAAAGCCUCAAAUUGCAACUAAAUUCUCGCGGUUUGGCGCAUCUGAUUCUCUUUUAACCUUGAAAGGACGAGUGAUUGAAUGGACAUGCGACCGGAGAUAUUCAAACUUACUAGGCUCUUGCAAUUCGGAACACACGAUAGCCUCGGACAUUUCGAACUCGAAAGGUCCUGCGAAUGUUGACUAGAUUCUUGUGACACACAGCAAUUUGUUUGGCUUUUAUUAGCCUAAAGGACUUGUCGCGAAUCAAUUCGGCCAUCCACAUAUGAUAUGGAAGAGAGAGCUUCUAUAGUCGGGCGGGAAGCCCCAAGAGACAUUCGAGCAGAUGUCAAUCAUAAAGAGUAAGAUCCUUGAGAAUGGUUAGUUUGGAAAGAUAUGGUAAUGAUGGAGUUGGGAAAGUGAUAUGCAGAGCUGUUAAGAUGGAGGGCGGUUCUGGUAUUUCUUGAAGUUUCUUGCAAAAUCGAAGGCUGAGAUGUUGGAGAGAAGAGAGCUUCGAAAUGCUUUCCGGCAAGUCCAAAAUGUAAAAGUUUUCUUAAUGUAGACUACAUUAAUUGAUAUUAUAAUUUAUUGUUUUACAGGGUUGGUCUAAGAUGAGCUAAAAUGUUUUUUAAUUAAUCUAAUAUUAGGCUGGUUAGUGUGGGCCAAGUUGAGCUUGGCCCGUAAUGAUAGAAACUUUAUAAAUAGUGCUCAAGUAUCUUGUGCGUGCGACGUGCUUGUGUGGGAUGCUCGUGCGAUGUGCAUGCGUGGGAUGCUCGUGCGACACGCGUGCGUGGUGUGAUGCGCAUGCAAAGGCUGAUGUCACAAUGACGUCAAUGACCUAGGACACGCGUGACAUCCUGAAAUUUCAUUAUGCUUUUAAUUAAAUAAAUCGGACUUUUCAUCGACGCGUCUAUAAUGCUGUUCUCAGAGCUGACCACUCUUGAGAUAACUGGAUGAUCUGGGAAGUCAUUAAGAGAUUUUAAUGCAAUAGACUUGAGAAUUCGACCAUGAAGCGGUUACCCGACCGUGCUUAUCCGCAGAGAUCAAAGCCUCAAACUAUAACUAAAUUCUCGCGUUUUGGCGCAUCUGUUUCUCUUUUAAACUUGAAAGGACGAGUGAUUGAAUGGACAUGUGACUAGAGACCAGGCUCUUGCAAUUUGCAACACAUGAUAGCCUUAGAUGUUUCGAACUCGAAAGGUCCCGCGAAUGUUAACUAGAUUCUUGCGACAUGUAGCAAUUUGUUUGGCUUUUAUUAGCUCAAAGGACUACUGUAUUGAAUGUAUAUCAAUAAAGUUGAAAGCACCCAUGACCAUGGAAAGCUCUCUGUGUAUACAUGUAGUUAUUGCCAUGAUUUGAUGUUUGAGAUUUUAUGGGAUGUGAUUGACUAUUAAGAAUUAUCUCUAGACCAAGGUGUGCAUAUACAGUGCAAUUUCAAUUAAUAUAGCUUAAGUGGGAGAAUGUAAAAGUUUUCCUAAUGUGUACUACAUUAAUUGAUAUUAUAAUCUACCAUUUCACGGGGUUGGUCUAAGGUGAGAUAGAAUGUUUCUUAAUUAAUCUAAUAUAGAGCUGGUUAGUGUGGGCCGAGUUGAGUCUAGCCCAUAAUGAGAGGGCUUGGUUAGAAACUCUAUAAAUAGUGCUCAAGUCUCUUCUUUAACCCUAAUUCUCAAGUAUCCUCACAAAAUGAGCAUUUACUUAACACUAAAGGGUGAGGGGGGGUCUCAUUGAGUUUGUGAUAUAGAAGGCAAUAGAGGAGAAAGACUUAUGCGUGGAUCAUCGCUUUUCCGCUUCCGCAUCAAGAACGAUGGAUUCCAAUACAGGUGUAUUAAUCUUUCCACUUGAUUAUCUAUGCUUUUGUUUUAGUUAUGGAGAUCGUGGGAUUGCAUGUUUUGCAUCUAACACAAAAUGCCUGAGUAGUCUAAGCGAAGCUUGUUAGGUGAAACCAAUUAACCUAUAUUACCAGAUGGUCCUUCCAGUUUUUAGCACCACGAUGCACUCAACGCUCGGGAGUUUCGCCAACAUUCUGAUGGCACUUGGCAAUUCUAUCACGAGAGUUUCAUCAAUGUUUGAAAUCCUCAAAUUUUGCAAGUUCUCAAUACUCUCCGAUAUUUUGUAAUCUAUGAGCAGCUUAGUCAAUAGUGUCAAUUUUCCAAUCGAAUUAGGAAUUUCUCUCAACUAAUAGCAUCGCGUUAGAUAAAUGAAAGACAGAGAUGCUAGAUUGCCUAUGAGCUAGGUAUGCGAGCAACAGAUCUGAACCUCACCGGGAACUCCUCGUCCAACUUCGGGCUCCUAUCGUCCUUGAGGUCGAGCACGUAGCUCAUUGGGUCAUACCCGAACUCUGAGGUCGCGGCAAUGUGGCCCUACCUCCACCGUCACAUCCAAAUCCUUGCAGUGAGGCUCCGCACUUGUACCAAAUCUCUGGGAGUGGGAGCUCAUAGCCCAUCAAAAGUAGCCACGACACAAUUGACACAGUCCAAGGCAGUGGCUUUGUGGUAGGCGAUGGUGUGUGGCCAUCGUGGAAGCAGCAAAAGAAGAGGCAAGGGGAGGAUGAUCUGAGCUUGUGAUUGAACAAUAUUUUGGGUGUGAGAGAGAGAGGGAGAGCGCUUCGAUCGAGUCAGAGUCUUGGUCUAGUCUAGUCCAUGACAUUAAGUUGAAGUCAUAUUUUCAUCAAUCUACAUAAGAAUUUAGAUAGAUGAGUAUAUUUUUGAGUCAAGGCCAUAGAAGAGAGAAGAUUGGAACAUUCAUUUUUUUUCCAUGUGAUAUCAAAAUACAAUAUCCAAAUGUUCGAAUCCUUCUAUCAACUCCCAUAUUACAAUCGCUUUUCAUGCUCUCUUUACGUCUAGCGAAAUCCUAGUUUUGAGUUGUACUGACAUAUUUGAUUUAAGCAGUUAUGGAGUUUGGGCCAGCUUUUACACAUCUAGAUCGGUCCAUCUCCCCGAGGGCAUACUCCUUAUAUUGAUAUGGUGCAUUUAUGAUUUUACUCAGCUCUCUCAACAAAAUUUGAGUGCAAAAGUGUCAUAAGAGAGGAGCAAGCUGCCUUACUAUUUAAGUCAACACUUAAUUGGUGCGUCAAUGCAUCUCUUAAACAAGGGCAAAAGUGAUUCUAAGCUUAAGAAAGCAUGUUACAUAUAUUGAUCUGCAUACAUAGAUAAAUUGUUCGAUUGGGGUUCAACCUGGGUUACUCCGAUAAUUAAAGUUAUCAAGAAUGAAUAAUUUUAUUCCCUUCAUGCCCUUGCACUGAUCUCUGCUUAUCUCAUGCGCGUGGGGACUAUAGCUUCUUCACUGCUCUGUCCUGCGACGAUUUGCUGCAUCUGCGACGCCAAAGCUUCUGUCCCGACGUUGCGGCUCCCUUUGACGCGAUGUCUAGACUUAUCGCUCCCUCGUUGACCUGACGCCACUUCACCGUGAUGAGUCUUGGCUCGAGUGAGCACCCGCAGGACCACCGCGACGCUGCUUCUUCUGUCCUGGUGCUACCUGCCCGCGCUGACGGCCAGCAGAUCCGUGGCCUCUUCUUGCUACACCGACGACGAGCCGGGAGCCUCCAACGAUGGUCCUUGCUACGACCCUUCAACGAUAGUCGACGGAUCACCCCGCAAAUCACUACUGCUUCUCGCUCGACAACGGCGCUGUCUUCCAUUUGCCACCCACCUGUCGCCGCCGUCCGUUGCACCUCCAACACUGCCCACCCAACAGCAACAGUGCUAGCCACGCUUCGGUCCCGAUGGCCACCUUCUAUUGGCAGCCUCCGUGAAUUUUCUUUUCCUACAGGUUUCCAUCUCCGGUGACCAUCCAGUGACGCCCAGCAUCUCCUGCACUUGUUCUAAGUCCCCACUGCAGCGAGCCAGGACAAAAAGAAAGAGGUAAUCUUCAACAGAGUGGAAGAAAAGUCAAGCCGUGGUCGAAGUGGAGAAAAAGAAACGUUGAAACGGUGAAGAUUUAUUCCAUCAUUUGGAAACAAUAUCCACGCCCCCACUUUCCAGAAUACGCGAUACAGAGAACAGAAAAAGGGGGAAAUUCUGGAUAUUCGCUCCUCGGUGCUCGUUCUUCACGUUUUCCGGACCGUCACCACCAAGCGGAGCCGAGCCGGGUCACAAACCACCUGCCGAACCACCGCUGCAGCCAUCCUUUGCCGUCAAGCACCACCGCAAGUAGCCUUGCCGCGAGCCUCGCCCGCGAGCUGCCUUUGAACGAAUUUGAAUUUGGACUGCUCACUUCAAAUUAUGUAAUGACCUAAUCCGAUUUGAUUUGAAUAUUUCAUUGUAAAUUUCGAAUUGAUUUCCUUAUCUAAUUAUGAGAUUUUAAAUAUUAUUCGAUAGGAUUUUAUUGACAAAAAAUUGAAUAUAUUCAUUAAUUUGAGUCAUGAAAUGACAGAUCAUUUUUUUUUUAAAAUUUUUAUCUCCAAGCUAGUAAGUGCCUUAUAAGACGUGAGAGGAUGAAUCGUUUUUUCGGAUAUUAUAAUCUUUUAUAUGAAUCUUGAUGGAUAUCUUUGAUGAUUUUUGCUAUGUUUGAAAUUUUGAUUAGAUAGCAAACUUUAAUGAAUGAAAAAUAAAAGAAGAUCGUAUGUUCGAAUAUAUGGUUUUUUAUAUGAUAUUGCCUAAUUUAAAUUAGAUUGCAUGUCAAGAUUGAUUCUAAAAAAAAAAAUUAGAAUAUAUUUUAGAUAUGAAUUUUCUUUAAUAAAUAGGAUUUAUUUGGAUAAUAUUGCAUGUUUAAAAUUGUCUUCUAAGGUAGGACAACGUUUAGGUUAAAUUAUUCCCUAAUCCGUUAAUUACUUAUUUUACAUAGUUUAAUUAGGAUAUUUAUCUACUUCAAAUUCUAAUAAAAAUACCAAAAUAUCAUAUGCAUGUCUUGUAGUUUAGGCCAUGUUAUAUUGCUCUGUCACAUAAUGCGCAUGUUAGGUUCAUUUAAUUAGAACUAGGUCAUGUAGUUAAAUGAAAUUGCAUGUCACACAGGCUGGUUUUAAUUUCAAAAUAAAAAGAAAGCUAAAAAAUAAUUGGUUGCUAUGGUAUUUAAUUUCCUACAAUUUCUUUAUUUAUUGAGUGUUAUCUUUAAUAUUUGUGUACCUGCAUUAACAUUGGAUUAAAAUCGACCCAAACUACCUGACAGUUAAUUGUAGUAAUUUAGUUUUAAACCUUUAUGUAUUAAUACUAAUUGAGUUUAUUCGAUUAAUUUGACUGGAAAUAAUUGACGUGAACACUAACCGUCUUACGUGACAAAAUUGAUGUUGACAUGUAUAUUUUUAAUAAUUUUUUGAUAUUUUUUGAAUUUUGAAUUUUUUAUUUUUGCGUAUUUUUUUUUAUAUUUUUUUUAAGACAACCUCUGCUUUCCCAUCAAUUUUGCUGAUGCAGCAGCCGAUAGGGAAGACGGUGCAGGUUUCUUACACCACCGAAUCCUUCUACUCCGUCUCCUGUUUCUUAACUUUCUCUCCUGCCAGACCGUUUCGAGCCAACGAAUUCGAACAAAAUCCACAGGACUGCUGUAAAGUUCACGAUUAAUGGAAGUGGACCCAUAAGCAUUUUGGAGUUCUGACCUUCCGAUUCUUCAUCGGAGGAGCAAUUAGGGUCCGGCUCUGGUCCAGUCCUCUUCCUCGUCAAUAGUUAGCGUUUUCAGUUCUCUGUGAUAGAGAAAAACAGUUCUCUAAAAUGUCGAUAUGAAAAAAUAAAGACGGGAAAAGAGAUCGAGAAAGUUGGAAGUAGUGUAUAUACGGUCAAAUUUGGAAACCGUGAAAGAUUGUUGUAAGCGAUUGUUAGGUUACCUGCUUCUAUGUAAAUGUUUAACCUAGCUCUUUGGAAGUAUCUAAUUCUGUUUUGGGACUUGACAGGGGGUAGACAAGGCGAAGCUGGUGCAGGAAACUGGUUUGCAAUUGAAGCAGAUAAAUAAUUGGUUCAUCAACCGGAGGAAAAGAAACUGGCACAGCAACCCAUCAUCGUCGUCCAUCUCAAAGAGCAAGCGCAAAAGGUCCCUCAAAAUAGACUUCGCCUCAUUUAUGCGAAACUUUUUUUGAUAUUCCAUUUCUUUGCGUGCUAAGUUUGAAGAACUUCUGCAGGUGAAAGCAGCGGCUAUUGAUCCCUUGAUGCGGAUUUAGGAUGGGUACUCAAUACAAGGAACGUUGGCCAGUGGCCUCAUACAAAGCUUCAUCAAACAGGAACAUUAUGAAGACUUUGAUUCUCAUACAAAGCUUAUAUGUUAGCAAAGAGGAUGGCUCUCGCUUUGCGACAGGAUUUCUGAAGGAACUCAAUUGACUAUAGAUGUGAUAGUGAUUAUUGAGGGGUACUGAGCUAGGAAAUUACACAUUUAGAACUAGAAGUAAUUUUAGACGGUUUCAUUGUCUCCACUGCUUGUCUAAUUUGCCUUUAGUGAAUAUGUAGGUGUAGUUAGGUAUUUUUGUACGCUUGGCAUGAUGAUCUCUGCAUAGUUCCCCUCUGUACUGCAUGUUGAUUACAUUUGUAGUUUUUCUUGGCUGUCCAAUGAGGUGUAGAUUACUGUUAGAGUAACAUACAGUUGGGUACUGCUAAGGUUGCUAGCUUUGUAUUGCUACUGGGGACAAUGAGUAUGGUUAUAGACAUGAUCAUUUGUUUGAAAUUCUAUAGUGUAUUACAAUCCUCAAAGAUUGUCCCCUGUUGUUGUGAUGAUUUAGCCACUUCAUUAUGGCGGCCACAUAUUUCAUUCAUUCUACAGUAAUUGUUAAUUAGGCUAGAUGCAGUAAAAAAGUUCUAUUCAUGUCCCUCUCAGCUUCAUACAUGUGAGAAUAACGCAUCAUGUUCUCCUUCUAUGUAAUGAAAAACAACUUUCUUGCCACGACAAUUUCUAUCUGUCAUGAACUCCUACACAUUGAGUGGUCACCUCUUGUGUGGCUCAUAUCGCAUACGAAGUUCCGUUUCUUGACAAAUCAAGAUCUGAAUUGGAGGAAAUGAUCUGGGGGUCGGUCUAAAUGCUAACUUAAAGAUAACCAUUUGAGCUUGUCCUUAGUGAAUCCAGAAAAAAAAAUAAAAAAUAAAAAAUGCUAUACUUUACAAUAAUCACAGAAAUUUGCUUAGCUUUUCUUCAAGAUGACUUAUGACAAAUAAAUGGAAAUUUGUUUCUGCCGGCCAAUUCCAAGUCAGCUGAUGCUCAUUAGCAGAACGAAUUCGAGAAAGUACGGUCCAUAAAAGAGAUGAACAUCGGAAUUUUCUGAUGCAACUUGGGCAUAUAAAAACAUUGCUUCAUUUGAACUGCCCUUUUGUCCUGGGAUACCAAACAUCUAUUAAUGAACCGUUUUAUGAUUUUUCUGUUAUUGUGUAGGUCUUUUUGCAUUUUUUUGGCAUUAUGUUUCAUUAUUCCCAUCAUUGACUUCUUGGCACGUAUACCAUACAUGCCAAUCCACUAAAUCAUUGGAUGCCCAACUUUAGGAUCUUCUAAUGUUUGGGCCCCCAACCCACAAUUCUUGAACUAGAUAGAGCGCUCAAUGAGAACUAUUACGCACUCUUUCAAGGUGGCUGCUUCUAGGCAACAACAAUUCCUAUUUUUAAUAUUUUUGCUCUUAGAUAUCUUCAAAUAGUUCGGUGGUUUACACCGCAAGUCACUUUUUCCUCACCUCAUCUUGAAGUCCAAGAUUUAAAACCUUGACCUCUCCUAUUCAGAAAAAGGAGAUAUGCUGGUGCAAUUGAUAUGAGUGAAAACUAUGGUUUUUCAUGAAAUUAAUGCUUCUUGCAAGUGCAGUGAACUUAAACCCCAUGAGAUUACGAGGGUCAUAUUCAGGUUGUUUAGCCACAGCUGCAGACAUAAGAACUUCAUUGUCACAUAGCUUCCUAGUGUGGCCAAUGAUUACACGAGCAACAAAAGUUUGGUGUUCGCCCAUAUCAAAUCCCUACCCAAUGCUGCGAUUAUCCCUAACACUCCCUGUUCAAGGCACGAGAGGUCUUUUAACAUGAGUGCAACUUUAGCACAAAGGGAUCGACAAUGACCCUGAGAUUUGGUGUGAAUUGACUCAACUUUCACCAUUUUGCACGCCAAACGAGCAAUAGGUUUCACAUUGCCACUGCCAUUGCCCCACCGUCGCUGGAAAGGGCCAGGGUCAUCGGGCCUCGGCCAGUGGUCAUUAACCUUAGCCGACCGUAGGUGAAGGCUUGCAAGCCCUCACCUAAAAUUGGGGAGAGGGGUAGCCGGCACUACCUUAGAUCAGGUGAGGGUUGCCAGCCCUUGCCCAAAGGGGCCAAGGCUCACAAAACUAGAUACCACUUUUUUUUUUAGUUUUUAAUUUAACUUAAUUAAUAUUUAUAUUAAACAUCAAAUUUAGGGGCAAAAUAAUGUCAUUUUUGGACAAGCUAACUACGUCAACGCCACGUAAAUUUCCAAUGAGCUACAUAGACCGAUUGUUUUAUUAAAAUAAUGUCAUGUCAGACUUCCAGCUAGCCUCAUUGGACUUGGCAAUUAAGUAUCCAAUUUUUUUUUUUUUAAAGUGACACUUAAACGUACAUUUUGAAAACUUUGGUACGUUUAAGUGUACCAGAAUUUUCAAAAGGUACGUUUAAGUGUCAUAUUUUCUUAUAAAAAAAUGGAUACUUUGGCACUUAUCAACCAAAAAAAAAAGGAGAAAACUUUGGCAUUUAAAUGUCUACCCGUGCCAAGUUUUGACACUUGUAGUGUAUUUUUGCUGAGAAAAAGCCAAGGAGAAGGAGUUGUGCUCGGAGAGGAAGGGUUUAUUUUCGUUCGUUGCAUCCAAGCCUCACCAUGAUUGGAUAUGCCAAUUCCUAUUUUAGGGUUUUGCAGAUUCCCGAUCCUGUUCUUUUGUUCUUAAUUCCUCAUCCAGUUCAAUUGGACUGAGUCCCCUAGAACUUGGAAUUAGAAUAGUUCCCAUUGGUUCUCCAAUUCUCUCUUCUACCAUUGAAUUAUGCUCACCCAUAAUCUCAACAUCCAUUUCCAUUUUCCAAAUAUGUGCAUCCAUUCUAGACUUAGCGUCAUUAUAACUUUUUGGAUCAUUUACUAAAUUAAUCCCAUCAGUGGUCCAAUGACUUUUAUUCUUUCUUUUGUUAUAUGCUAUACAUACUUCACCAAUUAAAUUUGCUUAAUUAGUUGAUGUGGCAAAUUCAUCCUGAGUGAUUAGAUGCUUAAAUAACUUUUGAAUUCUAACGUUAUAAAUCAAGUUCUAAACAGCAAUAAACUAAUAGAUAAGAGCUAAAAGACAAGAUAUACCUUAAUUUUUCUGAGGAAUUUGAAAUAUACCUUAACCGUCAAAUAUAGGGAAAAUUACCAAAAAUAAAAUAAAAUUCUAUACUUACUAUACAGUGGCCAAUUCAGUCCUCAACCUUUAAGAGAAUUUGAAGUGUUUAGUAUUAAGGUAAUAAAUAAAACUAUGAUAUGGUCGACAAUAGAUCUAUCAAAUGGGUGGAUCUAGUUAGACCAAAAAAUGAUAUGACUCAAAGUGACAUGUUUGAAUUGUUUUGACUAAUUUCCAUAUACUACUAAAACACUUCUACAGUUAAUCCAAUCUAGAAAAACUCAUACUUAAACUAAGAUGAGAACAUGGAGAGAGUGAGCACAAGAUCAAGUGAGAACAAGAAAGUGGAGAGAAUCAUAGAGGUUAGUUGAGUUUGAAUAGGUUGAUUUAACACUCAUAUUAUUAUAGACUUUACCAUUCUAAAUUCAUUUAUGAAUAUAACUAACCCAUAUUACAACUCAAUCCAUCAAAUAUAGGUUAAGAAAUAUUUUUAUGACCCAUUUCGAUAGAUCUAAUCGAUGGCAAAGAUUAUGACUAUUUAGACGCUUGCCAUCAUCAAAUCAAGGUGGUGAUCGCUUUGAAGAUAACAUUCACCCCUAUUCCUUUCUCAAUUGGAUUCUCUCUCCCACUUGGAUAUGAGAAAUUUUAUCUGAACCAACAUCAUAACUUUUAUUUUGGUUUAUAUUCACAUUAAGUCUACAUUUAUCAUGGUGUGAUAAUUAAGGACAUGAUGCAAUAAUUUAUAUUUUCUAAUCAAAUAAAGUCUAUUUUAUUAUGUGUCUAAAUAAUCAACAAAAUCAAACUAGAAAUUUCACGCCCAUUGCUUCCAACUUUCACGUUGCAAUUCCUUCCAAUCACAUGGGCCCGAGUAUUGGACUCGACCUCUGAGGCCAAACCCAAAAGAAAAAUUAUUGGACCUAGGUAGGCCCAUUAGGCAUGGGCUUGACUGGGCCUAAACCAAAAAAAGACAACACAGCCUAUCACCUCACGGGGCUAUGCUUGGGCAUGGGCCGAACAAUUAGACUUGGCCCCCAAGACCAAAUCCCCAAAAAGAAAAAAAAAUUGUCGGACCUAGAUAGGCCCAUGUGCCUAAUCGAGCCUAGGCGUAAAGCAUGACACGACCCACGAUCUAAUGGGCUGUCCCUUGGCACAGGACACGACCUACUACUGGUCCAUAUCCAUAAGAAAAUAAGUUGGAUCUACGUAAAUUCAUUCAUUCAGGAUAAAUUUUACUUCCUGUAUGUUUGUAUUUCAUUGACACAAUACUGAUAAGCAAAAAUGCUUGAUCACGGAAUACUUCGGACAAAAAAACGAUGAUGACAUAUCGAAGCAGAUUUUCCAUGAAUUUGAGAUCCCGAAAUCUGUAGUAUGUAUAGGCACUAUGGAUCGCUCUAGGGAUUGUGAUAAUCCAAUUCAUUGAUCAAAAUCAAUAAUAUCUUUACCGAAAAAAACUUCAACUACACGCUACGACUUCCCUCGGCAUUCGGCAGCAAUCGAUCUGGAGAUACUGGUAGCCUUGUUGUGAAGUUCCUUGCUAGGGACUCCUCAUCUGACUCCUGACCCCAAUCGCCCUCGAAGUUGAGCGCAUAGCUCAUUAGAUCAUACCUGAACUCGGAGGCUGUGACAUGGCCCUGCUUUUGGCACCUCUUGAUCUGAGUGAUGAGGCUCUGGAGCUUGCGUCGGAUCUUUAACAGUGGGAGCCCUUGGGCCGUGGAGCGGAGCCACAAGCAGGGCAAUUGGGCCGCCCUAUGGCAGCUGCCAUCGCCGUUGCCGUCGUUGUCGUCGUUGUAGUUAGAGGAGGCAGCCUCAUCGUGGACAGUGGCGUCUCGAAAGCAGCAUAAGAGGAGGUGCGGGGAGGACGAUUUGAGCUCGUGUUUGAACGGCAUUGGGAUGUGUGCAGAGAGAAAGAGGGGAGCGAGAAGAGAGGGGAGGGAGGAUGAGGUGGCGGCCUUUUAUAGGGUGGAAAAGACAAAGAGGAAGGGCAAAGUGGGGGACGUGGAGUUUUGAGUUAAUCCCUCCCCGACGUUUCGUCUUGUUUUUCCCUAACUUCAUUUUUUGGGCAGUUUGGUAAUUAAGCAAAAGUCAAGGGAUCAUGUAGCUGCUCCUUCUUCCUUUUCUACACGGUGUUAUUUCCGCUUAAAUGUUUAAAUCUGACUGAUUGCUAUCAAAAAGACAAAAAUCGCCCCUAAUCAGUUGACUGCAUUUUAUAAGUGGUGGUGCCCAAAUUUUGCUUUCCUUUUCUUUAACUUUGCUGUUUUUAUGUAGGAUUUUGUUACCAUAGAGGUAAAGUUUCCAUGUAUAUUAAGGGGUACACUUUUUUUUUUAAUUGUUAGAUUUUAUUUCCAUAAAAAUUAGUUUUGUCAAAAAGAGAAAUUCUAAGAAAAAUCUAUUUCUUUUCUACGCUACUGCUCAAAUUUAUGGUUAAAUUGUCAAGUGAAAUCUAGAAAUAAAGUAAGGGUGGCAUUAUUUUCAUCCUCUAAAUAACCAAACCCACAUACACUAAAAAGAUAAGAUUGUCCUCAAUCUUUCAAUUGCAGUUUCAGAUGAUGGCCAAACUUUUUUUUUUCUAUUUUUUCUUUUUCUAUUUAGGGUAGUUGCCAUAAUUAAAAAUCUCACAUGUUUUGUUUUUUAGCUUAGAAAUUUUCAUAUCGUUUUACAUGCUCUAUGUAAAAUUAUCUUGCUAAUAGUAAGGAAAAAAAACAGUAUUUGAUAUAGUAUAAAAUUGAAAAGUCUCUUCUUCAUUAUUGAUCUUAUAACAACUUAUCUAUUUUUUGUUCCUCUUAUAUCAAAAGCUCACUUUCUUGAUGACCUUUUUAUUAAUUUCAUUAGUAUAGAAAAUAUAUCAACUCUCUUUAUUUACUAUAUCAAAGUAUUUAUAUUUUUUUCUUGACUAUAUUGGUGAAAUACUUGUAUACAUAGCAUGUAAGAAGUUAGAGAUAUAUCUAAGAAUACACUAAAUACCUUAUGCACAAUGAGGCAACUUAAUAUUUUUUCAUAAAUAGUUUGUUGAUGAUAUUAAUUUUUGUCAAUCCAAAAUAAUGAAAUUUCACCAGCAUUUUCAAAAAAAAAAAAAAAUCUUACUUUAUGCAAUGUUUUGAUUUAAUUAAAUUUUUUUACUUAACAAUUUAUCCACAAAUUUAAUUGAAAAUAUAGAAAAGAAAUGGAUUUCUUGGAAAUCUCUCUUUUCGACAAAAUAACUUUUUAUUGAAGUAAUAUCUAACAAUAAAAGAAGACAUAGUGCCUUUAAUAUACAUGGAAAAUAUACAAUAAACAAAAAUUAAACAUAUAAAAUUCUUAAUUAUGGUAGGUAGAUCCUCCAAAAGUAUAGAAAAACUUGCAAUUAAAUGAUAGAGGGUAAUUUUGUAUCUUUGGUGAAAAUUGGGUGAAUUUAAUCAUAUAUAUAUAUGUAAUGGAAUGAUCAGAUGAAGCCAAAAAAAAAAAAAUUCUUUGAUGAUUUUCCAAAAUAAAAUUGCAGUUACAUUCUCCAACAUAAAACAUGUUGGGCUGAUAUACAAUUCACAAAAUAAACCAGACUAGGAACGAGUUAGCUAAUCUUUCUGUUUGCGGGCAUAAUUUCUUUUCCAAGUCUAUUUUCUAUACGAGCUUCUAAGUAGAACAACUCAUUUGUUAACUACACAAUAUUUCCAUUCUCAAAACAGAAAAAAAAUAGAAAUACGUUUGAUAUAAUCCUAAAAUAUUUUAUCCCAAUUUUUUUCAUUUAAUUAUAAAAAUUGUUGGUGGAGACUUAAUGAGUUAUGUUUGACUGAAAAUUUAUCGAGCCUAGGUUGGCCCACUAGGGCCCAUGGGCCUGACUUUCGGCACAAAAUAGACACGGCCUGCCACCUUAACGGGCUGUGCCCUGGCUCAGGCCCAGGCCCAGGCCCAGGCAUACCAUACUUGGGUCAGUGUGGCCCAGUACCAACCCCUAUCCGUAAGAAAAGAAUAUGCAUCCGCUUUGUCCAUAAAGUAAGUCCCAUUCAUCCAACAAUAAAAUUGCUUCUUGUUUGUUCGUGUUUCAAUUUUUUAUUCUUUUUUAGUCGAAGGUUAGCAUUUCGAUGAGAUCGCCAAUCAGCAAAAAUGCUUGACCGGGGAUCAACCAUCAAGACAAAAGGCAAAAUCAAAGCGAAGACGACGAAAAACAUAUCGAAGCAGAUCUUCCAUAAAAUUGAGAUCUCGAAGUUCUACAAAUAUGUACAGACACUGCUAAUUGCUCCAGAGACUGUUGAUAUAGCCCAACUUGUGGAUCAAAGUUCCAGAGGAAAACAACUUCAACAACAAGCUACGACUUCCCUCGGUGACUUCGCCGGCAUCAACCGAUCUGGAGACACCGGCAGCCGCGCCGAGAAGUUCCUCAUUGAGAACUCCUCGUCUGACUCCCGACUCAAAUCGUCCUCGAAGUUUAGCGCGUAGCUCAUCGGGUCAUACCCGAACUCCGAGGAGGCCGCCGCCGCCACAUGGCCCGGCCUCCACCGGCACCUCCCGAUCCGAGCGAUGAGGCUGCGGCACCUGUACCGGAUCUCCAGCAGGAGGAGCUCCUGGGCCGUCGAGCGGACCUUGCGGGGGUGGCCGUCGUCACAGUCCGAGGAGGCAGCCUCGUGGUAGGCAGCGGCAUGGCCGCCGUCGUGGAAGCAGGAGAAGAGGAGGGACGGGGAGGAUGAUCUGAGCUUGUGAUGGAAGAGCAUUUCGACGGCGAGAGCGAUGGGACUCGGAUUCUUGGUCUGGUCUGUGCAAGGCCGUGAAGAGAGCGGAGAGAGUGGAUGGAGAUGAGGAAGAAGAUGGAGAAGAGGAUAAGGUUGGAGGGUUUAUUUAUAGGUCGGGCGGAUGAGGACGGAGGCGUGCGGCGGCUGAGCAGAGUGGCGUGGUGGUGGGGGCGGUGGGGGUGGGAGUCAGGAGUCAGGAUGAGGAGGAAAGCCGCGGCUGCUUCGUGGGGUGGACGUGGAAAGCGGUUUUUUUUGGGUUAAUCCCGCGUAAGGUGUCGAUCUUUACUUUUUCUUCACUAUAAUUUUGGCAGUUUGGUAAUUACGCAAAAGACAAAGGGACCACGUAGCUGCUGCCUUUUUAUUUUUUAUUAUUUUUAAGAUCUCUCUUUUGUUUUACAAAAGUGGAAAUUUAAAUGACUCUUUUAUGGGUUCCAUCAUACGACCAUAUAUAUAUAGAUUGAGAGAGUAAACUGCAAGAUCGGAAUCGGGAGUUCAAAGCUGUGAAAAAUUAAUAUCCUGAAAAAUAUUUUCCUAACUUUAAUUGUUGUUAAUCGGUUAUAAAAAUAAUUAAUGAAAUGAAUUAACGAUUUAUAUCUAAACAUUUUUAUUGAUGAUGAGAAUAUUUUUUAUUAUCACUUUUCUUAGUGAUGUAAAAAAUUAAAAUUAGGAAAAUAUUUUUCAAAUUAUUAGUUUUUUUUUUUUGUGAAAAAAAAAAUGGAGUUUGGUCUUUUGAAGCAGCUACGGUGUGGGAAAGAUGAUUUAUAUGAAGACGGAGAAUCCAUACGCUUGGGAAUGUGAUGGAGACAAUUAGAUUGAGAAAGAAAAUCAACAAUUUUUAUUUUCAUUCAAUGUCUUGUAAAAUACUAACUUUGAGUCAUGUCAUGCAGUUCCUUUUGAGCGGAUAUGUGAUGUUUAAACCAGUUUGUUGGUAUGUUGAUGCAUCCCUUAAACAUAUGUUGAUGCACAAAUUGAUCCCAAGCUCAAGAAAGUGUGUUGCCUACAUUAUUUAACACACAUAGAAAAAUCAUUCAAUCAAUAAUUCAAACUGGGUUGCUUUGAUAAAAUUCUAUUUUCUUGUUAAAAAAUAAAUAGUCCAUUAUAUCUCAAGAUGAUAUGUGAAAGACUCAAAAUAAAGUAAAUCUCAACAACAAAACAGUAAAGCACAAAUAAUAGCAGUGCGUACACUAUCAUUCCAUAAAAAUGAAUAUAUGUCGAGCGUCGAAACAAAAUGAACAACGGCUAAUAUUUGAAGUCGGUAAGAACAAAUCAUUUUAUUCCCUACAUACCCUUACUGAUCUCCACUCAUCUCUUCAUGUGACACUAAGCUCUUCUUCCAAUGGUAGUUUCAUAGAUCUCCAAGCUGGUUUUCCCACAUACCUAGAAUUUGCUUUCUCUCUCUCUAGUUAUAAUAACCGAGAUGUCCCGUGGUGCAUGAACAAAAUGGGGGACGAUGAAUGUUCCCUAAUGCCCAGUAGCUACGGCAUAAUAUUCACUAAUUAAAAACGAUGGGGGCAGCCAUGCGUCGUGCUUGGUUUGGAUUUUAGUCAUUUACGAUCCGAGCGCCUCCUGUGACUCCUGGGUUCGUGCACUUCUCAAAGUGCGAAUCCACAUAUGAGAGCAUUCCACGUUAGUGGAGAUUGGAGUGAGCAUCCGAAGGAAAAUGGGUUCAUGCACCCAGCCAUCGGUUGCCCGCCGCCCGAUGUUUCCUCGCCCGACAUUUUGGUAUAGAUAAAUAGGCGAAACGUGGUGUUUUGUCUCUAGGGGUGUAUUCAAGUCGGGUCAGUCGACACGAUGAUUUUGAGAGCUCGGUUUGACUUGAUCUUUAAGUGUUUGAUGCUUGAAACUCUACUUGAGCUUGAUCGAGUAUUAAGAUUGAUGCUCAAGUUUAAUUUGACUGGAAAAAUCGAGAUACUAAAGCUUGGGUAAAUAAGUAGUAAACUUCACUUUUAUAAAUCAAAUAUGAUUACCAAAAGAGUCUAACUAUAUAACUAAUAGUUCAAUGAAAUAAGAUAUCUUUUUAGACAAAGCACGCUUUUCAAAUGCACAAAAGAAGUCAAUUUUCAGAUUAAGUCGAAUAUAUAUAAUAAUUAAGGGAUCCAAAGUCAUUUCUCAUGUCAUAGGCUAUGGUCACUUUUCGCCGAUGACAUAAAAACCUAAAAAUUGUAUUAAUUAUGAAUAUAACUUAUUCAUAUAAUAAUUCAGCCAAUCAUAUCAUAUAGAAAUAGAUUUAUAAUCCAUUUUAAUUAAUACCCGGCCAUGCAUAGUCCACUGUCCCCUAUCCACAAGAAAAGGAAGCUGCAUCCACGUUAUCCAUAAAGUAAAUUCAUUCAUCCCCAACAUAAUUUACUUCUUGUUGGCUCCCAUUUCAUUGACGCAACACCAAUCAGCAAAAAUGCUCGAAUAUGGCACGCUCCAGACAAAAAGUGAAAGCAAAAUGGAGAUGAAGAUGACAUAUCAACGCAGAUUUUCCAUAAAUUUGAUAUUUCAAAAUCUACAAUAUGUACAGUAAGACACUGUGGACCUAAUAGCCAAACUUGUCGAUCAAAAUCAAAAGAACUAGAGAAGAAAACUUCAGCUUGUGAAUGCUAGUAUAAACACCUAGAGGGGGUGAAUAGGUGUAAAAACCAAUUUUCGAGAUAAGUGUGCAGCACUAUUCAAUAAGGCUGCGUUUGGUCGUCCGGAUUUCUAAACGGGAUAGAACUGGAUAGGAUAGGAUAAGAAAUCUUCAUAUCUCAUCAACUGUUUGGUGAACUAUGGAUUUAAAGUCGGAUAUCCGCAUAUCCUAUCCAAUCUACUGUUUGGUGAACUACGGAUUUAAAAUCGGAUAUCCUCAAAUCUUAUCAAAUCUAUCGUUUGGUGAACUAUGGAUUUAUAUUCGGAUAUUUUAAAAACAAUAACAUUAGGCAAGUACAAAUUUGUAGGUUUAAUAUUCACAAAAUCAUCCAAAACAAUAUAUCGUUUUCAAAUUAACAGAUUCUCAUUGAAUUUCAUGAUUACGCAUCGUAAUAAUCUUUUCAAUUCCUUUGAAAUAAUCUUUUGGAUACCCCUUAAACAUCAAACGUUUUUAGAAUAACCUCAACUUCAAUAUAUUCACUUUGAAACAUGAAUUCUUUUGUCUCUCUUACAAGUUUUUCAUUUGUUUCCAUUUUGUUACAGGUCCAAUACCAAAUCAAACCAAUGCCCAAUUAGAACAAAGCAUAAAGUCCAAAGUUCAUUCACUUUUUUUCCUAGCUGUCACGAGGAUGCAAUGGCAAUUAAUCAUGUUAAUGAACAAUCUCUGAAAAUUUAAUGAUAGAGACAGCAUAGUACUUCAAAUUUAAAAUGAUAAAGUCAUAAUUCAAAUAUAAUAUAGGAAAUAUAUGUCUCAAUAAUGACAAACCAGCACCAUAUUACAUAUGUCUAAUAGAAAUGGAAAAAAAAAUCUUAUAAUGCAAGUCUUGCAACAAUGGAAAACAAAUGAUUUUUUUAAAAUAAUAUAAAAUCAUACAACUCCUCCAUGUCCUCGACUUGCAUUCCAUUCAUUAAACAUUUGUACUGCCAAAUUUUGCCUCCAUGUUGCCUAAUGAUCUGACGGCUCAACAACAUCGAUUGUUUCCACAUCUUCAAUAGUGGUAGCAGCUUCAUCUAACUGUGCCUCGAUUGGAUCAAUAGCCAUUUCUCUUCUUAUCAAGUUGUGCAGAAGGCAACAAGCUAUGAUUAUUCAACCUUGUGUUCUAAUUGGAAAGAUGGACUCCUAAGAAUAGCCCACCGUAACUUAAGUAGACCGAAGCAUCUUUCUAUGACAUUUCUAGCUUGAGAAUGCUUCAAGUUGAAGUACUCCUCGGGUGAAUUUGGUGUACGACCUUUUGUCCACUCAGAUAGAUGAUAUCGAGUACCUCUAUAAGGAGCAAGAAAGCCCUCCCCAUUUGUGUAUCCAACAUCUACAAGAUAAUAAUUACCUAAUAACAAACGAUGAUAUUAUUAGUUGUCUUAGAACCUUUAAAACCUACAAUACAUAGAAUGCAAUAUAUUGAUAUAGGCUUAUCUUACCAACGGGGAUCUUUAAACCAUUGGGUUUAACUAUAGCAUCUCGAAGCACUCUAGAAUCCUCUGUUGAGCCUUCCCAUCCAGGUAAAACAUAAACGAAUCUCAUGUCAAGUGAGCAAACUCCUAAUACAUUGGACGCAAUCUCACCCUUUCUAUUUCGGUACCUCGGUUUAUCAACCUCUGGAACACGUACCCUUAUAAAUGUGCCAUCUAAUGCUCCUAAGCAACCCUAGAAACAUAAAAUUAAUAAAAUAACAUUCUCUUUAAAGUAUUAAAUUAGUCCAUGAAAGAGCAUAACAAACAUAUCUUAAACCACUUCCAUCUCUCGUUGGCACAUUCCUCUGGAACUGGUUCAGGUGAGACAAGAAUCACAUUAUGCAUUCUUAUCACCGCAUUUAAAACUAAGUUAAAAUACCUACUUAUUGUCUCUCUAGACCUCAUAAAUCUGAACUUGAUGACUCGAUUUUUCACGUGAUGGGCAAGUAUAUGUAGAAACAUGGCCAUUUGUUCUUCUAUAGUUACAAGUCCAUCUUCUUUUAACCCACCAAUUGUACGUGCCAACUCGCAUAGUAGAGUAAAUGUACGCCUAUCCAUCCAAAGUUGUUCCACACAAUUCAAGUCAUUGCUUUUAAUGAGGCGGUCAAGGUGAUCUAAACGAGCUUGGACUCUAAUAAAUGUCCGAUCCUUCAAUAUAUGCUUGCGAUAGUGCCUUUCAGCAGCAGUGGACACUACUAGCAUAUACAUCAUACACAAAAGCAACAUUUGGAGGCUCAUUUCCUCUAAUAUAAGAAUGGUGAAAAUUUCCUCUCUAUCAUUGUGAUCCAUUUCUAAUGAGAAAAAAAAACAUUAGACAAGUACAAAUUAAUAGAUCCAGAUAUCUCUUUGGUAAUAAACAAAUAAUAAUCCUAUUGCCUACAUACAAUAUGGUCCCAACAGAUCACACGACCCAUUAAAAAUAGGAACUGACUACAUAUACAUAGGUAACAAUUUGUGCUGAAAACCAAACUCACACCACACAGCAUCAAUCAAACUAGCAUUGGUCUCCACAUCACACAACAGAGGAUGCCUAGCCUUAACUUACACUACUUCGACACCAAUUCAAACCAUAAACCAAAAUCCCGUGACAGCAAAGAUGAAGCCUUUCAACCAAAAUUGAACCCGUAAACCAAAACCCCAGCCACUCUCCAUAUCCCUUUAUAUAUCUAUUCCUAAAUAAAUUUAUAAUGGAACUCCAGCACAUGCUACAUGAAAAGGUCCCAACAUUGAAUCUAUCACAAGCUAAGAGUAAGGAGCAAAAUUUUCGAUCAAUGCUAGAAUGAAGAAAAAUAAGCCAACUUUUAGAAUAAUUUGCAGCACAUGCCCAUUCAAAAUUCCAAUCUAGAUUCAUAAAAAAAAAACCACCCAUAAAUUGUACAUACUUUUAGAAUAAUUUGCAUUAUAUGCACAUUCAAACUAUCAAAUCCAGAUCCAUAAAAAAAAACUACCCAUGGCUUCUACACUCUUCCCCCCCGGCCCACAACACCCAUCCAUCCAAUUUGGUCCAAUUACACAAGAAGGAACGCCACAAUACAAAUUGGUAUUUCAGUCAUUCUGAGCAAGGAUUUCAUCAAACCAAACACUUCAGGGAAAAUCCAGAAUAAGUCAGAAGACAAUCAUACUGUGUUCAUGGUCACUGUUGCUGGGAAAGGGCUUCGUGAAGAUGAAAAUCAAUGGCUCCUGGUCCUAGCUAGCGGAUUUGUCGGAGGGGUUGGUUGCUGGAGUCGCUCGGGACGACCGGGGGACAUUGAUCCUUGGGUUUGCAAAGAAGGUCGUGGUCUCCUCUGCUCUGCACACAAAAAAACUAGCCCUCAAAGAAGCGUCUGUCGCUAGUUGGGCGAGGAAAGGGAGAGAGAAUGAUUAUUUACCCUUGAAAAUUCGUCGCUUUCGUAAAAUUUCGAUGAGAAUCAGAGAGCUAUUGAGGAGAAGGCUUCAACGUCGAUACUUUGGAAACAUAGAGUCAUUUGUGGGUGAAUGACGGAGAAAGAAAAAAAAGCUUAGGGUUUUAUGUUUCGGAUAAAAGAAACCCUAUAUGACCUUAUCCCACCCCCCCUCGGAUUUUUUUUUUCCGGUCUAUAUUCCUUCUAUAUCCGACCUUAUCCUAUCCUAGACAGCUGCCAAACAUGGGAUAUGAUAAAACAUAUCCUAUCCUGGUUUUUAUCCUAUCUCGGUUUUUAUCCGAUCGACCAAACACGGCCUAAUAGAUUAUGAAAAUGAAAUUUGUUUCUUGUCAAUUGAACAAGUUACGAUCAAAGUAAAAGAGUGUAAGGAAGAGAAUUUGAACACAGAGUUUAUAGUGGUUCGGCUUGAUCCAAGCCUACGUCCACUUUUCCGCACUGAUAGCCCACCGGCUGGAUUUCACUAUGAACAAAAGAGUUGUUACAGUAAAGCUCUUCCUUGAUUCCACAAUGUAGAGACUCUACUACACUUCCUCAAGGUCUCUCAAAGAUAUAGACUCUCUUUUGCGUACAAGAUUUCGCUUAACAGUUUGACUAAGAACAAGGAGCUUCAGACUUUGGAAUUUUUUUUAUCGUGCAUACACUCGAACAACUGGAACGUCUUCCUUAUAUACUCAUUUAUGCCAUCAUACCCGUUGGCACUUACCAAAGGAAUUCUUUCAAUCUACCCGUUGGACAGAAUCAAUUAGAAAGAUCUUCGAGCUAUUUAGGGAACAUGACGAUAGCCCAUCAAUCCUGCUCGCCCAUACAAGCAAGAUCUCGGUUUCCAUAAGUAGAACCUUCCAAGUAUACUUCUCCAAUUAACAGAUCCAAAAUCCCUGAAUCAAUCUUGAUUUGAAUAAUGGAUUCCGACAUGCUAUAUCCAGCCAAGAGAUCUUUUCCAGUCGAUAGAGUCAAAUCCUUAACGAAACAUCUAGUUCUGGAUAAGCCUUCUUUGACGGUCUAGAAACUGUCAAUGAGGAUAGACUUUGAGUCUUGAGUUUGACAGUCCGGAGGUCUUCAGACUUUGAUGAAAGAGUCUGCAAGUCUUCAGACUAGACUGAUGGAAACGUUUUGUCAGCUUCAAUAUACUCAAGGAAGUUUUCUUCAACAAUCUCCCCUUUUUUGAUGGUGACAAAACUUUCCUGUAGAUUUGGAUAACUUUGACCUGCAAAACAUUACUCAAGCAAAUAUGGAUAUCUCACAAAGAUAAAUGGCUUAGUAAAAAUAACACUAGAGUCUGCAUCCACAGAAUGUAUGUUAGUCUUGUAGAUGAACAAAGCCAUGAGAUAUCAAUAGUACUUAAGAUAAAUAAAUGUUCAAACAGUCAAAUCCAAAUCCAGUUCAAAUCCAAAUAGUCAAACACAAAAGUCAAGUGAAUUAAAUAUAAUUGACACAAAAGUUAAAAAAGUUCAAAUCAAAUCUGCACCACAUCUCUCCCCCUUUUUGUCAUCAUUAAAAAGGUAGAGAUGAAAAGAGAAUGGAAUUAAGAAUGCUUGUGAACACGAACAAGUUGGAAAUCUCCCAUUGAUUGGACAAUCCCAUCUAGCUUUUUCAAAUCCUCCUUCAGUUGCGCCACAUCUUCACCCUUUGCAUUUGCUUGAACUUGAAGAUCAAGGGCUUGGAUUUGAUUAUUCAAAGAAACCGAAGAAGCUUUUCUUGCAUUCUGCAAGUUCUAUACUUCGCAUCCCAGAGCAUAUAUUUGACCCCGCAUCUCUAAGAGAACAUCAAGUAUUCUACGAAAGUCUGCUGAAUUAUUAGUUUGAGUACUUGCUUCUGCACAAUCAGAUGGUGUAUAGGCAGAUGAUGGCAAAUCAGCAUGGUCACGCAGAUUGGGCGAUGAAACAUCAUGUCCCUCCUCAGGAAAUUGAGAUGCAUAGAUGUCCUAUGGAUCUGUUGGAGAACGACUUAUUCCUUCACUGUUUGCAGGGAAUGAGGAUGUUCCUCUUUUCUCAGGAUCUCCCCCUGUUUCCAUGCCUUCAGGUGGAGAAAAGUGUUCCUCAUGCUCUGCUUCCGCUUGAUCUCCUCUCUCCUCUUCUUCUUAUUCCUCAAUUCUUUCCUCCUUUGCAUCUCUUUCCUCUGCUUCUCUCUCUUCUCUCUCUUCUGCUUCUCUCUCUCCAGUCCUCUGUUAUGUUUCAUCCAUUUCUUUUUCCUGUCUCUCCGUUGAUUUUGGAGCAGAACGACUCAAGUUCUUCAAUGCCAUUGCAGAAAUGGUGAUAUCAUCCUCAUCCUCUUCAUCCUCAAUGAUGAGAGCUCUUCUUUUCUUGGAUGGAGCAACCAUGGGCUCCUUCCCUUUCCUCUUUGCAGCCGAAGAGAUUUGAUGAGUCUUGACAGGGGUUUUCUCCUUGAAUUGCUCCAACGCCUUGUUGAGUUCCUUCAGAUGCAUUUUAGAGACCAUUUUUAGUCCUACCACCAUUUGAUCGCACAUUCGAACACAGAGAAUUCGGGGAGGCUGAACAUUCAGAUGUCUGAAUAACUUGGUCAUAAGAGCUGCGUACGGGAGUUGACCCUUGUCCUUCACCACUGCCCUGUACAUGUGGAACAUAAUAGUGUUUGGAAGAGAAAACUUUUUCCUAGCAUUGAUGGCAUACAUCGGCUUUGCCUCCGAGUUUGAAACAUCGGUCUUUGAAGUUGAUUUUGGUCUGAGGUAGUUAAUCAAAAUCUUGUGAAGCAUAAUGUUGAACGCAUUCAUCCUCAAAUAGGAAAUCUUUCCCUCUGUCCUUCUAUCCUUAACAAGUUCCAACGUUGCACGAGCAAUAGACACACUAAUAGGUUGAUAUCUCACUCUUUCAACCCCAAUCACAUCAGCUAAUGUAUUCAUGUCAACCACAUAGUCCUGAUCUCGAACACUAAAAGAGAAUCUAUUUGCAUCUAAGAAACUAAGAUUUGAAUAGAAAUAAGUAGUAAGUUCAGCAUAAGCUUAUGUACUUUCAGAACAAAACUGUUCGAGUUGAAGAAGACUGAAUUUUUCCCACAAAUUGACACUCACAAAGUCAAGAAAGUCAAAGUCCACACUUCUAAGGUUUAUCACCCCACGCUUCAGCAACUUAGAGUACAGUUGCUUGUGUUCCUCCGAUUGAAACAAAUCUAUCCUUUUGCUUCAGAUUUUUGCCGUAACACCCAUUCUCGGUUUAAACCGACUGAACAUCCUAUCAUCGUCAUUUCCAUCUGGCUGAAUCAGCCCUCCAAUGCAUGGAUUGCUUGGGAUAUUUGCCAAAGCCUCUUCUGCCGACCCAGCAGGGGCAAUUCCCAAUCGUUCCAUUGUGCGUAAAAAGAAAGUUUCAUUUUUGUACCUGUCUUUAAGAAAUUCAUCAAUGUAGUUCAAAGGAGUAGCACCCCUCUUCAAAGCACAAUAAAGCUUGUAGGUAAAAACAGGCUUAAGAGUUCUUACGGGUUCUACAUCUUCGAUGAUUUCUUUCUCUUCUCGAUGUGCAACAUCCUGAGGUUUAGAUGGAUGAGAUAGGCGCUGCUGAGAAUAUUGUGGGCUCUGCCGCUGUCCAGAAGAUUCUUCUUCCUUGGUGAGAUCAAAGUGCGUAGGCCCCUCAUGCAUUUGCUGUGGUCCCUGUUUGCAAUUCUUGAAGACUUUCUUUGGGACGACAUCUUUCACAGUCUUUGAGAGAUUCCAAGCUUGUUUUCCAAGAAAGAUGACAACUUUUCGAGGAUUAAACAAGAGAAAAAGACAGAAGUGGAAGAUCGGUGCUCUCUUAGGGUUUUUGUGAGUAAAACGAAGAGGAAUUGAUAGUAUAUAAGGUAGUCGAAACGAGGCAUACGAAACGCCGUAAAAAUGAAAUAAAAGAUGCCCUUUUUUUUAAAAAAAAAUAACUGCCUUUCAAAAUUAUAUAACUGUCAUUUCAAAAAUAAUUUUUUUAAAAGGAAAAAUUGCAAUAAUCACGGAAAUUGAAAAUAGCAACAAUCAAUUACGGGUUGAUGACCGUACCUUUUCGGGAUUUGAUUCGAGAGACAAUUUUCUAAAAUAAAAUUAACUCAUAGUUGAGAAUCUUGAUCGUUUGAGUCUGAGUGUCUUUAGACUUUCAAUCCUGGUUCUGAACUUCCUCAGACUUUAAGAUAUUAAGUCUGGAACGACUAAUUUCAAAUUGAUUUUUCUCCAAAGGCUUUGUAAAUUUAUCUGCCAGUUGAUUCUUUGAGUCAAUAAACUGAAUCGAAACGACUCCAAUUUGAACAUGAUCUCUAAUGAAGUGAUGUCGAAUCUCUAUAUAUUUUGCUCUUGAGUGAAGAAUCGGAUUCUUGGUGAGAUUGAUUGCGCUGGUGUUGUCACAUUUCAUUUCAGUGUAUGAAUCUUCGAUUCCAAAGUCUCUUAACUGUUGUUUUAUCUACAGAAUUUGUGAACAACAACUUCCAAGAGCUACAUACUCUGCUUCUGCUGUAGAAAGAGCUACUGUACUUUGCUUCCUUGAAAACCAAGAUACCGUUAUGCUUCCAAGUAGUUGACAGGUGCUCGAGGUGCUCUUUCUAUCAACUCUGCAUCUGGCUAAGUCUGCGUCUGAGUAUCUAAGAAGAGUAAAGUCUCCUUCUUUGGGAUACCAGAGACCAAAGUUUGAAGUUGAGGCAAUGUAUUUGAUAAUACGCUUUGCAGCACUUAGAUGAGAUUCUUUAGGGUCUGUGGUAGGUUAGAAACGUUUCCAUCCUGGAAUCUUUGGAUGUCUUUAGGCUCUAAACUAAAGGGCUAAGUGAUUUUCUGCUAAAAGGCUGUCCCUGAAGGGCUUGAACGAGAGUUGUUCGCCCACUGUGGGAUGCAUACUUGUAGGAAAUUUACUCUCCUUCCUUGGUUCUAAGCCUAGGUCCAUUCAUGGUAUCAGAGCGAAUGGUUUCGUUUGUAAUGUUAUCCAUUCCAUGCGCUUGGUAGGUGAAUCCAGUGUUGAGAAGAUCUCCUUACAUCAUGUCUACAGAACCAGAAAUUCUCAAAGCACCCGUUUCCCUUGCUCCUUCUCCUUCAUCUUCAACUCCCCCAGAAUUUCGUGUUUCCAAUGCCUCUAAGAUAGAUUAUCUUUAUGAAGUCUCUCUUAGUGAUGAAACCAAGAUUUCUGAAACUCAACUUCCUCUCAUGAACCCUUACUCCGCUUUUGCCAAUCUUAACUCAUCAUUCUCACAUAUCCGCUCCAUCCGCCAACUUAUUCACCAAACCCCAAAGCAAGUAAAGGAGUAUGUCAAAUCCUCCAAAUUCGAUCAGUAUCCCAUUCCUGCCACUGAAAAAGAGUAUUUUAUUACUCUUCAAAUCCCUCCAGAGUUCCCCAGACAAUGGGCUCAAUAGGGAUAUACUCAUGUCCAUUAUGGAGUUGUUCGUCUUGCUCUUACCUUUCAUGGUCGUAAAGGUUUGUCAGUUGUGGCAAGAAUAGCAUUGUUGGAUACCAGGUUUUUACAAUACCAGCAUGCUUGCAUCGGUAUUGUCCAAACUACUUUGAAUGCUGGAAUAGUCUUUGUGACUUUGUAUCCAAAUUCCAACAUUGCUCUUUCAGACCCCCAACUACUCUCUUUUCUAAAAGUCCAAGUCCAGCUCACUGGAGCUCCUCAAACUGCUGAAUCUGUAGCUGCAACUCUACAUUACCAGAUGGUUUAUCGAGUGCAGAACCAUGCACUUGACCUCAACUUCAACAAUGGUAAUGAAUAUGCUUUGUUCAUCUCUAUGUAGAAUGACCAGGCAUCCUGUAUCCAUGUUCCCAGACAGAUCCCGAAGGAUACAUUGGCCAAGCUCCUUCCAGAGACCUAGAUCACCAACUACGAAAAGCUACACCAGCAUAACAAGCCUUUCCAGUCUACGAACUCAGAGUUCGUACGAAAAAAAGAUGGAACUGUUUCCAUCAAAUUUGGCAAGGAAAAUGAAGAAAGCCCUUCUAUCUUCCAGACCCUCUUCAUGAUUGAACCAUGUGUUCCUCAAUCAAUUUCCGAGCCAGAUCCAAAAAAGCUUGUUAGACACUUUAAUGGUGAUGGACAUCCUGUCCAUUACUACAAAGACAACCAUGAUCAUUGUUUUUGGGAUCCUUUUUGCCAAUGUUCCUAUUGUACAAAAUCUCCCGACGAGGUAGAUCCUUUUGCAAAAUCUCCACCUCGAAGGAAAAGGCCAAAGGAUAAGGUGUACCAAAAAUACUUAAACGGAGAUCCAUCCAUUGAUACUCUUGGUGAGUGUGAUAAAUACCAGUUCAUGGUUUCCUAUGCACCACCUCAACCACCAAAGUACAGUGCUACAUCCCAAGCCUUACCAGAUCCACCAAAAUCACCCCCACCAUCUCCUCCUCAGAAAAAACAAGCUCUCUCUCCGUUUUAUAAGCCAACCCUAAAAUGGGCUAAGAAGCAUUCUUACCCACUUGAAGCCCCAGCGGAAAUACUACCCACUUCUUCCAUUGCCAUGUUCCAUGAUGCUGAUUUUCCCCCUCUCGUCAGAGAAAAUUCUAAACUAUCAUUUCCUGCUCCCGAGGAAUUCAUUGACCCACAAAACAGAUAUCGUCAUGCUCCAAAGAUAGCAACCCCUACUGAUGUGGAUGAACAUGAGAGACAGAGAAAGACUCCUGCUGCUGAAGCUGUUCUAAAUUGGCAAUCAGAGACUCUGUUGGCACAAAACAAUGCCUUUAAGGCAAUUGAUUCCAAAAUUGGAAAUGUGCAACAAGAUCUUCAAGGUAUGAUGAAAGCACCAAAAAGAUACUUUCUGAGUUCCAGAAAAGGCUUCAUGCCUUGGAAUCAGGAUAGUAUCUUGGGUAUCAUUAUCUUGAAAGUCCAAAGCCAGAAAUAGAAAAGCUCAAGAGGCAAAUCCAACUUCUUGAAGAAGGAAGGUUUAGACCUUUCGAUCCAUUGGCACCUUAUGUUAGAACUGGGUAUUUACCUCCACCGCCACAGACAUCUAUUUUUGCCACUAUUCCAGAAGAUCCCUGCAGAAGAGAACCCGACAUGGCAGAAAUACGAAAUCGUCUCAAGGCCCUACAGAAGGACAACGGAAAAGAAAAAAAUGCCGCCUACAGAAUCAAGUUCGAUUGUUAUAAGAGAAAGAUCAGAACAUAUGAUGUUAUCCAACCCAUUAGAAUCCUUUCUAAAGGAUUUGGGUACUCAGGAACCUGAACCUGCUACUCAACAACCUGAUCUUGUCAUUCCAGAAAAGUAGAUCCUAUUCCCAGUUGAGCAUACUACUCCUGAGACUGAAUCAGAUUCAGUAUCUCUUUCCUCUUCUUCAUCUUUCUCCAUUCCUACAGUUGAUUCUCUCCUUAUUGCCCCAGUAACUUCAUCAGUAUUCAUGGAUGAUCCUUCUGAUGAUGAAAUGGAAUCAGACUAUUAUGAGCCAGAAAAUGUUCAGACAAACAAUUAUGCUCAGCAUGUGUCCAUAGCAUCAAAACAGUUCUUCAUUAUCGAUGAUAUUUCUUAUCAUAAAUGGCCACAAAGACUUGAAGACUUUCAUACUUGGUUGAAUACUCAGUCCAUUACCAACCAUGAUAUGAAUGAUGUCCUUUACAACUUUGUUACAAGGUUCAUGGGCAGCCUCAAACUUUGGUGGCAAUCAAUUUUUGAACAGGACCAGAUUCAUUUCCUGAUGUCACCAAAUUUCGGCCAUGCCAUCACUCUCUUAUACCAUGUCUUUGUGGGAAAACCCACUGAUCUCAUAGAGAUGAAAAGAAGAGAAUUUUUCGAAAGAAAAUGCUGCUCCCUCUAGAAGAAGCAUCUUGAUAAGCAUUAUCGAGUGAUGCUUCAGCUUUUUUACCAAAUUGGCGCAUAUCCAAAUUUAAAGCAUGUUUUCCUUACUUCCAUCCCUAAGGAACUAUCCCAGAUGGUUGAAAGAUCUUUCUUUGGAAAACAAAGGAGAGUACAAGAUAUUCCCUUGGUAGAAAUACAGCAAGAAGUCCAUCUAUGCCUAGAAGAAUUAUGCUUAAAGCGCUAGAUGGUCCGUACAUACAUCAAAGAUGACAAACGCCUUGAAUCAGCUUGCUCUCGCCAGAAAUUAAAAAUCAAAUGUUCUAAGCAAGACUGUGAUGGUACUUGUGGCAAGUACUCUUGGAAAAAGAAACAUUACAAGAAGUUUUGGAUAAACAAAUCCAAACAUGGUUCCAAGCAUUUCUGGAAAAAGAAGAAAUGACGAUACCUAUGCAAAAGGAAGGAUCGCACAUGCCACAAGAAAUCAAACCGUUGCUACAUCUGCAACCAAAAAGGACAUUUUGCCAAAAAUUGUCCUCAAGCAAGAAAAUGCCAGAAUCGUCUAAUUCAUCACAUUAAGAAUGAAACAGGUAUUUCUUUUGAAAAUGAUGAUAUUGAAUCCCUAUUCUCUGCUGACGAAGAACCAUCUGAACAAACUCUUUGUGUCAUUUCCUCUUACCAAACUUCCAGUGAGACUGAGUUAGACUCAGAAUUUGAAGAUAUUUUUCAUAUAUCAUCCUCAUCCCUAGAACCUAACUUUGACAUAUUUUCAAGUCAAACUCAUUGUCCCAAUUUCCCUAUAAAAAUCCUCACUUCAAAGUUUGCCAAACCCAUCACUGUUAUCGCCCUCAUUGACACAGGAGCAAGUUGUUCAAUAUUGGACACUAAAGUUUUCUUGAAGAAUUCUGGACUCCUUACAUCCGAUAUUUCAAUUAUGCCUUAGGAGAUACUUUCUCCACAAAUGUCAGAACCACUCCCGUAACAGUCCAGUUCUUCCCUCAGUGUUCUAUAACCACAAAAAUCUUUGGAUCAAGCCUCCCCAAUAAAGACCUGAUAAUUGGGUGGGAUAUCAUGACUCAAAUCUCUCAACUCCGUAUCAUUCCUAGAAAAAGGUCUUAGAUAUAAAGACCAAUUCUCUGAGUUCGUCAAUAUUCAGAGACUCUUUUCCAUUCAGAUGAGUCUAUUAGAUCCAAUCAUGCAAAAGUUGUUAGAAUCUUGUUCAGAAUCCCAUUUAGAAUUCGCCCAGAAAUGUUCCCAUCCUUUAUGGAAAAAUCCAGAAUUCUUUGUUCGAUUUCCCUUCAAGAAGAAUGAAGAUAUAAAUCCAACUAAGGCAGCCACAUGGGAAUGAAACCAGAACAUUUGGCGUUAGCUCAAAGGGAAUGCUCAGAAUUAUUGCAACAAGGCCUUAUUGAAAUCUCUGAUUCUCAAUGGGCCUGCGAAGCCUUUUAUGUCAAUAAGUGUGCUAAGCAAAACAGGGGAAAAAUGAGUUUGGUAAUCAACUAUCAACCUCUUAACCUUUUUCUCUAAGAUGAUAAAUUCCCUUUACCAUCCAGAGACUCUCUUUUUACUAGUCUAACCAAGGCCCAUAUCUAUUCCAAAUUCGACCUCAAAGCUGGAUUUUGGCAAUUGGGCAUACAUCCUGAAGACAAAACUAAGAUAGGAUUCUGUAUCCCAAACCAGCACUUCUAGUGGAAAAUACUUCCUUUUGGCUUAAAGGUAGCACCAUCCCUUUUCCAAAAGGCCAUGUGCCGUAUUUUCCAACCAAUCAUGUCAAAUGCAGCCGUGUACAUUGAUGACAUUCUGCUCUACAGUCCUGACGAGCAGUCACAUUGCCAACUCCUUGAGCAAUUCGCAGAAAUCGUCAAAAAGCAUGGCAUUAUGCUUUCUCAAAGGAAAAUGAAUAUUGCCCAAAAAGAGAUUGAAUUUCUUGGUAUGCACCUCAACAAAGGUAUGUACUACCCAGGGCCACAUAUUGCUCAAGAAUUAUUGAAGUUUCCUGAAGAUAACUUCACUACAAAACAAGUUCAGCAAUUUCUUGGGAUAAUCAAUUAUCUUAGGGAUUUUUCCCAAACAUUGCAAAGCUCCUGAUUCCUUUGCAAUCCAUGCUAAAGAAGAAUCCCCCACCUUGGGGAAAAACCCAGACUAAAGCAGUUGCUGAGCUUAAGGAGAUUAUGCAGAAUCUCCCACAAUUGCAAAUACCAUCAACAGGAAAAAUAAUUCUUCAAACUGACGCCAGUGAUGAAUACUGGGCAGCCAUCCUGUUCGAAGAAAUUGAUGGUAAGAGACACCUUUGUGCUCAUAAAAGUGGAAAGUUUUCUCCAGCUGAAAUGCAUUAUCUUUCCACUUUUAAAGAAAUCUUAGCAGUAAAGAAUGGAAUAAAAAAGUUUGAGUUUCAUCUCAUCGGCCAUCACUUCCUAGUAGAAUUAGACAUGGCAUCUUUCCCUCAGAUAACUAAGUUUAAACAGAAGCAGAUUCCAAAUUCCCAACUACUUCGAUGGGUUGAAUGGUUCUCAAAAUACUCCUUUGAAACCAAACAUAUUCCUGGAAAGAAGAAUGUGCUUGCUGACUUCUUAUCAAGACCAAAAGCACCAGCCGAAAUCAACAUGUACAUCAAGAGGCCUGCUUUCCAUAUGCUCAAUCAUGGAGUGAAAUACAAGAUUGAGAAGAUCAAAGAUUUGCAAAGAUGGAAAUAUCCCCAGGAGAUUAUUCAGCAAAUCCAGAAUGACAGCCUCAUUGAGAACUUGGAGAAUCUCAUGUGGUAAUGCCACACAGAUCUAUUCAGAUUCAAUGGAGGUUCGAUUCUUUAUCCUUUUGGGUUAAAUAUGAAUUAUCCAUUCAUUCAUCCUCUUAUUUGGAAGGAAGAUGAUUUUCCUGAACAGCUCAAGACGUUAUUGUGGUACUUAACCAAUAAAUACUUGAUAGCCAUUGAAAUUCCAACCAGAAGGUUCAUUGCCAACCUCACCAGGAUAUUCUUACUUGGAAGAAAUGUUGAAAAAGAAAGUGAUAAGAAUCUCUUAGACUUUUUUAACUGGUUCUAUUCUCCUACUUACUGGAAACAACUCUUGGAAAAGGAACUGAGAACCAUGACACUGAAUCCUAAAGUCCAUACCAUCCUAUUUUUCAGACGUCCAUGGCAUUUUUUCACAAAUAAUGGAAGAAUCAUUGACGUCCCACAGGAAAUAGGAACCACAUCCUAUAAACCUCACUUGGACAGCCGAGAAGCUCAGAUUCACAAAUCUUAUCCAAGAUCUGUUAGAUUUUGUGAACACGAAUACCGAAAACUUCAGAGAAUCCUGUGCUAGGAAAAAAAACCAUUCCCGAAGAUGUUUGGAAUAAUGCACCCACUACGUAGGAUCAUUAUGACCUAGCACCAGAAGCUAAGGAAGCACUCGGACAAUACAGACAAGCUGCAUCGUCCCAAGGGCAUGAAAUGACAAGCGAAGAUGACAUUGUCAAAUCCACCUAGGACCCCUAUGCACGCUUUGGAGGUCCUCUGUCCCAGGAUCCCUACGAAUAGGGACCUUCGUCCUUAUUUCAAAGCAUGAACACAUCUUUCUAUGCACAACCAUCCAAUCGGCCUCAGCCAAGAAUUUCUGCCGACACUCAAGAAAAUGAAAACACAAACUGGGUUGAAGAAGAAGCAUCACAUUGGGCUCAUGAAGAAGCAUCAUCAUCACGAAGGCUGAACCAAAUCCUUUCACUUGAAGACCUUGAAGCCCUUGAACAGAAAUACGAAGCACAUCUCCUAUAAGACAGCUAAGAUAAUUUAGUCUGUAGCUACAAUGCUCGAAACGGACGAGACCGUUGAAGUCAGUACAUUUUCACUGUAGCAAGUCACUGUUCACUUUUACUGUAGCAUUAGGCUAGGGAAGGUACUCUUCAUAGUACAAUUACUAUUCAUAGUGUGCGAAUAAUUCCCUCCUGGAAGUUUCCGGUGCCUUUGUUUGUAUCUGGACUCGUGAGCUAGGUCCUUGUUUGUUGCUUUGUGACCUCUAAUCAUCUAUAAAGGGCAAGGAAGGUGUAUUGUGUUGGGCAGAGUCCCUUGAAGUAAAGUGUGUGCAUUGUGAAAAACCUCUCAAUGGCUUUCUAAAUUUCUCUUCUUCUCGAGCCCGGUAGGAUCCUCCAAGAAAUGUAGCUUGGGUAGGUUAGAAAUGUUUCCAUCCUGGAAUCUUUGGAUGUCUCUAAGCUCUAAACUAAAGGGCUGAGUGAUUUUUUGCUAAAAGGCUGUCCCUGAAGGGCUUGAACGGGAGUUGUUCGCCCACUGUGGGAUGCAUACCUGCAGGAAAUUUACUCUCCUUCCCUGGUUCUAAGCCUAGGUCCAUUUAAACACUAAACAAAAUGUCUUGUCUAGAAGCAGUAAGAUAAAGAAGUGAACCAAUGAUACUCUUGUAUAGCUUCUGGUCAACUUUAUUUCCUCCUUCAUCUUUGUCCAACUUCAAGGAACUUGACAUUGGUAUAUCAGUCUUUUUGCAAUUCUCCAGCCCAAACUUUUUGACAAGAUCAUUGGCAUAUUUUUCUUGAUGAAUAAAAGUUCAUUCCUUUAGUUGUUUCACUUGAAGUCCGAGAAAGAAGGUUAAUUCACUCAUCAUGCUCAUUUCAAAUUCAUCCUGCAUAGACUUAGAAAAUUUCUUGCAUAGACUUUCAUUAGAAGAUCCAAAAAUAAUAUCAUCAACAUAAAUUUGAACAGGUAGAAAAUGUUUGCUUUCUCUUUUGAUAAAUAGAGUAGUAUCUACUUUACCUUUGACAAAACCAUUUUGAAUUAAAAACUUGCUUAAUCUGUUGUACCAAGCUCGAGGUACUUGCUUUAAACCAUAUAAAGCCUUUUUCAAUCUGAAUACAGAGUCCGGUUUCCUUGGGUCUUCAAAAUCGGGUGGUUGUUCCACAUAGACUUCCUCUUGGAUAAAUUCGUUUAGAAAAACACUUUUGACGUCCAUUUGGAAUAACCUGAAAUUCUUAUGACAAGCAAAAGCAAGUAAUAAUCUAAUUGCUUUAACCUUGUUACUGGUGCGUAAGUCUCAUCAUAAUCUAUCCCUUCUUUUUGCGUAUAUCCCUUGGCCACGAGUCUUGCUUUGUUUCUUACGACCUUUCCUUUCUCGUUCAUCUUGUUCCUGAAAACCCAUUUAGCUCCAAUGAUAGAUUUACCUUUCAGUUUAGGAGUCAAUUCCCAGACAUCAUUGAUACUGAAUUGCCUAAGUUCUUCUUGCAUAGCUUCAAUCCAGCUUUCAUUAGUUAAAGCUUCUUCUAUGCUCUUGGGUUCUAUUUCAGAAAUAAGAGCCACAUCACUAGACUCUUCGCGCCUUUUGGAUCUUGUGCGAAUUCCUUCAUUAAUAUCACUAAUAAUGAGAUCUUUGGGAUGACUGGACUUAUGCUUCCAGUUGCUGGUUGCUUUGUCAGACUGUUGAUCUUUUUCCUCGUUCGAAUCUUCGACGAUCAUUUGUUGCUGGUCUUCUGAAGUCUGAGUUGCUUCUAAAGAUUUAGACUUUGUAAAGUCUGGAGUAGGUUCGGAUUCUUCAAGUUGAGUCUGAAUCGAUUCAUUUUGCAUAGAGUCUUGAAAUUUGACAUUCAUUGAUUCCUCCACAAAUUGAGUCUUCUUGUUGUAGACUCUGUAAGCUUUGCUUGUGAUAGAAUAUCCAAGGAAAAUUCAUUCAUUUGAUUUUUCUUCAAACUUACCAACUCGAUCAUUUGCAUUUUUCAAUAUAAAACAUUUACAUCCAAACACAUGAAAAUAUGAAACAAUGGGCUUCUUUCCUUUGAAUAACUCGUAGGGAGUUUUCUCCAGAAUAGGCCUUAGAAAAACUCUAUUAAUAAUAUAACAUGCUGUAGAAACAGCUUUAGCCCAAAAACGUGAAGAGAUGUUACUUUCAAUUAAAAGAGUUCUAGUCAUUUCUUGAAGCAACCGAUUCUUUCUUUCCACGACUCCAUUUUGCUCUGGAGUAUAUGGAGAGGAGAACACAUGUUGAAAACUAGAUUCAUCAUAGAGUUUUAUAAAGUCUUGAUUUUCAAAUUCACCUCAAUGGUCUGUCCAUAUACUUGAAAUAACAUAUCCUUUCUCAUUUUGGACCUUUUUAGCAAACUUUUUGAAAUAAGAAAAGGUUUCAGAUUUACUUGCCAGGAAAUAUACCCAAGUGAAUCGGGAAUAAUCGUCCACAAUUACUGGGCAGUAUUUCUUAUCUCAAAUGCUCUGAGUUCUGGUUGGUCCAAAGAGAUCCAUAUGCAAAAGCUGCAGUACACGAUUAGUUGAAACUUGAUUUAUUGGUUUGAAUGAGUUUCUUAAUUUUUUUCCCAACACGCAUGAUGUGCAUAGAUCAGUCUUUUGGUAUGAAAAAUUGGGUAGACUACGAACAAGCUUCUUUGCUGAAAUUUUGGCUAUUUGCUUCAUGUUGAUGUGCCCAAAUUUUCUGUGCCAUAAGUUUGCUUCUUCUUGAAUUGAGAUCAGACAUUGGGCUUCAUCUGAUUUGACAUCCAAGAGGUAAAUAUUUCCAUGUCUUCGACCAGUGAAAGACUGAGAGGAGUCUUUACUGGUUCCUCAACAUAUUCCUUCUUGAAAGUUGAUUUUGAAACCAGUGUCGCACAGCUGACUGAUACUUAACAAAUUGUAAUUGAGUCCUUCCACUAAGGAAACAUUACUGAUCGUGAGACUUCCAAUCUUUACAGUUACGUAUCCCACAAUUUUUCCUUUGCUGUUUCCUCUAAAUAAAACUUUUCCACCAUUAACUUGGACAAGUUUUAUGAAGCAAUUUGAAUCUACUGUCAUAUGCCUCGAGCAUCAACUAUCCAGGUACCAUUUAAUCUUUUUCUUGAUAGUGACCUGCAUUUAGAAAAGGAACUCAUGCUUUCUUUGGUACCCAUAUUUUCUUGGGUCCAUUGGUGUUAGUAUUAUAUACGGUCUUUGCCCAUACUUUCUUAACAUGUUUCCAAACCAUAGGACAUUCUUUCUCAAAAUGAUCUGAACUAUUGCACUUAGAAUAUUUAAGAGCAUUACGAUCUACUGGUUUUACAAAAAAUUUUUGGAAAUGAUUUUUGUAAGUAUCUCUUGUAGGUCUUUGCUUAAUUCUUUCCUUUACUUUAGGAAAAUCAAUUAAAGGGUUGGUUUCUGCAGUCAUUCCCAAACCAGAUUUAUUGAAAUAAGGUCUUUGUGCAGAAGAGUCCCAACCAAUUCAUCUUCAUUAGAUUUUAAUGCAAUGGAUUUUUUUUACCUUUAGGAUCUUCAUCUUCAUUGAUUUGCUUCACUUCAUAAGACUGAAGAUUCCCAACCAAUUCAUCAACAGAGAGUGGCAUGAUUCUUUAUGUCUCCCUUAUUGAGGUCUUUAUGUGAUUCCAAUCCUUGGAGAGUCCACAGAGUAGCUUGUUUACUUUCAUGGGAUCAGAAAUUGGUUGACCUUGAUUUUUAAGACCAUUCAUGAUUUCUGUAAAAUGACUAAACAUGUCAAUGAUAGAUUCUCCUGAUUUCAUUUUGAAUGCUUCGUAUUGACUGAGCAGAAUGUUGAUUCUGGUUUCUUUCACUCGAUCAGUUCCUUCAUAAGUGAUGUGUAAUCUAUCCCAGACUUCUUUAGCUGUAACACAAGAAGAUAUUCUGUUAUAUUCAGUAGGUGAUAAUGCACAAUAUAAAGAAUAAAUUGCUUUUGCAUCAAGAGCUUGUCUCUUGGUUAUCUCUUCAUGAGUCAUUUCGCUAGACUCAAUGGCUUCUUUUCCUCUUUCUAAGAUAUGUGUAGCUUUAUGAAUGAUUCAUUUGUCUACCACAUCUCAUUCCAGAGGAUUCUUUGAUCUUAGAAAUGCCUUCAUCUUGUUUUCCAUAAGUUGUAUUCCUUUCCAUCAAAAUAAGGUGGUAUGGUAGUGCUUUGCCCUUCAACCAGUCCUGGAGCCAACAUACUAGCCAUGGAUCUUUAACUCUGAAAUAAAAUACUUCAACUUAAGUAAGUACACAAGCUCUGAUACCAAUUGUGAAUGCUAGUAUAAACACCUAGAGGGGGGUGAAUAGGUGUAAAAAUAAAUUUUCGAGAUAAGUGUGCAUCACUAUUCAAUAAUAGAUUAUGAAAAGGAAAUUUGUUUCUUGUUAACUGAACAAGUUAUGAUCAAAGCAAAAGAAUGUAGGGAAGAGAAUUUGAACACAGAGUUUAUAGUGGUUCGGUUUGAUCCAAGCCUACGUCCACUCUUCGCAUUGACAGCCCACUGGCUGGAUUUCACUAUGAACAAAAGAGUUGUUACAAUAAGCUCUUCAUUGAUUCCAUAGUGUAGAGACUCUACUACACUUCCUCAAGGUCUCUCAAAGAUAUAGACUCUCUUUUGCGUACAAGAUUUCGCUUAACAGUUUGACUAAGAACAGGGAGCUUCAGACUUUGGAAUUUUUUUAUCGUGCACACACUCAAACAACUGGAACGUCUUCCUUAUAUACUCCUUUAUGCCAUCAUACCCGUUGCACUUACCAAAGGAAUUCUUCCAAUCUACCCAUUGGACAAAAUCAAUUAGGAAGAUCUUCGAGCUAUUUAAGGAACAUUACGAUAGCCCAUCAAUCCUGCUCGUCCAUACAAUUAGGAUCUCGGUUUCCAUAAGUAGAACCUUCCAAGUAUACUUCGCCAAUUAACGGAUCCAAAAUCCCUGAAUCAAUCUUGAUUUGAAUAAUGGAUUCCGACAUGCUAUAUCUAGCCAAGAUAUCUUUUCCAGUCGAUAGAGUCAAAUCCUUAAUGAAACAUCCAGUUCUAGAUAAGCUUUCUUCGACAGUCUAGAAACUGUCAAUGAGGAUAGACUUUGAGUCUUGAGUUUGACAGUCUGGAGGUCUUCAGACUUUGAUGAAAGAGUCUGCAAGUCUUCAGACUAGACUGAUAAAAAUGUUUUGUCAGCUUCAAAAUAUUCAAGGAAGUUUUAUCCAACAUAGCUAAACGCUAUAACUUCCCUCAGCAACUUCGCGGGUAGCAACCGAUCCGGAGACAUCGGCAACCUCACCGAGAAGUUCCUUGUUGGGAGCUCCUCGUCCAACUCCUAGCUUUGAUCAUCCUCGAAGUUGAGCGUGUAGCUCAUGAGAUUGUACCCGAACUCCGAGGCUGGGAUGUGGCCCUGCCUGCACCUGUACCUCUUGAUUCGAGUGAUGAGGUCCCUGCACUUGUCCCUCAUCUCUGGCAGCGGAAGCUCCUAUGCAGUGACCAGCCGGGCUACCAAGCUACCUUGCGGUGGCUGCCGUCGUCGUAGUCCGAGGCGGUGGCCUUGUUGUAGGCGGCAGCGUGGCCAUAGUGGAAGCAGCAUAAGAAGAGGUAGGGGAGGAUGAUCUAAGUUUGUGAUUGAACUACAUUUUGGGUGUGAAAGAGAGGGAGAGCGCGUGAUGGAGUCAGAUUUUGGUUUGGUUUGUGCGAGACUGUGAAGAGAGUGAAGAGAGUGGAUGGUGAUGAGGAAGAAGAUGGAGAAGAGGUUGAGGUGGAGGCUUUUUCGUCAAUCCCGCGUGGGGUUUCUAUUUUACCUAACUUUCUCGUUGGGCAGUUUGGUAAUUACGCGGAGUUUGUUGACACUUAAAUUUUGAUGACCUGUUUAGUCAUUUAUCGCAUUAAAAAAUCAGGGAUUGAUUUUAACCCCUUAAUUAAUUAAUUAAUUAAUUAAUUGCAUGUUAUAUAAUUUUAGGUGCAUUUAUUUAUUAUUAUUAUAUUUGCAUUAGGCUGAUGAUAGAUGAGUUCGAAUUGGUGGUUUUGAGCUUUAAAUUGACAGGUUGAACUAAGCCCACGAAGGAAGCAAGUUAGUCCAAGCUUGUAUUCUCGAUGAGAUAUUACGAACUUAUCUUUGCGAGAUUUCAAAUUUGAAAAAAAAAAUCCUUUUGCAAUCCCGAAUCGUAUAAAAAAUAAAUAUCGCGUUCGGAAAAGAAAUCUUUGUGGAUGUUAAUUUGGAAAAAUUAAAACCCUAAUUCUUGGCCUAUAAAUAGAUUGUUCGCGUAGGCUACACAUUGAAUGCACGGCCACAAUUCUGAGAGAGCUCUUAUAGAAUAAAGAGAAGAAAGCGUGAGAGAUUGAGAGAGAAGCACGGCAUCAAUUCAGAUUUUUUACAAUAUUUCUCUCCUCCCCUCAUCACAUUCACACCUCUGCCCUUUUUUUUCUUCGAGCAAAUCACGUACUCCACUAUAUUAUUUUUACAACCCCUGAUCAUGGAUGGUCACAUGGAUUAUUCCGUGAUCUGACCAUCACUACUUGGAGACCGGCAAUCCACAAUUCCAAGCGCACAUAGAGAUGAGAGAGAUCCACGAGUGAGAGAGAGAAAAGGUGCUUGGCCAAGCUUCUUGACCCUCGAUGAAGUAGCCUCGCCGGACACACCUACUUUGAUCGCUGCUGCUAUACGACGAGCUGGCACCUCCCCGAGUUGCGCUCUCACUUGCUGCACUCUGGAAGUCCGCCGAUAAUGCCAGCGAACGGGGAACGUGAGAGUUGGGCUUGCACCACGGCCGACGAGAAGAAACAGAAGUCGAAAGAGAACGUGGAUGAAGAAGCAGACCGGUGAGAUUGAAGAAAUUAAUCCGCUGCUCCGGUCAAAAAAAGAAUCACAAUUUGGUCAAAUAAAUCCAAGCGGUGGAUCUGUCUUCUUUUGAAUUUCGUCCAGAUCCAGGAACCCCUACCUUCUGUCGCAGGAGCCUCUUGCCAGUCUGAUUGCAUUGGAUUCAAAUUCGGAAAGCAAUGUUGCGUUUGGUUUAGCAUUCCCAAUGGGCUUUCAACCUUGAAAGCCCAUUGGGGAAAUGCUGGACUGUUUGGCAACCAUUUUGAAAUAGGUGUCAAGUGAAAGUCAAUAUUGAGAAGGUUAAAAAGCCUAAUCUAGUAAAGACUAGCUUUGAGCUUUUAGUAUUUGGCCAAAUACUAAACCUUUUUUUUUCCAAAACUAUCAUUACUUAUUCUUCAAAUUUCUAAUUUUUCCCUCGUUAUUAUUAUUUUUAAAUGCCAAAAUAAUGCUAAAAAAAUCAAAAUUAUAUAAAUACUAAAAAAAUAAUUAUAUUUUGGUCUUUUAAAAAAAAUAUUUAUAUAUUUGAUUUUUUUUAGCAUUAUUGUCAAAAUUUAUAUUUAAAAAGUUACAUACAUUAUUUUUUUUUUCAAUUUUUACAAAUAAAAAUUAAAAAAUUCUGACAAAGAGUUUGGUCCUUUUUUUAAUAUAUAUAUAUAUAUAUAUAUAUAUAUAUAUUUUUUUUUUGAUUUUUUAGCAUUAUUUUCAAUUUUAAAUUUAAAAAUUUGCAUGUAUAUUUUUUCAAUUUUAAACAAAUAAAAAUUUAAAAUUUCCAACAAAGAGUUUGGUCCUUUUUUUUAAUAUAUAUAUAUAUAUAUAUGUUUUUGAUUUUUUAGCAUUAUUUUCAAAUUUAUAUUUAAAAAUUUGCAUGCAUAUUUUUUCAAUUUUAAACAAAUAAAAAUUAAAAAAUUCCGACAAAGAGUUUGGUCCUUUUUUUAAUAUACAUAUAUAUAUAUAUAUAUAUAUAUAUAUAUAUAUUUGAUUUUUUUAGCAUUAUUGUCAAAAUUUAUAUUUAAAAAGUUGCAUACAUUUUUUUUUCAAUUUAAAAAAAUUAAAAAUUAAAAAAUUCCUAUGAAGGGUUUGGUCUUUAAAAAAAAAUUAUAUAUGUAUUUGAUUUUUUAAAAUAUUAUUCUCAUAAUUUAUAUUUAAAAAGUUGUAUAAUUGUUUUUUUUUCAAUUUUAAACAAAUGAAAUUAAAAAAAAAUUAUUAUUAAUCAUGCAAAGGGCUUUUUAAAUUUGUUUUCUACCGAAUGGCAUUUCUCCCAAAGUUUCUUUUCAAAGAAUAGUUUACCAAAUGGCAUUUGCAUUUGCCUAAAGUCCUUUAGCUAAAUUGCUUUGUAUUUUUCCAAUGGGCUUUCAAAAUGCUGAACCAAAUGCACUCUAAAUUACUUUGAGCAAUCAUAUGAGAAUAGACAAAAGAGAAAAUUACAGUUGCAAUAUCCCAGAACAAUAAAAACCCCAAUUCAAGCGAUCAGGAAAAGCAAGCAAAUUCACAUUAUUCCUAAGUGUGGGAUCUUAGUUGUCCACCUCAAGAAGCUGGGAUGACUAUGGUCAAAGGGAUUUUCUGAAAGAGCUGCUUGUUCUUUCAACAUUUUGAUAUUUCCACCAUAUCAACAUCAAGUAUAAACCCGUAUGCCUCAAUUGAAGAUAAAAGUUUACCACACCAAGGUAACAAGACGAGGAUGUGAUGGAUGACCUGCGAGCAAGCAGAACAACCUUCAUACACAAAAAUGGAAAAGAGAUUAUUAAUCUAAAAGUCUAGUUCCCGAUAUCAUGUUGAGAUUGAAGAAUCAUUGUGGAUGACAAAUGACAAAUUAUUUUCUCAAAAAGGCACUCUUAUGAUCUAGACCUCUGACAAGGGCUGCCAGUUACAUUACUAUCAUGAUCAAGAGAAAGAUUUCAUUCCAACUAAGAAACACGAAUCACUCAGUAAUGUACACAAAAAUCACUCAUGGAUGAUUCCCCAAGACUGCCAGCUUCAUUCAUGAUUUGAUCAAGUCUAAGAUUUUGCCUUAUUAAGGGACAAGGAUCGCCUCAUAUAUCGAACUUUCACCAGAAUGUGAUCUCAUGAAAACCUAACGUAACAACUGCUCAUAUUCUAUAUAAAAAAAAGCUCAGGACAAUACAGAUAUUGGCUUUAGCGACUUGCAUCUAGAAAUGUUUAAAGCUUGUGGAGCUCCUAGUCUCCAAGCCCUCGGGGCUCAAUUAGUUUGCUGCUUUUUCAUGCAACAAUUGACGAGCACCAUGAAAUCUCUAUAUUUCAUACGUAUCUCCAUCCUUUGAGUCCUGGUAUGUCCGAUAGCUCCCAACAAGCUAUCACUAUGAAGUACCUUAAAUCUCCGGAUUUACAACACAUCUGGGAAUUUUGGUAACAACUUGUAUCCUUGAAUACACAAACUUUUGCAGGAUGAGAAUAUCUCUAGGUUUUGAAUGUCACGUAGCUUCUCAUAGUGGUUAAUGUUUUAACCUUUUCAGGGUUUCCAAGCACGGUAGAUCCGUUAACCUUCCAAGGGAAGUGCAACCACAAAUAUUCAAUAUUACCAAAAAAAUCCAGCCCAUCAAGGCCACGUUUCACCUAGACUCUUGUAGUCUGCAACAUGAAAGCCCUCAAAUUCUUUAAAUUAGAAAGGUCUUGUUAUCUUUCGAUGGAUGUGCAAUUGGAGAUAUCCUCCAAUCUGACCAAUAAUCAACCUCUCAAGUUACGUGAAUUUCAACUAGAUUCCUACAAUCUGCAGCAAAGAAUCCCUUUAGACAUUUUGAACUCGAAAGGUCUGUUAAUCUUUUAAUGGAUUGAAAGGUCUGUUAAUCUGUUUAAUGGACAUGCAUUUAAAGACAUUAACCUUCUCGAAAAUUCAGCUUGGUCAAGCAUAGGUAUCUGCCAUCUACGAAGCACUGAUGCUCUCCAAGAGCUUUUGUGUUGUGCCGGACACUUUGACACGUGUCUGACACUCUCCCAACACUCUCAGACAUUCUUUGACACUCGGUUAACACAUGUCAGAAAAUUUGACACCUGAUUAACUUUCUUGAUAUUCUUUGACACUUGAGUUGAAAUUCCAACAUACAAGUUUUCGACACGUGAUUCUAAUAUUGAGGUCAAUUUUAAAAUUUUUCAAUAAAUGAGAUGUCGAAAUGUAUAUAUAUGAAAAAAUAAAACAUAAUAAUAAAAAUAAUAAAUGGGGAAAGAAGAAAAACUCCUUAUGUUUUUGUCUCCUCUUUCGACAUAUCUAACCCGCAAGUCUAGAAUGUGAAUUGCUUAUUUUUUUCUUCAAGUUUUAGAAUUAUUGGAAUAGAGUGGAAUUUGUCAAAUUGAAACAAUGAAUGCUACUAAUAAAUGGUGGAUUAAUGUUUGUAUAAAUUCAUUCUAACCUUUUUUUUAUUAGUUAUUUAUUUAUAAAUUUGAAUCAAAUUAAUUUGAUUGAAAUAAUCAUAAUAAUGAUAAUUUAUUAUGUAUAUAUGAAAAUAUAUAUUUAAUAUACAACAUGUUCUAAUGUGUUGGAAUUCUCUAUUUUUUGAGAAACGAUGUGUUGGAGUGUCAUGUCGUGUCGUGUCGCAUGUCAGUAUUGGUGCUACUUAAUCUGCCAUCAUUGUCGUUGUAACCUUUGCACGACCAUCGUAAAACACCACCCCCAUUAGUUAGUACUACCAAUACCCUUCGGCUUCAACCACCAACAGUCUGCCAUCACAUGCGCGCGGCAUUGUUAGAGGUGUUAAAUGGGUUGCACAACCCAUUUAUGGACCCAUUUAUGAUUAAAUGGGUCAAUGGGUCAAGCUUUAUUUCAUAAGGCACCCAUAAUGGAUUUUAAUGGGUCAAGACAAAGAUAUAUGGGUUUUAAAUAGGUCAGCUCUCUGACUCAUUUAUCAACCCAUUAAAAAUGAACCUAUUUAUUUUCACUCAAAACCUCACCAUCUCUUUCUCCUCUUUUUAACUUUACAAUUUUUUAUUUACAAAAACCGAAAUUAUUAUUAUUAUUAUUAUUUUCUUUCUUCUUCCUCCGGUCGCCGGUAUGGCGAUGGCCGGCGACCGGCCAGGCGAGGCGGAGGCCUCGCCAAUCUGGCGAGACUCGAACUCGCCAGCGUCAGGUGAGGCUUGAGCCUCGCCAAAUCCGGCGAGGGGCGACCUCAAGCUCGCUUAGCUCGCUAGAUCUGGCAACACGGAGGCCUCGCCGACAUUCGGAGAGGCUCGAGCCUCGCCAGAUUUGGCAAAGGGUGAGCUCGAGCUCGCCGGAUCUGGCAAGGCAGAGGUCUCGUCGGCGUCGAGUGAGCUUAAGGCUCACCUGUGGCCGGCCAUCGCCAGUCGUCGUGGCUGGCGGCCGGCCAAAGAAGAAGAACAAAGAAGAAAAAGGAAAAAUUAUAUUUAAAAAUAAAAAUAAUAUUUAUAAAAAUUGUCCAAUGUAUAAAACUAUUUUAGUUUUAAUAUAUAUAUAUAUAUAUAUUUAAAAAAUUAUAAAAAAUUGAAAAAAUUAUUGAUUGGAUUUGUAUUGCUCAGAAGUUUUUUAGUAAUAUAAUAUUUAAAGAAAACCUAAGAAUAAGUUUUCCUAUAUUUAGUUAAAUAUGAAAAUAUUUUAUUAAUAUGGGUCGGGUCGGGUAUGGGUCAAAAAAUUUACAUUAGACAUAAAUGGGUCAUAAAUGGGUUAAUGAGUCAAUUUGGGUCGGACCCACUCGUUUAACAGCUCUAGGCAUUGUACAAAGGCAAGUUCACAAUCCAAAUGCACCGAGAGCACGGGACUGAAACGGCACAGCCACCUAACUAUUUUUAAAAAUCACCCCACCAAACAUGACCCAGCGUAAAACCUAUGUAGCACGGACACGGACACGUGACACGUGACACGACAUGACACGUCGACACGAUAUUUUUUAAAAAUAGAGAAUUUCGACACGUUCCGACACGUUAUAUAUUAAAUAUAUUUUUAUAUAUAAUACAUAAAUAAUAAUAAUAAUAAUAAUAAUAAUAAGAAUUAAUUUACACAAAAAAUAUUAAAUAAUAUCAUUCAUUAUUUUAAUUUGUUACAAUAAUACACAAAACUUAGAUGAAAAAAACAUUGUUUAAAGAAAAAUGCUGAAAUUAUAUUUUUAAAUUUAUUUAUCUAUCAUAUAUAGCAUUUUUUUAUUACUUCUUUCAGAGUAAAAGACUUUAAAAAAAAAACUGAAAAAAAAAUUGACCUUGUGUGUAUAUAUUUAUAGAAAUUUUAUUACUUCUUUUAUACUUCUUUUGUGUAUAUUUAUAUUUUGACCCAUCAAGUAUUAUAAAAUUUUAAAAUUGACCCCGUGCGUGUCGGAAUUCUAAAAUUGACCCCGUGCGUGUCGGAAUUCUGGACUCACGUGUCGGAGCGUGUCGGAAAGAGUUGACCACGUGUCGGAUUUUUUGACACUUGUUGACCGCGUGUCGGAGCGUGUCGGGACGUGUCGGAGCGUGUCGGACACGUGUCGGAGUGUCGGAUACGACACGAAGGCUUCCGGAGAGUGUCCGUGCUACAUAGCGUAAAACAAAACCCACUUGCCACCGCAUGAGAGCCGUCUCAUUACAUCCAAACCCUUCCACUAGACGGACGACAACGGCAGCUACUACCCCAACAAAACGCGAGACCGUACACAAGAGAGAAGCAGAUAUGAACCGAAACACUCAAUCAAGAUGAGAAUAAAUCCGGACAGAGCCGCCACAAAAGCAAACACGCAUCGAAUUCAGCUAAGUGGCGGUGGUGUACCUUCAGCUAGCGAAGCGAAGGAGGGAUGCCAUUGGAUUACGUCAUUGUUCAGCUGCCUCCUUCGCUUGAUUUUGUAGAGGGUUACGCGGAUGCUAGAGUGCUCGUUACCUCUGGAGAAUCUGGGCUCGUUGCCUCAUCAAUUCGGAAGCACCAGAAACCCCAAGAAUCCCCAAGCUUAAAUCUGGUGGCUUUUCUUCGCCCAAAGGACUUGUAGCGAAUAAAUUCGGACACGGCCUUCUCUAAAUUCAACCUUUCGGCACCGCUCAAAUGACUCCAUUUAAUAGAAAGCUUGGAUAGUCGGACGGGAAGCUUUGGAAGACAUUCAAGAGGACGGAGAUCGACAAGAGAGAGUUUCUCGAGAAGGGUUAGUUUGGAAAGAAAUGGCAACGAUGGAGUUGGGAAAUCAAUAUGCAGAGCUAUUAAGCUGGAGGGCGGUUCCGGUAUUUCUCGAAGGAAGUCACAACAUCGAGCGCCGAGAUGUCGGAGAGAAGAGAGCUUCGAAAUGCUCUCUGGCAAGCCCAAAAUGCCCGAUCCAUAUAAAAGAAGCUCCUUUAGUGAAACCAGCUCGCCUAUACUACUAGGCAGUCCUUUCAGAUUGUUGCACCUCAUUGCCCUCAACUCUUGGAGUUUCACCAGCAUUCCAAUGGUGCUAGGCAAUUCUGUCACGAGAGUUUUAUUAAGGUCCAAGAUCCUCAAAUUUUGCAGAUUCCCAAUGCUUUCUGGUAAUUUUGUAAUCGAAGUCCCUUCUAAUUGUAGGUUGGUCAACGAUGCCAACUCUCCAAUCGAGUCGGGGAUCUCUCUCAACGACUCGCAUUCCAUUAAGUUAAGGAGAUAUAGAGAUGCUAGGUUGCCUAUGGAUUUGGGUAUAUGAUCUAAUAUACUACACUCAGCGGCAUUAAGAGUUUUUAGCGCCUGCAUAGAACCAAUGGAUUCGGGUAAUUCUUUAAUCCUUGUAUAAGAUAAGUCCAGCUUAGUUAACGACUCAGAGGAACCCAUGGAUUCGGGAAGUUGAGCAAGUUUAUCAUAACAUUGAAGAUCCCUUGAUUCUUCCAUUCUCCCUACUCUUACUAGUAGCUUCUUUAGUCUAGAACAAAGAUGGACGUCCAAGGAGACAAGGGUCUUGAUAUACCAUAUAGAAGGAUGGAUUUCUUUUAGAUUGCAACAGCUUUCAAGAUUCAAAAUCUCCAAGCUUUUGAAAGCAGACAAGUCAGGAGUUCUUCUCAAAUUGUCACAAAACGAGAGGUUGAGAACUUUCAACUCGGUUGCCAUCUGAAAGAAACAAAGGAAACUUCAGUGAAAGUAGACAAUAGCAAUGUGUGAUUUUCCACCAUUCCUCCCUUUUCUUUUAAGAAUCUUUAAAAUUCCUGAAAAAAUACCCAUACUCCACUGCUCUUUCAUGAUUGUAGUAUUUAAUUUUAAAUGUUUUUUCUUCAGUAGUGUCAGGCUAGACCACCAUAUUGAAUUGUUUAAGCAUAUUAAUCGCAAAAGAAUGUUAGGGACGUACAAGUGCCAAUUAUUUUUAUUUUCGGAUAAAAUUUGAAAAAGAAAAUAUAUUCAAUUUUUAAGAGCUAUGGCGAUGCUGUUCAUUAGACAUACACAAAUUUUAUUAUCAAAGAGACAUUCCAAUAGCAAGAAACUAAUAGCUUAAUUAUGAAAAACAAUUUCUUAAAAGUGACUUAAAAAAAAGUUAAAGAAUGUUGUAUUCCAAAAAAAUUUAAUGCCAUCGGAAGGAUAGUUUUUAUUACUCUCAUAGCAUUAAUAAUUUAUAUUUGUGUCAUACAACGACUUCCAUAAUCAACAAUUACAAUGAAUAAAUAUUUCGUACAAAAAGUCAAAGCAAUCCAUAAAUUAUAUCCAUUACUCUAAGAUUAAAAUGAAUUCACAAUUUUAGUAUUUAUGCACAACAGAAGUUACUCUGUGGGAGUUCUUUUCCUCCAUGAAAGAAGAUUCAUGUAGAGAUACGGCAAGAAUCACUAGAAGACAUGCUUUUGCAUGGGAGAAAUUAACUUAGCCAUAAACCAUCUAGAUUAAAGUAAAUCGGAAUAGGUACAAAUAUGUAAUUAUAUUUUCAACAUAUGUUAAUUAAUAUAGUUAAUUUCUUUUUUCUAGUAUUGUCUAAGGUUAAGCAUGAUGGGUUGUUGAGUUUUAUCAAUAAAAAAUAAUUAAGGAGCAUAAGCUUCCGAUUAUUUUUAUUUUUUGUUUUUUAGCUUCUGAUUAUUUAGGUAACUAUAAAUUCCUCUUAUAUUUAGAUGAAAAUCCUUAAUCCGAGGAACAUUAGCAAACCUUCUAUAAGAAAGAAAGAAGAACCUAGUGCUAUUGGACCUUCGGUAACACGUUAUCAUUCAUAAGAGAUAUAUCUUCUCAAUAUCUUACCUUGAAUGGGCCCCAUCCUCCCCAGUACUCUGUAAUCUUACUAGUUGAUAGAUCGAGCACGACUAAUUUCUUCGGGUGAAAGUUGACCAUAUCAAAAUCCAAGGGACAAAACAUCCAUUCAAGCCAUCUUAAUUGAGGAAGUAAAUUUUGGAAAUCUCCAAUGAAAUUCACACCACACACUUUGAGGAACCUCAAGUUGGUGAGUUCAUUAAACUGUUCACCCCGGUAGCUUUCCCACUUGCCAUAAUAGUCAAGAUGAAGGGCCUCAAUCUCACUAGUGCCCUGCAAUUACAAAACAUCGUGGACCAUAAGUUUUAAUUGAUGAAAUGAGACUAACCGUAUAUAAAAAGAUGGACUAAUUUCAAUUUCAUAUCAUACUAUCAUGGUGUAAGCUUCUAACGUUCAACUUGGUGAAACAACAAGUUGUCAUUGCAUAUGGUUUAUUUAAUUAAUGUAAAUAUGUGAAGCUAAAGAAGGUGUUUUCAAACUUUUCCUCUUCCAAUUAUGCCUUUUGCAGAUUUAUUCCUUUCGAAUUACCAAAAAUUGCAUUUUUUUUCAAAAUUACAAUAAAAGGCCUUAUGUACAAACUACGUCAAAUAUAUCUAUCAAAAUUCAUUGCUCUUUAUAUGUGAAACAACACAACCCUAACUCAUAUAAUUUAUAUGUGAAACAACGUGACUCUUGAAGUCCAAGUACGUCUAUCAAACUUCUCAUCAAAAUACAUUUCAAAAUUAGAGAAUCGGAAUUGUGGAAUCCCCUAUAUAAUUCUGGUUUCCCUUGUUUGCAAUUCUCAAUAACAAAAUGAAAACAAGAAUGUCAUCUCAAGAAGAAUGCUCGUGUUUUACAUUCCUUUGUUAUCAUGUGUUUCUUUAAUGAGUAUUUUUAAAUUGCACAUUCAAGAAAAAUUGAUUAUAUAUCAACUUAUAUAAAUGAUCUUUACUCCUCUUUUUAUUAGUACAGAUGUUUGAUGCAACAUUUUCAAUAUCUUGUUUAUCUUGUUACAGUGAAAUAGCGUAAAUUAAUGAGAUCUUGAUUCCACAAGGAUUAGGCAUGAAGAUUGAUUAAAUUGGAUACUUAGGAAACUUAAGUCUUUUAUAUUGUAUUUGGUUGUAAACCAAAUAUUUUGGGAACUCAACUUUUUUGUCUCAGGUGAUGAAUUGCACAUUGAGCACAAAUCAUGAGAGUUAUAAGACGGAUUUGUUUGACAGUUUGAAUAUUUCUUUCAAAAUAUUUUUUUUUUCAGAUGAGAUACUACUUAUUUUUCCUUUCAAAAUUUCUCGUAUAUCAUCAUGUUUUCAUCAAUAACUUCAUAGAUAUCCUUAUUUCAGUUCUAAGCAAUGCUCUAUUCAGUUGAUUAUAUUUCCAUUUGAGCAACAAUAUGCUCACCGAGAUGCAUCAAUAGCAUGUUUUUCACUUAUCUCGUUACUUCAUUUUAUUGUGCAUUCUCAAUGUUUAUACUUAGUAUUUUUUAAUUAAAGGUUUGCACAUGUUUGUUUGAUGCUUGCACAAAUCAUCCAUAUGUUGUAAUUGCUUCUAGUUGCAUACCUUUUUAACUUUCUUGCUAAUAAUGAAAAUUAAUCAUGACACAAAAUUCAAAACCAUAAUUUUCACAUCACAAUUGGAAUGAACCGUUGCUUCAACUUCGCCCACAUUUAUAGAUAUUGUGCAUAUUAAUCUCAUUAAUAAAAUUGGAUAUGUCAAUUUUUCAAUCUUCCUUCAUCAAAUUUAUCACUCGAUAGUAAUCUUCACAUUUAGAUCUAAUAAUAAUAAAAAAAUUAUUCUGACUUCAAUUUUACUACAAAGUAAUAAAAGCUAUCUCUAAUUUUGCAUUUGAUCAUAUUAGAAUGUAAGGAUUUUAUUAAGUUUUAUUAUGUGAAUACAGGGUUCUAAAACUUAAGUGAUGAUCUUUAUUUAAUAAAUGUAGAAUCAAGAUUAUUUCUUUUCCUAAAUAUUACGUUGAUAUUACUACUUUAUGAGCAUAUGGUUGUGAAUUUGUUUUUAGUUUUAUUACUAAUUAUCAUUCACUUAUAAAUUUCUAACAAAAUUGUAAAUGUAAGGUUAUUUUAUCACUAAAAUGUAACCUUUGAUGAUGCUCUAUGAAAAAAGUCAUAUUUGUUAAAAAUUAAAAAUCCAAGUUCAAUUCAAUAUCAUGUGUCAAUUUUUAGUUAGUUCUUCGACAUUAGAAAUGUGACAUCCUUAUUUUAACCCGAUUUUUCAAAACGAAAUGAUCGUCAGAUGAGAGCAUCUUGAGGAUCGAUGAACCACAAGGGCAUCAUAAAGAAAACUUUGGGGGUGAAAACUCGGUUUUUCAUUCAUAAGACAAAAAAGUUCAGAAAAGUAAAAACGAGCCAUGGACAAGAACCCAAUGGGCCUAAGCCCAAGUGGGCGGCCCAAGGCCCACAUGCCCAAGGGGUGGGCAGCCAAGGGAGACCCAUGGGCCCUUCAAGCCCUAUUUUGGCAAGAUCUUGGCAUUUAAUACACCCAAGUACAUGAAUAGUGCACAAAUAGUGCACGAUAUUGGUGAAUUGACCGAAAUGCCCUUCCAUUGACAAAGGACGAAAGGGCAAAAUGGGAAGUUGGACAUGAAGGGGCGGCACAAGCAUGUUGGGCGGCCAAGAAGAAGCUUGAAGACCAUUCUAGACUAGUCUAGCCUAGCCUAGUCUAGCCCUAACCUAGUCACUUGAGUGCAAAUCCUCUCAUUAAUGCAAGAAUUUUUCUUCUUGAGCAAGCCUUCUUGAUUGAUUGAUGAGAGUCCAAGAAGAUAUGGAUUUUAUGUGCAUUAAUGGGUAAGAUUUCUCUGUCUCUCUCCUCCUUCACCGCUGGCCACUCUUCCCCUCACCCUCAUUCUCUCUCAUUUCCUCACCUAUUUGAUUUCAAGCUCUCUGCCUCUCUCCCCUCACCAACACCGAACCCCCAUAGCCAUCGUCAUCUUCAUCUCAAGCUUUUCUCUUCAUUUUUCCUCUUGUUUUUACCUCACUGGCGACCGUCCCUUGCAACCCAAUGCCGCACUGCCGUCCACACGUCAUUUCCAUCGCCGUAGCCAAGCUUUCAAUAUGAGAAGGCUGCUGUCCAGCCCUCACAGCAGCCCCCUCUCGCUCAUUUCUUCUUUGAUUUGGUCCCCCAUGAAGCCUGGAGGCCGUGCUGAUGCUAAACCGCCACCGGACUGCCACUGUACCACUGCCGGACCACCGACCAGCCACCGUCUAGCCCCCACACGCCCUGAGGAGGUGUAAACAGCAGCCUCAGUCACUGUCCAGCUUUGUUGCACCACCCCCAACAUUUUGCGAAGCUUGGAUUAGUUUGUGAGUGGCUUGCUAGCCUUUGAUUAGGGCUUUCAUUGUACUUAGGGUGUAGUUUAGGGCUUGUUUAGGGUUAAAUGAUGAUUUAUUGAUGUGAUAAGUGGAUGUUGUGUGAUAAGUGAUUAUUGGGCUUAGAUAGGUUAUUGAAUGUUUACUGAUAGGUUAUCGGGUUUUAGGUGAUAAGUUAUCGAGCCUAGGACAAUAAGUUCACAUGUUAGGACGAUAGGUUAUCAGAAUUUUAAUAAUAAGUUAUCGGGUUUUGAUGAUACGUUAUCAUGUUUAGGGUGAUAAGCGAUCAGGUAAUGAUAAGUGAAAUUAAUAUGUUGUUUUAUUAUGCCAUAAAAGGAUAAAAUACUAUUAUGUGAUAUAGGCUUAUACGGAGUACGGAUUAUAUACUAAAUGUGCUAUAUGUGUUAUGUGUUGUACGUGUUUGAUGUAUUUACGUGAUAUGUACAUUAUAUUAAUUGAAGGAUGAACUAUGAGAUGGGGUAUGAUGGCACGUGGAAAAAUGAUUUUGAAAUAUUAUGAUGACUAUAUUCUAUUCUUAUAAGUGAUCCACAUGCCAUGGGUUUAUGAAUUAAAUGGUGCAUUUAUAUAUAAUAUAGUAUGAUGCACGUGCGUAGCAUUAAGCUUUUGGCAAGUGACAUGGCAUAUUGCAUGAGUAUCACGUGCAUUAAUGAGAAAGAUAUGAAAAGAAUUAUGUGAUGGUAUGCUUGUGUGAUCACCUAAGACCUUGAUGCGUUUUACGCGGGACGAUGCCCAAUUAAGUUCGGAUGCCCCCAAGUCAACAGGAUGUUGUUCACGAAUGGAUUUUAGAACGAAGCUCCUUACAGGAAUAACCGUCUUGAUGCGUUCACGCGGGACGAUGCCGUACUCGAUGAGAUUCGUAUGUGUUCAGGUCCGGAUUAUUGCAUGGCAUACGUGCGUGAUUUAAUUAUAUUGUGCAUUCAUAUGUUUGGCUCAGGAGCAUGAAAAAUAUGAUGGAAUUUGCUUAUGUGUUUCUAUUGACGGCCUUGAGUAAUAGGUUUGCUUUGAUGUGAAUAGUUAGGGUAAAACGAGAGGAGUUUUUUUAUGUUUUUACCAUCGAUAGAAAAUUGCAUGUUUAGGGCACUUCCGAGGUGAACGGCUUCCCUAUGUAAGGUAUAAGAAGUUCACUUAUUGAGUUUAUUCAUAUUUGUUUGUUGAAUAUCUAUAGGCUCUAGGAAUGGCUGAGCCGUUCUGUCAGAUAUAGUUUGGCCUGCCUGUUGAGCACAAUCAGGAGGUGACAAAGUAUCCUAUACCGGGAGGGGUCGACACGCAUUACACGCGUUACAUCAUGACCAUCUAGGUCAACAAAGGUCUACCUAAUCUCGUCCCUCACUGAUUCUUGGCCUAGUAUUUCGGGCUAGGCAAUGAGAGCCAUGGUCCCAUCUGCGGCUUCAACGGUCCGUCAGAUGUCAGAGGCUCAAGGGGAGGCAUCAGCAUGGAUGCCAAGGAUGGGGACAUUCCCGAUGGGGAAGUGUUCAACCCUGAGCUCGACCCCGAGUUGAUUACUAAGCCAAAGCCAUGAAUCUUGGAUGCCAUUGAGGCUUAGGUAAUAGUAGGGUUGAUGAUACAUUUUGAACCACCCUCGUAGUAUUAGAGGUGUUAGGCGUAUUCCAGGCCCUUUUUGUAGAAUGUCGUGGCAACACGAUGAAGCAUAUCAGAUGUGAUGACACUAGUUUAACUUCUGAUUAUGACAUGUAUGAAACGUUGGCUUAUGACGCAUAUAUACGAUUAUUUUUAUUAACUAUCCCUAUCUAUUGAAUAAUUGAAGAUUUAUUUAUGCUUCGGCUUGUGUAAUUUAUCGUUAUCGCAAAUUGGGUUGGCAAUGCCUCCUAGGACAUCAUAAGCAAAUGACUGAAAGGGAAAAUACGUGUCACGCAGCCGUAGUGGGUUGGGGCGUGACAAGAAUGUUUGUUAUUCUAUCAUUGAAGAUGUACGUUUGGUAAUAUAUGUUUUGUUGAAAAUACAUGGUUCUCAAAUUACAUUUUAAAAACAUUGUGAAAACAUAUCAUUGCAAAUACAUAUUCUUAUAUAAGUAUAAUAUAACAUUGUAAAUAAAUCUAUAAUUUCACCACUAGAAAUUCUUGUAUGCACUUCUAAUGGAAAUUGUGAUCUAGGUAUUAACUUUCAAUUAUAUUUUUAUAUACAUAGAUACAGUAAUCACUAUUCUUCUAUAAUUUUUUUGUGAUUAUGAAUAGUUUUGGCUAAUUUUCAUUAUUCUUCUAAAACGAAGUCAUUUGGUUUUAUGGUCUUUAUUCUUGACCAUGCACUAUUUUUUUUAAUGUUUGUUGUCAAUGUUUUAUUUAUUUCAUCAAAAUAGUACAUUGUUUAUAAAACUUUUAUCCAUAUUCUCAUAAAUGAACCCUUCUAUUCAAAAUGGUCCAUUUAAAUAUGCAUACAUUUCACAUGAUAUGUUAAACUCCUUUUUCUAUGCAAUUCGUUUUUUAUUCUACUUACGAUUCUUUUCUUUCUCAAAUAUGAGAUAGAAGAGUUUGAUCCAUUAGUGUUGUUUACUUUAAUAUUGGAUGAAAAUACAUCUUCUCUUCGAAAUAUGACUUUCCAAAUUUAUUACAUUAUAAAUAUGUUGAUGAAUAGUACCUCUUUAGGAAGUAAUUCAUCUGGACCAUAAUUUAUCUUGCAUUUUGAGUGGUGUAGUUUCUAGAUGACUUUUUUUUUUCAAUGGUACAUACGUAAUGUUUGGUCCCUUUCUUUCUUUGCUCAUACUCAUAUUAGUUAAUGUUUAUUUGCUACUUUUAUGUUUGCAUUAACAGACACUUCGUUUUGAAGACAUGAGCUUGAAUAGACACAUUUCUUUAUAUUAUACAUGUUGUUAAUGAAACAAAACCAUGUAAUAACUUUUAUGCUAACUUAAACCAAUCAACAUAUAGCUACUAUAGUUUUAUGACAUCUCAACAUAAUAGCGAUUAUAUUGAAGCCUUAUCAUACAGGUGGUGUAAGUUGUUGACUACCUCUCUAUACUUUUUUGGUUUAUUGAACUUGAGAAGAAUAGGAAAGAUUGGGAUCUUGAGGCAAGAGUGUGCAGCGGAAGUUAAAAGUAUUUUCAGUGUUAAAAAACUAAUUAAAAUAGUUAUAGCUCUAUUGUUCCAUUUAUCAUAAAAGUUUAACUUUUUUCUUCUAAUGUCUUAUUUUAAUCCGUAGACCUCACCAAACAAUAUAACAUAUAUAUUUUUUAGCAAUGGGAACAAUUUAUGGGUUUAUCUUUCAUUAUAUGCAACGGGCUAAUAUUUGAUAAAUAAAUAAUAUUAAGUUCAUACUUGUUAAAUUAUAGAUCAAUAUCAUAUUAGACUCAUAUUUGACAAAUAUAUAAUAUUGAAAGGUAAAAAAAAAAAGAUAUCCAUCAUUACAAAAAAAAUUAUAUUACAUGCUUUAGAAAUAAAUUAUACAAUCAAAUUAACUAUCAUAGAAGAAACCAGUACACGUUUAGAGGAAUCUAUCACAUGAAUGCAUAUAUUUCAACAAUAAGUAUGACGCAAUGUAGCAACGCCUCUUGUGAUUGCGAAGUUGUAUAGAUACCCAUUGUGACUAAGAAAUAUCCAUCAUCACAAAAUAAUUAUUUAACAAGCUUUACAAAUAAAUGAAUAUAAUGAAAUUUCCAUUAUAGAAGGAAAAAGAACAUCUGUUUAGACGGAUCUUUUACAUGAUAACAUAUAUUUCUACAAUAAGUAUAACGAAAUGCAUAAUAAGUGAUGGCUAUUAUGAUUAAAAAGUUCUAUGGAUACUCCUUAUGAGAAAAUAUGUUGCAUUUCAUAAGCAGAUCAUAUUAACAAGUUGAUAAAAAAAAACUAUGUAACAUGAUAGCUUAUAUUUAACAAAUAAAUGAUGUAUUAAAUAUGAGCUGUAAUAUGCUCAUUAUUAGGUUGAACGAUAUAGAAGUAUCUAUUAUAACAUGGUAGCUAAUGCUUGAGGAAUUAAAAAAUCGACGGAACAAUUAUAUAACAUGAAAGCCUACAUUUAACAAAUGAAUGUUAUUUAGAAAAUAAUAGACAACGUCACAAAACUACAAAAAAAAGAAUGAAUAACAAAUAUACGGAAGUAAAUUACACAUUAUUAUGAAAAGUCUAUAGAAUGAAAAUAAUAUAUGAUUGGAGGAAAUAUGAAAGCCGUGGGUAUCAAAUGGACGAUGUUAACUAAUAGUUGAUGAUAAAGGACUUGAUUGCACAAAUUGUGAAAGAUAAAGGACUGCAUUAAGCAAAGAAAAAAAAAGAUAGGGGACUAAAUCGCACAAACAAUAACACUUAGCGGACUAUAUGUGUACUUAACUUAGCUUUGAAAAAUAUAAGAGGCAGGAUAGCUGAUUGUCACAAAUGAAUGGAGUUAUCGUUUAUUAUAUCAAGCAACUCAUGAGGUGUCAAUACUUGGUAAAAGAAAGAAAGAAAGAAACGACCUCACAAGAAAUUAACAAAAGAAUCCAAACAUAAAAAAUACGCAUCAAACGUAAAUGUGGGAAAAGCUUGGCCCAACAACUUGUAGAUGUUUUCUCUGAAAGAGCCCUAUCAAAUAUUAUGUAUCUGUUGUUGUUGCAUUGAAGUUAGCAAAGGAGUGUACUCAACAAAAUACUAUGAGGUAAAGAUAUAUAUUGAUCAUCAAUAAUCAAGGAAUUGCUCCUCAGUUAUGUCCUUGAAUCAGGCAAGAACAUCUAUUAAUCAGAAGAGCUCAUUUACUAAUAGAUGCCCCAAGUUUUGACGCAUCAAUUUUUCUCUCAAAGAAUAUAGAGAAGAUGGACUCAACAUUCACUAACUAUGAGACAAGUAGAGAAAACUCUUACCUUGUUGCUUGCAAGCACAUCUUCGACUUUCUCACUAAUCCAUAAUCUGCUACGCUUUUGAGGCUUCUUUUGAUUUUCUUGACGAACUAUUUCCCUUCCAAGAUCUCUCAAUUGAUCGUGCAUCAUUAGCUUGCCGGGUUCAUCAACUUUAAUGAGGGACAUAAGACUCAAUACUUCAAUCCCCCUCCCCGGGAAAAAGUCACAAGCAUCCCACAUAUAAAUCGGAUUUUGUUUAGAUGCUCCAAUAAAAAAGCAUGCAAUAUCCAAAAAAAUCUGUUGCUCCUCAUAAUCUAAUGCUUCAUAACUUAUCCUCAACCUCUCUUGCACUUUUUUUUCUGGCACUUUCUUUAAUUUCUUAGAUGUAUCUUUCCAUGCUUCCUUUGUCUUUCCACAUAAGAAUGAGCCUAUAACUUCAAGAGCUAAAGGAAGUCCCCCAGUAAUAGAUACAACAUCAUAAGAGAUAUCCUCAUAACCACUCAGAGGAAAAUCUUUUCGAAAAGCAUGUCUACUAAAUAAAAUCAAUGAUUGAUCCGAAGGCAACUCGUUGAGUUUAUAAAUGUGAUUAGCCCUAGCCUUGUCAAGAAUACUCUUGUCUCUAGUUGUGAUGAUGACUAUACUUCCUACUUCAAACCAACUACCGUCUCCCACCAAAGCAUUCAAGUGAGUAUAAUCAUCUAUAUCAUCAAGAAGAGUGAUGACUUUUUUACUUGUAAAUCGAGAUUUGAGGACACUGAUUCCAUCAUCGACAUUAGACACCUCACACAAACUUCCUAUUAUGUCAAAAAUGAGCUGCUUUUGUAGGAAUGUAAUACCCUGACGCUGAAAUGUUUCUCGAACAUUUGCCACAAAGCUGCGAUUCUCAAAACGACUAGAUAGUUUGUUGUAUAAUAUCUUUGCAAGAGUUGUUUUACCGAUACCGCCCAUUCCAUAAAUUCCAAUAAACCACGUACCAUUGAAUCUAGCAUCUAUUUGGCUCAUAAUUUGUUCCACACGAUCAUCAGUUCCCACCAAUUGUUUCGGAACAUCUAGCUGAAAAAGUCUUUUUAACUCACUCAUAACUCUUCUAACGAUCAUUUUGACUAAUCCUGCUUCGUGCCUGACAAAUAACAACAUAAAAUUUCAAUAUAUGAUUGCAAUGUUUAUAUGCCUUUUCAAGUAAGAUUUGUCUGUGAAAAACUAAAAAGUGUUUUUGGGGAGAAUAAUGUACCCCUUAUCAAUUUUCUCGGAUUCCCAUCCUUUUAAGAGACUAACUUCUUUGAGUGCAUCUUCCCAUUCCUUCACAACCAUUUGGUUCAAGUUCUUUUUAUGUGCAUUGAUGGCAUCUCCAAAUCUCUCUCUAAGAUAUUGCACCUGUGAGGGUUCCACUUUGUAAAAUAUGGGCAACACUACUUGUCCUCUACUUCUCCUGCAAUUCAACAUCUGAGCCAACUCUUGAAGGCACCAUUUGCUGAAAGCGUAGUCCUUAGAUAUGAUCGGGAUUGAGAUCUUAGACUGUGUAAUACUACAAAGAAGCUCCAAACCAAUAUCCUCACCAAUACGGAGUUCAUUGUCAUCUUUGAACACAAGAAUUCCUGCAUCAACAAGGCUAGUAUAGAGAUAAUCGGUAAAGCCUUGGCGAGUGUCUUUCCCUCUAAAGCUCAAGAACACUUCAUAGUCAUUUCCUUUCAGCCUUUUGGUUCCACCUCCAUUAUCAUCUACAUGUGGAGAGGUCGACGAGGAAGAUGCCCCGUAUAGCAGAUCUUCUGAAUGACUGGGUUCUUUAAUUUUCAUCUUGAGAUAGAUGGAGCGGAGCUUCAAAAGAAGAGGAAUAUGGAAUCCCAGAUCUGGGAAUUGCAGAAAUGUCUCUGGAACUCAAUUGAGAGCUACAUUCAAAGAAAAAUAAAAGCUCUUCUACAACUAAUCAGAAGAAAAUGGAGCGAUCAAAACAAGAAAGAGAGGAGGAGAAGAGCAAGUAGUCGCCAAUUAACUAAGGAGUGCUCAAAUAGCGCAAUGCACACACUGCUGUGAUCUCCACUGAUUCUCACCUUUGACGUUGGAUUACCCACACGCAAUGCUCUUUAUCGUGCGUGCUUGAACUAUGCUGAGUUCUGGCCAUCCAAGGAUCCGAGACUUUAUAUUCAUAUAAGAAAAGUUUAUUAUUUUCAAUCAGCAAUCUAAUUUUUUCUUAAGGAGGUUGCUCUAAAAUGAUAAAUCACUAAGUAAAUCUAUGCCACUUUCAUAGAAAACUCCUAUUGUAUCUCUCUCUCUCUCUCAAAAAAAAAAAAAAAAAGUGAAACAUUGACGAGAGCUUUUCAAGUACACGUUUAGAAAGAUCCGAUUAUGUGAAUCUCCAUAUUUUUCAAUGGUCAAGUUAAACUAACAUUUUGUUUUGCCAAAAAAUCAACAAGAUUAGCGUGCAAGCAAAGUCGUACAUUUGAUUACUCUUCUUUUCUAUCCCGUGAGAAUCACGGCGUACAUGAUCAGCAACUCAGAAAGAAAAGGAAGGAAAAAAAGAAAGAAAGAUCGAUGACUAGUCAAAAAUAUGAGGAAGAUGGGGCCACUUCUGGUCUGGCAUGUUCGUGCAUAACAAUUUUGCCAUGUCCUCGUCAGCCAUUUGAUGUAGGCAUUUUAAUGUUAGCUGUCCUUUUAAAUUGCGUUAAGCUGUGCAAUCAAAACUUUGUCAGAGUAAACCAUUGGAUUGACAUUGAUAAAAUUGCUAUGUUCAAGGCCACUGGCUCGUAGCAAAGGCCGGAAGAUGAGGAAAACCUUUACAGUGUCCCGAUUGUAACGUUACGACAUUACGAUACAUGAGCUAAGUAGAAGAACAUCAUAAUAGCAUAUUCUAUGACGUUGCCGUAUUCAAGUACAAAAGUGGUGUGAAACAGAAGUCUGCAACGAAAGUUUUUCAAAAGAUGAAUGGAAUCAACACUGAUGGAAGUUUCACAGGAAAAAGAUGAGCCGAGUAAGGCAUGAGACGAGGGGCAUUUGUCGCCUGACUUGCUUUUUUUAACUCACCCACUUUGAUGACCAAAAAAUAGCCUUAAUCCUGCUUUUUUAUCAACGGGAAAACAAAAAAAAUAAAGUGAGAGCAUUUGCACUUCUGAUGGAGCUCCAAAUGAUUGUGUUCCUCGGUGGGUUGGAAAUUGGAAUCUAAAAGAAAACCAAAUAUAUUUGUACACCUCUAAUAAAAAAAAGUUUAUUCUUUUUUACCCAAAUGAUGAAAGAAUAAGUGAGAGAUAUAUGAUUUGUCAAAUAAUAUAAAACGUGAUACGAAAGUUAAAUGUAUUUUGGGUCUCAUACUAAUUAUGUUUACAAAAAUUGUAUGUCUAUUUUAGAAAUUAGAAUCACCUGAUCAAAUAUCACGAAAAGUUAGAGCCAUCUGCGCAUAGUCCAAAGGCCUAAAAACUUAAUCAGUUUAUUAGAUUUGCUGCUUAUGUCAUGUGCCUUCGAGUGUCCAUCCUCUACAAUGGUGCAUAUAGUGUCCAUCCUGCUUAUGUCAUGUGCCUUCGCCCUCGUUGUAAUUGCACCCACUAAAACUAAAAAUGGUUUGAAAAAAUACUUCGAAUUUUGAUCCUCACUAUAUUUGACUGAUAUGGAGAUUUUUCAAAAGAAAAUAUGGAAAAAAUCAUUUUCACUUUUUGGCUUCAAGAAUAAAAUGCAUAAUUUCUGUUUUCACCAUUUUCAUUCUUGUUAAAGCGGCUCUCCAUAGGAUGCUUUUAUGUAACUCCUUCCUUUUCAUAUUCAUUCACCUUGGACACAAAUUUAUAAUUUAAUGGAGUAUUUCCGUGACUUUCGAAGGUUGAAGCUUUUUCUAAAGCUAAAUGGAUUUUUCAUUGUCAAUUCGCAGCUCCAGGAAGCUUCAAAGGAAUUUCCUGUUCAAGAUUUUCUUUUCAUUGUCCUUUUUUCCUUUUUCAAUGCGCAGCUCUAGGAAGCUCCCAGAACUUUCCUUUUCAAGAUAUUUCAUUGUCAAUGCGUAGCUCUAGGAAGCUUUAUAGAAUUUUCCUGUUCAUUGUCCUUUAUCCUCUCCAAUCCGGAGCUCCAAGGAGCUUCAAAGAAAUUUCUUGUUCAAGGUUUUUUUUUCAUUGUCCUUUAUGAUGGAAAACAAGUUAGUUAAGAAAUUCUAAUGCUAUUAAAUAAUAAUGAUGGCUAUAUGAAUUCCCUUUAAUUAUCCGAGAAGAAAAACAAAUUGUUAUGUGACUUUAGUAAUUUCCCACUUGCUAACGUGAUUAUCCAGAAAGAAUUGUUUCAAAAGAUUCAUUCUGUUGGGUGAGAUAAAAAAAAAUUCAUUGCUUUUAUUAGCAAACACAAUAUAUAAAUUGACAUAUUGAGAAUGGGAUAUAUAUUAUAAAAAUAGACUCUUGGAGUGACAAAACCUACUACAUGGAGACACUUAAAUGCCAAAAGUUAGGAAAAUGACACUUAAGUGCCAAAAUCGGAGUAAAAUGGAUUAGUUAAGUGCCAACGGCAAAAAGAUUUGGCCAAAUUGCAUACAUAGCAUUUUUUGACAACAUGAUUUACUAAGGUGGCAUAUAUAUUUAAAAAGCACACGUGGACAAUAAAAACGACGUUGCCCCAUCCACGCUGGCUUUGGCAACCUAAACAAUGUCGUUUUUCUUUGGUGCUAAGUGACGUCAUUUAGUAAUUUUUAGGCUUACACUAGAUUAGAUCUAGCCAUCGAUGCUCCUCUCCGUUCACAUUCAUGCUCACACCGACACCCUUCUCUCCGUCGCCGUUCAUGGUCACCGUUCAUGCUCACUAAAGUCGGUCAUUGCUCGUCAUCGCAGCUCACUGUUGUUGCUCACCCAAGUUUGUCCUCUUCUCCCCCUCCCCUAUGGUGAAAUCAGGGUUUAGACUCAUCUAUUAAGGCUCCGAUGGGAAAUUUGGGGCUCGGUUGGGAAAUGUGGGGGUUGGCUGGAAAAUGUAGGGCUCGAAUGGUACUCUAAUGUGCAAUUUAGGGUUCAUAUGUGGUGCUUGAACCCUAAUAGGGGUUUGGAUUGGCAAUUUAAGGGUCAGCCUCAAAAUGUAGAGCUUAACAAGGGGAAAAGUAGGGAUCCUAUGCUACUAUGAUUGUAAUUUAGGGCUCAAAUGUGGUAUUGUAGUGUGCGAGGGCAAUCUCUAGGGGUCGGAUGUGAAAUGUGAUGUGUGAGGACAAUAUUUAAGAUUCGAAUGGUUGUCAUGCGGACCUCUAGUCAUUUUUUAAAAUGAAAGUGUUGAAAUGGGUGUCAUGGGGACCUAUGCUUGUCAUAAGGACCUUUGUUUAUUGGUCAAUAUUUUAAGGGAAGGCAAGAUAAUCAAAGAGAUUGUCGUGGGGGGCAUCUUAUCAAUGUGGGGACCUAUGUUAGUUGUGGGGGACAUCUUUUCAAUGAGUUGUUUGACCUAUGUAUCUCUUCCAUUUUCUUUAAUGAAGUCUAUGAGAGUGUAAAGACCUCCAUGUGCAAUUGUCUAUUGUCCUUUGUUGAUGUGGUCUCAAAAGUUAAUUACUUUUGUUUUUUUUUUUUUCCCUUGGUUGCAUAAAUGGCUUAUGACAAUGAUUAUGUUGCUAUCAUUAUUUGCUACAGCGGAGAUUUUGCAAUUGGGGAGGAUGAGUGGAAGUAUGAGGGGGGAAAUGAUGGCACUAUAUUUGUCGAUAUUAAAAAAAAAACAUAUUAUAGUGGAUUUGUUAGGGAUAUAAUGACGUAUUUGCCAUGUAAAGUACUGAAGUUGAUGUAUUGUGUUCCUAGAAAGGGCUUGAGCGAUGGUUUGAGAAGCUUAGAAGAUGAUAAUGGUUUUAGGGAUGUCCAACACCAUUAUCUUCACGGUAAAAAGAAGAAAGUAUGCGUUGAGUACAAUAGUGACACUAAGGAUGAAGAUGAUAACAGAGAGAGAGCACCCAAGUAGGUGAAGAGGGAGAUGGUAUUCAAGCUAGUACUAAGAUUAAGAAUGAAGGAAGGCAAGAUAGACAAGAUGGGGAGGAGAGGGGCAUAGAUCCGCAAAGUAAUAAUGACAUAGGUGAUAUGACAAUCACUAGAUUAAAUUGGGAAGUAAUUGAAUAUAGUGAUGAAGACGAUGAAGGGUUGCCUAUUGAAAAUUUCUUAAGUGAUGACGACGACAAUGAACUUGCACAGUCAAGGAAAAAACAAAUUGAGUUUUUGGUAGAUAGGUUUGUAGCUUUGUAGGUAACUGAUGAAAUUGUAAAUAAGGCCAAAGGAGUUGGAGAUGCUGGUAUUGCUACUGAGGAGAGUGAUUAUGAAGAAAGCAUCGAGAAUGCUACUUCUCAGGAUGAGCUUGAAAAACAUCAAGGAGCUGUGUGUAAAAGGAAAAGUAAGUUUCCUUCCUAUAAUCUAUCUGUUGCUUCCCCUACUUUAUCAGUAAGUAUGAAAUUCCAAGAUGCGAAGUAAUUUAUAGAAGUUAUGCUGAAAAACUCCAUUGCUGUAUAAAGGAAUAUUGAUUUCUUUAGAAACAUUAAAACCCUUUUAAGAACUAGAAAUUCGCAGCAAAAUUGUCUAUGGAAGAUAUACGACAUGUUUGUUAGGAGGAAUGGGUCCUCUAGAUUAGGGCCUACCAAAAGGAACAUACUUGUUCCAUUAAUUUUGAAAAUAAAAGAGUAACAAGUGCAUGGUUGUCCAAGCACUUCUUCGAUCUGAUCAAGCUAAUGCCCGAGAUGAAGAGUACCGAGUUCAGGAUGUUGGUGAAGGAGCAUAUAAAUAUCAAUGUAUCCAGGAAUCAGUGCAAAAGAUCGAAGCAAAAGGUGAUGAGGAUACUCAUUGGUUAGUACAACAAGGAAUAUGGGUAGAAAAAUGCUUGGAAGUAUAGACUGAAAAAUGCUUCAAGUAGAAUGUAUGUAGAGGUCAUGGAGAGAUCAUUUGCUAAUAGUAAGACCAAGUUCAAUAAGUUCUAUGCAUGCUUCGAUACAUGCAGACAUAGAUUUUUCUCUUGUUGCACAUGGACUAUAGGAUUAGACAACUAUUUCUUGAGGGGCUUGUACAAGAGAGAAUUACUAACUGCAAUUGGAAGAGAUACGAAUAAUCAAAUAUUUCCACUGACUUGGGCUAUUGUGAGGGUAGAGAACAAGGAUAAUUGAUGUUGGUUCCUAAAAUAUAAUGAAUAACCUAGAGAUAACAAAUGAGGAAGAAUGGACGUUCAUGAGCGACCAAUAAAGGGCAAUGUUGUGACGUUUGGAAUUUUCUCUAUAGUUUAUGAUAUUUAGGAUAUAUAAUUAGUAUAGUAACUGUCGGCAAGAACCGACACACUCUUGAAUACGUAUUGAAGAAUUUUCAAACAUUGAAUUUUUACUAAAUUAAUGUUUCCUUAUUGUUCUAUAUCUUUUGUUAAUAAUUUUAGUGGUAUUAAAAUAAUUUUUUGAUUUACCGACGUUUCAAACGAAUACCGAUUUCUUUGAUUAUUUACUGCAAUAUAAUGUAUUUAUCCAAAUGAACAUAAUAUCUCCAUUUUUUUUUAUUAAACCAUGCCAUUUGUCACCGUGACAACUUAGACAAAUGUCUUCAUCUCCACCACUUUUUUUCUUUUUUAAUCCACGUGUCUAAAUUAAAUCCUUUGAAUUUAUCUAUAUGACCUCAUGCAUGACAUAAUCUUAACCCUAGUUUUUUUUUUUUUUUGUCUACAUUUAACCAUAGUUAAUUGGUAGUAUUACCUUUAACCAAGGCUAAUAAAUGUUACUUCAAGCCACUCUUAAAUGUAGAGAAUAACUUUGGAAGACAAUAGAUAAAUGCCUUAUUUCCCCUACGUCCUUGAACGUGCACCUCCAUUUUCUUCACUUCUUCAAGUUCAAGUUUUAUUCACUUUCUAUUUCAAGAUAAGGCUCACACCCUCACUUUCAAUUUAGUGUCUUACAAGGUUUCUUCAUGGAUUUCCUUUUAUUUUUAUCAAAUGAGUUUUGUUAUUUUCUAAAGAAUGACACUUGUUAAAUUAAUAAUUAUUUUGAUUUCAAGGUGAGUAAGGCUUUGUUUGUUGAAGAUUUUACUCAAGGUAAGUGAAAAUCCUAAGGACUAAGUUAGAAUGGUUUACUUAGUACUCUUAAGCUUGGUUGAUUGAUUGUUUGUUUAUUUACUAUAGAUUUUACUCUAUAUGUGUGUAAGUUGCCAUGGUUAAUUGUUGAGCUAUGGUGACUGUUGGAUUUGUAUUAAGAAUGGGUGUUUUGGUAAAUUUUUGACAAAAUAUGGGAUAAUUUCGAAAUUUCCAGAAUGGAGCUAAGGCUACGAACAGGUUUAUUUUAUGAUUUUUAGUUUUAAUAAGUAGGUUUCUAAGUAAGAAUUAACAAGGGAAAUCAAACCGGUUCAAAAAAGUGAUUUUAGAAGCUUUAGGAGUAAAUUUGUAAUUUCACCAAGAUGAGGGACGAAUCUGCAAAAAAUGAAAAUUCUGGGGACUGUUCACAGCUUGUGGAAUCUUAUUAUGAUAGGUGGUAAAGUUAUUUUCAAAGUUAAUUGUUUAAUUUAGAUGAAGUGUAAAUUAUGCAAAAAUUGGAACUAGUUGUACUAAUAAAUCAAAAGUGGGUUGUUUUAAUAGUUUUGUAAAAUAUGUGAUGUGUCUAUAGUAUAAAAAAAUUGUUAGUAUGUCUUAGAUAACAAAAAGUAUAUCUUUUAGUUUUAAUUUAAUUAAUAUGACUUAGUUGGUUGAAAAUAAAAAAUUAUGGGCAAUUUAUAAAAUGAUCAUUUUACUAGGGCAAUAGUCUAGUUUUUAAGAAUUUGGAAUUAUAGAAAAUACUUCUUAUUUUCGUGGAAAAAGUGAGCUUAAUCAAGGGUGAUUUUAUUUUUAAAAUGUAAAUAUAUGAGUUACUUUUAAUUAUUGGAAUAAUAGAGUAUAUUGCUAAAUGGACAUCAAGAAUUAAUAAACUAGUAAAAGUUAUCUACCAAAUGAUUAUGGAUUAGUGAAAAGAAGAAGAAUAUUUAAUUGUUAAAGUGUACGUAAUUAAUCGAUUCUCAUGGUUAUAUGAAAAUGCAAAGAGAGUAAUGUGUUGUCACUUGCAAUUGUGGACACCAAAAAGUAUGUUGCACUUAUUAUGUUAUGAUUAAUUAUGUAUGUCUUUGAUAUUACAUGAUUAAGACCUUUGUCACGGCCUAUUCAUCAUGGAGCAAAUUCCCUUGUAUGAGUAUAUAUGAGACUUUGAAGUGAACCAAAUGUUCUAUCGUAUGAGACGGUUCUAUACAAGGUUGAGAUGACAUGAAAUUUUAUGAUGACAUGGCUCGUGUAGUCAUGGUAUGACAUGGCUUGUGAAGCCAUGGUAUGAUAUUAAUAAAUGGCUAUUAUCAUGCGGAUGUACAAUGAUGUAUUAAUCCUCACUAAUGUAGAGGACACCCGUGAUUGAUAGGCUGAGGCGUGGCCAAUGGGUAUGUAUAAUUCCAUCCCCCAUGAGUUGGCAUUGACGAUGCCUCGUUAGUCGAGAUGCCUCAUGAAUCGAGAUGGUCUUAGCCAGUGACGAAUGAGUUCAUAUGUGUAAGAUAAUGAGAUGUUGUGGUACUUGUAUAUAUUUUUUAUAUCCAUUUGCACAUGUGUGAUCGAUCUUAUGCACUAUUAUGAUUUCCUCAUUGAUAUGUCUUGAUAUGAAAAAUUGUACAUUUAUUCUUGCACUCGUAAUGCAUGGUUGUUUUAUACUGCCUUGAAUUCACGAUUUUUGUUGAUACCAGAUGGAAUGAUAGGUAGAUCUCCUAUCUUCGACUUAAGAAUUUCAUUUACUAAGUCUCGGCUUAUUCAUUUAUUUAUUUUUUCAAACCUGUAGGAUAGCUCUUACGCCACUGCCGCUUUUUGGAGCUCCAGCUCACAUUGAGUAUAGUUAUGAAGAAGUGGUAUUGCCUUAUACGAUUCUUAUGUAUGUUAAGUGUACAACAACAGUCUAGGUCAACGUGGGACUUGCUAAGUGGGUUCCGCAUCAGUAUAUAGCUUGGUACAGGAUCUUUGAUGGCAAUUGGUUGGGACCGCUCAGAGGAUUUGAUAGUCUUGCUGACUACAUUUCCAAUGGACCAUCGAUGGGGGAGGUCAUCGAUCCUUAGAUUUUAGCUUUAGUGUUGUAUAUGCAGGUUUUUGGGUAUAGGAGGAUAAAGUUAAAGUUAGGCAAUCCUACUUCUUCCUAGGUAUUUUGGUAUUUUGUGUAUUGUUUGUCAUACUAUUAUGAGUUGUAAAUAUGAAGUUAAUAUAAUGAAAUAUUAUGUGUAAUAUUUAACUUGUGCGAUGAUCUUUUUGUAUGUUGUAUGGUGUUGUAUUUGUAAUGCUUCCGCUUGCUAUUAAAAAAAAAAAAAAGUACAUGUGUCGCGCGUGACGUUCUGGGACGUCACGACCUGUUUGGUAUCAGGGCAAGUUUACCCAUGAAGUGAUAAUGUGCGCUUAGUGGUUACAGUAGUAAAGUAGACCGUGCAAUUAUAAAAGACCAAAUGCAUGUGUUUGCCCUAGACUGGUUGUGUGGUACAAGAAUAUUUAUUACUAAUUAGUUAGCUACUAAAAUAAUAUUGUAGGUAUUGUAAGACAAGAUGAGCUCUGGUAAUAACUCGGAGGAAGAUCCUCGAAUGGAGGGAAUCCUUCUAGCACUUGCAAAUGUUGAAAGUUUGAUGGAAAAGCAGGCUUUACAACAAGCUGCCUCUAGUUCAGGGAAUGGCAAAUACCGUUUACAAGAUUUGAUUGAACAAUUCUUGAAGGUGAAGCCACCAAGGUUUGUUGGAGUAGGAAACCCUAAAGAGGCAUAAUCGUGGGUCAAUGGGAUGGAGAAAAUAUUUGCAUUACUCAAUUGCAAUGAUAUUGCUAAGGUAGGAAAUGCCAAUCACUGGUGGAGGGCAUCUAAAGGAAUAAUAUUCCAAGCCGAGGCUACUAUGACUUGGAGUGGCUUUGUUAAAGCAUUUUUCAUGAAGUAUUUCUCGAAUUGUGCCCAAGAGAAGAAGAUGAUGGAGUUUAUGCAAUUGAAGCAGAAUGAUCUAAUUGUGGGUUGGUAUGAGGCAAAGUUUGAAAAAUUGUGAAGGUUCGCCCCUAAGUUGGUUGAGGACAAAGAGGACAAAGCUAAGAGAUUUUUGGAUGGUUUGAGACCGAAAAUUAGAAGCACACUAGUGCCUUUAAAUGUCAAUGAUUAUGAGGAGCUCUAUGAGUAUGCACAACUUGUAGGGAAAGAUUUGGCAAAGUUAGCAACGGCAUCAACAUUCCAAGCACUACCUAAUCAUCAGGCAUUUCGAGCUAACUUUCGUCGUAAUAAGAGGCCCGCGCAAAUUGGAAAGCAAACGUGUGGUCCAAAUAAGAGAAAUAAUGCUAGACGAUAGCUUGGAUCCACACAGAACAACCGACAAAUUGGGUGGAUACAACGUCAAAAUAUUGUAUGUUGAUAUUGCGGGAAGCAACAUGGAAGUAAACCAUGCCUGGCUCGGACAAGAGCUUGUUUUAGAUGUGGAUAACAAGGCCAUAUGAUAAGGGAGAGUCCCUUGGUGACGCAACAGCAACAUGGCAUGCCUAUCCAAUAACUUCCAUGGAACAAAGUCCCACAGUAGGGGAAAUAUCUAGAGGGCGCCAGCUCAAGGUCGAGUUUAUGCAAUCACGUAAGAGGAAGCUAAGGCUUCCAAGAUGGUUAUAUCAAGUAUCAUGUGACAAUAAUGCUUAUGCUUUGUUUGAUACUAGUGCCACGCAUUCAUUCAUAUCUGCACGGUUCGUACAAUUGAUUAGAGUAAACCCUGGACCACUUGAAAUAUCCCUUAGUGUGUCUACACCGCUAAGAGAUGCGAUUUUGUCCACGUUGAUAUGUAAGGGUUGUAAGGUUACUAUAGGUGGACAAGAUCACAUGGUAGAUUUAAUUGUGUUGACCAUGUACGAUUUUGAUGUUAUUUUGGAAAUAGAUUGGCUUUGUAAGUAGCGAGCCAAUGUGGAUUGUUAUCAGAAAAUAAUCCAGUUCAAUCCACUUGAUCAUCCUAGUUUUAAAUUCUUUAGAAAUUGGUCAAAUCAUUUAAUGUCACUUGUCUCUACACUUGAGGUACAUCGUCUUCUCAAUGACGGUUGCAAGGGAUAUUUGGCAUUGUUAGAAGAUCAAUCAAAGGAAGUAACAAAACUUGAGGAAAUCCCUGUAGUUCGUAAAUUUCCUGAUGUCUUUCAAAUGAGCUACCGGGGUUAUCGCUGGAGUGUAAAAUUGAAUUUGUUAUUGAACUCACUCUUGGAAUGGAACCUAUUUCCAAAGCUCCCUAUCAAAUGGCUUUAGCAGAGCUGAAAGAGUAAAAGGUGCAGCUACAACAACUGCUUAAUAAGGAUUUUAUUUGACCUAGUGCAUCACCUUGGUGUAUCAAUGUUGUUUGUGAAGAAGAAAGAUGGGUUGAUAUGCCUUUGCAUUAAUUAUCGGCAAUUAAAUCAAGUUACAAUUAAAAAUAAGUACCCAUUGUCACGCCCCGAACCUGAGUACAUGAACAUCCCUCAACGGUCGAUUAAAAAUGUGACGUCCCUAGACGUGUUGCCGACCCAUUCUUUUUAUCUUUCGAUUAUACGCAUGCAUAAGUGACUAAAUUAAACACCCAGACAAUCAACAAUAAUUGGGAUAGUAAAACACAACAAUGAAUUUUUUACAAAAACUAAGAUUUAUUUAUCAACAAGUUAACCCAAGGAGUUUAAUAUAUACAGGCCUACCACAAAAGAAACUUCCAUGUGACCUACAAGCAAAAAAAAGUCAGAAGGUCAAGGUCAACUUUUAGCUGCACAAACUCCCAACACUUGCUCUAGUUCCGAGGCGCAAAGUUGGGCACGUAGUCAGGUGGGUACGGCUCCUUGAGUCCAUCUGGAUUGGAAUUUGGAUCCACAACGACACCAUUAGGGAUGUCGAUAUCCAUGGGGUCACUUGCGGGCCCUUCCACGUGUCCAACGAGCGGUCCAUCAAAACCAUGGAGGGGACCCUCCGUUCACUGUUCACCUCCCUAAUAAACCACUUGAAGUAGUGGGGCACCACAUGGGGCACCACAUGUACAAACCCCUCGUCUACCCAUACGGUCAUAACUACCAGCUCGCAAGUACGGUCAGUCCCAGGGAUAGGAUAUAGAGUAGUCUCUACCUCCAUGUCCCAAGUAACCCCGAAAUGUACAAGGUGACACUCCAUACUACGAACUUGAAAAAUGUUUGACAAUGACGGUGUGAGAUAAAAUCGCAGCGAGUUAAAUCCCUAAGCCUCGAUUAGGACAUGAAUUCGCCUCGAAGGCAACCUAAGCAUGCACCAUACAUAAACUCACCUCGCCUCGGCACGCCCGUGUAUAUUAGCACGUCUUGCUCAACAAUAAUAGUGUAAUGUGCAUAAAUAACAAUCAUAACACAUACUAGAAUUUCAUAUGCAUUGUCAAUACACGUGUUCCAAUUAUUACGACCCCUUGAGCUACAGCCAACACAAGUGUUGGCGGUCUCCCGACAUGACCAGGCAUCGUCCCGCCCCAUCGGGCACGGCAUCAUCUAGGAACCUUGCCUAAACGGCAUUCCAUAAAGGAGUUUCGAUCCGGCCUCAACCGCAACUUGGCAUUCAGACCCCUGCCGCGCAUCCGAUAAAAUCGGGCAUCGCCCCCAAACUCCCAUUGGGUGACUGGUUCAAUUAUGUGACCAUUCAAGCACAUCAUCAAUCAAGCCAACUUUUAUUGUCGUUAUUUAGCCAAGAACACAAUACUUCAUUUUCAAAUAAUAAAUUUGGCAAUACCCCCUUUUUUUUUCUUUAAAACUCCCUGAAAUAAAUUUAUACGGGGUCACGUAUAAAAUUAACUCGUCAAACUUUGCACACUUCUAUUUUAAAACCCAUUAUAUUUAUUGAGCACAUAAAAUUUGGUGUCCAAACCCGACACCUCACAUUUUUCUAUUUAAUUGCCUAUAAAACCGUCUUUUGUAAUAAUAAUCGAAACUUACCAUAGAGCAAUCAACCAUAUAAUAUCGUAUGUGCAAACAAUCAAAAUCACAAUAUUACGCAAAUAGUGAUUAAUUAAAUAAAUUACGAUUAAUAAAGCUGAACGCAAUUAAUUAAUCUAACAUGAUUAAUUAGACUAAUCAAAAUUAUUUACACUAAUCGCAAUUUAAUUUAACCCAAACCAUUGUUAAUCGCAAUUAAAACUUAACUAAGCUUAACUUAGACAAACCCUCAUUAGCACCAAUCUAACCACCCCUAAAUGCAAUUAGCGAUCUAAUCCAAGAUUAGAAAAUCAACUCAUGGGUUUUCGACAGCGGCUAGCUUGUGGCAACGGCGACGCGACAGUGUCAAGAGUGUGACGCUCACAGCUCGAACAGAGGCUCGACGAUGGCCGUGUCAGCCCCUCAAGUUCUCAGCCACCUAGAGUGGCUUGGCUUUAUGGUGGCUGCGGUGGAGGUGAUGGACGGCACGAGCGGGCAGCGGCAAAAUGAUGGUGAUGGGGGCGGUGGGAUGAUGGUGGCGUGGAGGAGCUACUGGCGGAUGUGGUGAUGGACGGUGGAGGUGCUAGUGGUUGGAGCUGGCGGUGGUGGAUACUUGGUGGUUAGAGCUGGCGGUGGUGGUUGCUUGGUGGUGUCGGCGGUGGUGAGGUGGUGAUGGGGAUAAUGCUGGUGGUGGAGGAUGGUGAACAAUUGAAGAAGAUGGUUAUGGGGUGGUGCUGAUAGAUGGGGGGCUGAUGAUGGUGGUGGAAGGGGUGAAAAGAAUAUGAAGGAGGAGGAAGAGUGGAAGAGAAAAGAGAGGAGAUGGAGGGAGGAACCGUCGGCUGCACCAAGAAAAUAAAGGGAAAUGGUGUGGGGGAGGCGAGAAGAGAGAAAUAGAGAAGAGUGGGAGAGAGAGAAAAUGAAUAAAGCAAACAAGAGAUGUAGGAAAAUAUCCCAAAAACCAUCAUCACAUAUGCCUCAAAAGUUUUCUAAUCUUAUCCUUAGUCUCCUAAUUAUCUUCUUUAGCUCUAAUUUCUAAAAAAUAAGACUUUUUGGGCAGCAAAUUCCCAAUUUGCUUAUUCAUCCGAAUUUCAUUUCCUUUUUCUUUUUGUCCGAGAAUCCUUUUUUUGAAAAAAAAAAUUCAGACUGAUCGAAAAUUUGACGAAAGAUGAGACGACAUCCAAUAAUUAAAUUGCGACACGUUCGAAAAUUCGAUACUCGAAAUUGAAUUAAAUUUUGUGGUUAAAAUCGAUCGAACGCGACUUUAGUGUGACAUAAUCUAUUGGGUAGCUUUUAGGGGUUUUCGCGCGUUUAACCCAUGGUCGAUAAUUUUCAACCAACGUUUGUGCAUCUUCAAAUCGUAGGCGACCCUCAGUUGUCAUGUAAUCACGAGGCUUCAAUUACGCAUCCUGAAUAUAAUAUCAAUAGAAAAUCGAUUUAUUAUCAUUCGACACGAAUAUUGUAAUUGGGCAGAAUCACUCGCAAACCAAUUACGUACUUCCGUAAAAUCGAUUUAUAUCAAUUCACUAAUUAAUUUAUACAGCGUAGUAUUGACCAUUAUCGAUCCUUAUGGUCGAGUGGUCGAUUUCCAAUCAAAUUCUCUAGUCUUUCGUGUUUUAACCCUUUAUGGCAUAACCUAAUAAAUUAGUUAACUCGUGAGUGAUCAAUUCAGAGUAAAAUAACCAUAAGCGUGUUGAUGAAAUAACCAUUUAAUAUAUUUUGAAAUAUGACCAAAUUUCGGGAUAUCACAACUCUUCCCAUUGUACAAAAAUUUCGUCCUCGAAAUUUGAACCACUACAAUCCUUCCUAAAAAAGGUGAAGGUGUUGACGUCUCAUCGACUCUUUGCUUUCCCACGUGGCUCUCUUCGUUCUGUGGUGUUGCUAAACCACUUUAACCAAAAGAAUCGUCUUAUUACUUAGCAUUUGCUAUUUUCGAUCGAUUAUCCGAAUUGGUCUCUCCACGUACGACACUCUCUUGUCCACGUCUAUUUACUUGAAAUUCAGCAUGUGGGUUGGAUCAGGUUCAUACUUCCUCAAUAUCGACACGUGAAAGACGUCAUGCACUUGAGCAAGUCUCGAUGGCAACGCAAGACGAUCGCCAAAGUCCCAAUUCACUCCAAAAUUUCAAAGGGGCCAACAUACCUCAGGCUUAGCUUUCAUUUCUUGCUAAAACGUGAAGUACCUCUCAUCAGUGACACUGUGAGGAAUAUAUAUUCACCUACUUGGAACUCCAAUGGUCUACGCCGCUUAUUUGCAUAGCUCUUCUGACAACUCUGGGCAGUCUUGAGCCAUUUUUGAAUGACUUUGACGACGUCAACUAACUACUAAACCAAAAAAAUAGCAAAAACAGAGAUUCACUAAAACAAAUCUCAAACUAAUACAAGACAGAUUGACCUAUGUCUAGAUCUAAGCAAUUUUGAUCUAACCAAUCAUGUCCAAAAAUUUUGAAAAAAAAAAUACAAAAAUGCACAACACUUGUACAAGCAACUUUUAUGAAGAAUAAUUUUUCCAAAAAUCAACACAAAAAUAGCAAAAACAGAGAUCAAUAUGAAACAGAUUGACCGAAGCCUAGAUCUAAGUAGAUCUUACCUAGUUGAACACAUCCAAAAAUCAUUAAAAAAAUUACAAAAGAUGUAUGACAUGAUUUGGAACAAAACUCAUGAAGAAAAUUUUCUCAAAAAAUGAUCAUGAAAGUCGGCACAAAAUAACAAAGUCAGAAGGCGGAACCGGGAAAAAAGAAAAACCUAAACUACUGUAGAAUCGUUAAUCUUUGGAGGUAUUUUUGGAGGGCCAAACGAUGGUCAUUUUGGACAUGCGACAUAUUAUUUCGAAGCUCGGGAUGUCUGCUAUUUAAUCCUAAGAGGACUUGAGUUGAAACGAUGUCGUUUUGGACCUUGUUUUGGCCAAAAUAAUAACCUAUAUACAGGCCUACGAAAAUAAAUAUUAGGCUUAAAUCACAAUCAUUCAAAUCAUUAACAACUCAAUGCAGCAUUUAUACUCAUCAAUCUUAAACAUGUAAAAGCUCAUAAUCUUGAAUCCUAGCCCCGAUCAACUAACUCGAUCUCGCUUCAUUGGAUUCAAGUUUUGAAUUGUUACCUUUUUUGCAAUUUUCGUCGGUUUCUAUCACAAUUAGUCAGAUCAAAUCACCGGAUCAUGAUCAGGACUCCAAGAACGUAAAUCAAGUCACUAUAGCUUGGAUCGGGAUCAAUCGAACCACCGACUCAAGAAAAAAAUAAAGAAUCAGUCCAAGAGAUGAACUAAAACUGAGAGAGAGAGAGAGAGAGAGAGAGAGAGAGAAAAAGAAAGAGAUUGAGCUGUUUGGGUAGGGUUUUGGAGGGAGAAAUGAGAGAGGGAGUCUGAGGAGAGAGAAAAAAUUCAUGCAAAUAAAGCCCCUUCUUUUGAACAUAGAAGAGAUUUCACUUAUAUACUCACACAUUAAGCAAUUUUGGCUGUCGGUUUGACCGUACGACCAAAAUCUCGAUCCAACGGUCAAAAAUCCAUUUUGAAGGCUUGAGGUGUCAUGUAAUUAAUUUAGUGGGUUUGAUUUGCAAAAAAAUCCAUCCAAAAUCAAUAAUUAUGUCAAAAUGUCUAAUUAUGGGUUAAUUUGCAAUUUGACGAAAUUCAAUGACCAAUUUAUAAAUGUUUGGGAAAUUGAAGGUGUAUAAGUGAAAUUGGGAGUGAGAGGAUUCCAAAACCGAUGGCUAGAGGCCUAGAAUCAGUCGGAAAGGGCCUGAACCGACCAAUCCCGCCGGCGGCUAGUCAGACCUGCCGGACCAGUUUGGUCUAGUUCGGCCGGAUUUUGACCAAUGCUUGACCGAUUUGGUCAAAUUCCUGGUGUUUUGUCCACUUGGGACCCUUGUGGGUCAAACAUUUAUGUAAUUUGACCCCUAAAGGACCUAGUUGAAAAGGAAUUUUAUCCCUUUUUAUGAAGAAAUGGACCAAUUAAGAUACAAUUAAGCUAAUCAAACCUUAUGAACAUGAUCUAGGGGUCUAUUAUUGACCUAAUUGAAUGAUGAUCGUUGAAAAAAAUGAGUCGAAACCAUGGGUGCUUUGAAUUGGGCCUAAAGGGCUAAAAUGGUAAAAAAAUAGUAAAAAUUGCAAUUCAAUGGGCAAAAUUACAAAUUAACUAAAAUUAAACUCAAUUAGUGUCACAAUUGCCCUAUCUAAUGAGCUACUCAUAGGUAAGAUCACUAACCACAUUCAAAUUGACCCUAAAUUAAAGUGCUCGAGCUUAGGUCAAAAAUGCAUCUAGGCCUAAUAUUAAAAUUGGAUCUAGAUUUAUGAAAUUAAACCAUAGUCAUGAAUGGGUCAAUUCAAAUUUCAUCAAUUGAAGCUUAAUUGCUUGACUUUAUAAUGCUUGGGAUGAUAAAAAUCUUCAAAUUGAUGAGUUCUUGUGUGAAUUUCACAAAACAAUCUCAAAUUUGGACUUAUCUUAAGAAAAUGAGUGAGAAAUAAUUGUCCGUUCGCAAGUCAUGAAGGAUCGAUUUUGGUCCCCUAAUUAUGGCUUAAAAUGGCAAUUUGUAUUUUAACUCAAUAAAUCGCGAAAUUGAAUGCUCAAACUGAUUUCAAAUAAUCCCUAAACCAAAUGUCAAAGAAAGAACUACACCUAAUUAUGACUAGAAUAAAAUUAAUUUCAUUUUUGGUUGAUUUAAAACCUAAAACUAAAAAAAUUAUAAAUUAAGGUUCUUAAUCGAAUUUUGUGAAUUUUUUUACACAAAAGUCAAAUUGGCAUUAGAAGAAAUAUAUUUGUGCAUUUUUAUUUUUUAUUUUUUUGGGUCAAAUGUUUGACCAAAAGUCAACCAUUUAGGGCGCGCAUAAUAAAAUUUAUAUUUCUCGAUUUCUCUGUUUCUCUGUUACCCGGAACAGGUUUGGAAUAGAAAUCCGUUUGGUAACACAAUUUGAUUUUUCUAUUUCUGAAACAGAUUUCUAUUCUAAAAAUAGAUAAAUUGAAGAAAUCAGAAGCUGAAAUUUUUAACUUCUCAGUUUCUGAUUUCAGAAAUUGAAAUCAAACCAUAUAAAAGAACCUUAUGCUUUCUUGCUAACUUAAUUCACUUAUAACCAUAACUUCACAAAUUAUUGUUAAUUUCUUUUUCUUAUUUUGCUUGUGUUUUUUUUUUUUUGCAUUUUUUUUUCAAUUUUUUUUUUUAUAACUUCCUCUUUAGGAUGAAAGGCAAUUGAAUGGGUCCUCAAUUUUCAAAAAUGACCAAAGUUCUUAAAUGCUUACUUAAAAACAAUGGGGCUCUUUCCUCCUAGAAAAGGCAUAUGACCAGUUGAAGAAAAAGUUCUUACGUAAUAGAUGAAUAAAAAAAGUGCCUAGAAAUUUAACCUUAUUUUUUUAAGGAUUCAAAAUUCUUGCAAAAUCAAAAUAAUUAGAUUGUUACACAAUCUUGAAUUUUAAUUCGAAGGCAAGAGAUUCAAGAGCUCUCUUUGCUAUGCAAGAGCCAUUAAAGGUUCAUUGAGCAACAAUAAAGAAAUUAGGGAUGAGCAACUGAACUGAUUCAAUUCGAGAAUCAAAAUAAAUUUACAUUCCCCCGAUUGGUUCCUAACCAUAAAUGUUACUUUAAGGUAGAAUUCUUUAUAUUCCUUUACAUUAUUAAAUUUAUUUUGUUGAUAAUCUUGUAUAAUACUAGUUUUUUAUAAAAUGACAAUGUUAUAUAGGAGGCCAUUGAUGGCACCUAUAUUCAUGCUUCCACAAUACUUGUUUGAACUUACGCAGGAUGAGCUUGCAAACAAUACAUUGACCGAGGAGGGAAACCAAAUAAAUACGCUUAGGAAAACAAUUGCUAAUAAAAUGGCAAUGGAUAACAAUAUGCCGGAAAUUCCAUGAAUUUUUUUUUCAACUUUUGUAAUGUAUUAGUAUUAUUUCAACUAUUAUUUUAUAUUUGAGGAUUUCCUAUGUUGUUUUAGUAUUAUUUUGACUAUUAUUUUGUAUUUGAGGUUUUCGUAUGUUGUUAUCUAAUCAAUUUAUAUUCCUGGAAAUAGAAAUUUUGAGUCGUUAUCAAACGGGUUUCUUUGCUCAGAAACUUAUCCGGGGAAUAGAAAUUAAGAAAUUGAUUUUUGGCCAGAAAUCAAUUUAUGUUUUAGAAAUUUUGUCAUGCGCAGCCUUAGUUGACUUUUCCUAAAAUGUUGAUUUUUUUUAUCAAAUUUUUGAAUUUUCAAGAAAUUGAUUUGAAAAAAGUGAAAUAAAAGCUAAGUAGAAUUUUUUUUUUGGGGCAAAAAGUCAAUUUUUGACCCGGGGUUGACUUUUGGUCAAGGGUUGACCAAAAAGUCAACCUAAAGUCAAUGGUUUGACUUUUCGGGUUUUUCAUGAAAACAAGCUAAAAACUGCUUAAAAACGACAAUGUAAAAGAAAGAAAUGAAAAACGACAUUUUUUUUGUCGAGAGAUACGGUUUCGUCUCGAUCAGAAACUUAAAUCUUGAUUUUUUAUGUUUUAAUGAUAUGUAAACUAAAAAUUAGGUGUCAACAAUGCCAGACAAGCAAUAGGUUUUGCAUUGCCACUGCUGCCACCCCAUUAUCGUUGGAAAGGGCCUAGGUUGCUAGGCCCUAGCCAGUGGCCAUCGACCCUGGCAAACCGUAGGUAAGGGCCUGCAAGCCCUUGCCCAAAACUGGUGUGAGGACUAGUUGGCCCUCUCGUAGAGGCAACCCUCACCUGGAGGGGCCAAGGGCUCCCAAAACUACGUGCUACUUUUUUCUUUUGGUUUUUUCCAAUUUAAUUUAAUUAAUAUUUAUAUUAAAAUUCAAAUUUGAAGGCACAAGCUAGCCACAUUAGUGCCACGUGAAUUUCCAACGAGCUACAUAGAUCGGUUUUAUUUUUAAAAUAAUGCCACAUCGGGUUUCUAACUAGCCUCGUCAGACUUCGCAAUUAAGUAUCCAAUUUUUUUUUUAAGUGAUACUUAAAUGUACCUUUUUGAAAAUUUUGGCACUUAAAUGUCUACCCAUACUAAGUUUUGACACUUGUGAUGUACUAUUGCUUGAAAAAGCCAAAGAGGAGUCAUGCUCGGAGAGGAAGGGUUUCUUUUCAUUCACUAGGUCCAAGUCUCACCAUGUUUGGAUAUGCCAAUUUCCAUUUUAGGGUUUCAUAGAUUCCUGAUCUAGUUCUUCAGUUCUUAAUUCCUAGUCCAGUUCGAUUCGAUUCUUGCUCGAGAAUCAAACUGCAUAAUACAUGUUUAAAACAAUAAGGAAUUAGGAAUUGGACCGAGUCAUCCAAAACUUGGAAUUAGAACGAUCCCCUAGUUCUCUAAUUCUCUCUUCUACCAUUAAAUUAUGCUCACUUCUAAUCUCAACAUACAUUGCCAUUUUCUAUUAUGUGCAUUGAUUCUAGACUUAGCAUCAUCAUAACUCUUUGGAUCAUUUACUAAAUUAAUCCCGUUAGUGGUCCAAAGACUUUUCUUAUUCUUUCUAUUGUUAAAUACUAUACAUACUUUGCCAACUAAAUUUGCUUUAUAAGUUCAUGUGGCAAAUUCCUCUUGAGUGAUUAGAUGCUUAAAAAACUUUUGAAUUCUAACAUUAGAAAUCAAGUUCUAAACAGCAAUAAACUAAUAGAUAAGAGCUAAAAGACAAGAUAACUACUAGAUAAUUUAAAACUGUCAGAAAAUAAAUUGAACUAACCGAUAAUUUAUUUUUUUUGUUGAGGAAUUUGAAAUAUACCUUGACAGCUAAUUAUAGGGAAAAUUACCAAAAAAAUAAUAAUCAUGGCCAAUUUUGUCCUAUACCUUUAAGAGAAUUUGAAGUGUUCAGCAUUAAGAUAAUAAACAAAACUACAAUAUGGUCUACAAUAGAUCUAUCAAAUUGGUAGAUCAGGUUAGGUUGAAAAAUUAUUUGACCCAAAAUGACCUAUUUAAUUUUCUUUUUACUAAUUUCUAUACAUUAUUAAAACACUUCUAUAGUUAAUCCAAUCUAGAAAAACUCGUACUUAAACUAAGAUGAGAACAUGAAGUGAGCGAGCGUGAGAUCAAGUAAAAGACAAGAAAGUAAAGAGAGGGGGUAAGUAUACUAUCAGUGCCAAAACUUGUGUAUGGUGCUCAUUUUGAUGCCAAAAGUUUCAAUCGGAUCACUUAAGUGCCAAAACUUUUGAAAAACGAUCAUUUCAAUGCAAACGCUAAUUUGGUUGGCCGGAAAUCUGACAUGGCACUUUUUUAUUAAUUUUUGAAGCUAAUGUGGCUCGCCGGAGAGUACAAUCAACAUUUAAACAACAAAAUGACGUUGUUUGGUGUCUCUCCCCCAAUUCAAAACCCUAAACCCUAAAUUUUCCGGAUAAUCUCGGCCACCGUUGCUCUCUUCAUCCUCUUCUCCUCCCUUACUGUCCUCUCUGUCGCCGGCCAUGGUGCCACUAAGCACCGCCACCUCCUCUACUGCCUCGACGAGUUCAGCGAUCGUGACGAGCAAGUCACCGUCAAACCCUCCACCUCCUUCGAGAACCCACGCCUCCGCAAUGCCUACGUUGCCCUCCAGGCCCUGAAGCAGGCCAUCCUCUCUAACCCCAACAACUUCAUCGCCAACCGGGUCGGCCCUAACGUCUACGGCUACUCCAAUGUCUUCUGCUCCCCCUCCCCCGAUGACCCCCGGCGUCUACAUCGUCGCUGGCGUCGACCUCAACCUAGCGACAUCACUGGGUACCUCCCCAAGGAGCUCGGCCUGCUCGCCGACCUCGCGCUCUUCCACCUCAACUCCAACCGCUUCUGUGGCAACAUGCUGCAGAAGUUUCGGAACUUGAAGCGACUCUUUGAGCUGGAUCUGAGCAACAACCGUUUCACGGGAAGUUCCCGAGGGUCAUGCUGGAGUUCGACGGGUCGAUCCCGCGGGAGCUCUUCAACAAGGAUCUAGACGCUAUUUUCAUCAAUGACAACCGGUUCUGGUUCAACCUGCCGAAUAAUCUCGGCCACUCCCUGGUGUUGUUUUAAACAUUAUGAUGGUUUUCCCUCCUCCUCCCCCUUCAAUUGCCCACAUCCCUCGCCUCCGUUUUCACCAGCGAUGGGCCAGUUGCCGUCCUCGACAGCCCCCGCGCUUGGCAACUGCAGCUUCGACCCCAACCUCAACCUCAACGACGGCCACUUGGUGGCCAAGUCGAAGGCCGUGGUCUUACUCAAGUGCGAACCUCACAUUGCCUAGAGAUGGCGACCGACCGAGCUAGGUUGGCGUUAGACGAGAAUCGGACAAAAAACCCUAAUUUCAAUCCCUAAAAAAAAAAAAAUCCCCUAGUGAGUUGUGCGGCGACGUUUUUGUGAGGCCAUUCACUUAGGAUGGCAAAACAACUUCGUUUUCUUAAAGAGGACGGAAAACGACGUCGUUUAAAAGCCAUGUAAAAUUUUUUAAAAAAAUAUAAAUGUCACGUAAUCAUUUUGGCCGGAAUCUAUCGCCGAUGGCACCAAAAUGAUCAUUUUUCCUCCGAUUUGGCACUUAAGUGAUCCGAUUGAAACUUUUGGCACCAAAGUGAAUGCCGUACACAAGUUUUGGCACUGAUAGCGUACUUACCCCGUAAAGAGAGAAUCAUAGAGGUGGAUUGAGUUUAAAUAGGUCGUGAACUAGUAUUACACUAUAGACCUUAUCAUUCUAAACUCAUUCAUGAAUAUAACUAACCUAUAUUACAACUCAACCCAUCAAAUAUAAGUUGAUCCAUUUUGAUAGAUCUAAUUGAUGGCUAAGAUUAUGAUUAUUUAGAUGCUUGCCAUCAUCAAAUCAAGAUGGUGAUCACUUUGAAGAUAACCGUCGGCCCUAUUCCUUUCUCAAUUGGAUUCUUUCUCUCCUACUUGGAUAUGAGAAAUUUUAUCUGACCCAACACCAUAACUUUUAUUUCGAUCUAUAUUCACAUUAAGUCUGCAUUUAUUAUGGUGUGAUAAUUAAGGACUUGAUGCAAUCAUUUAUAUUUUCUAAUCAAAUAAAGUCUUCUUCUUUAUGUGUCCAUAUAAUCAACAAAAUCAAAAUAGAAAUUUCAUGCCCGUUGCUUCCGACUUUCACCUUGCAAUUCCUUCAAAUCACAUGGGCCCGACCAUUGGCCUUAACCUCCAAGGCCAAACCCAAAAGAAAAAUUGUUGAACCUAAGUAGGCCCAUUAGGCAUGGGCUUGACUAGGCCUAAACCAUAAAUAUGCAAUACAGCCUGUCAUCUCACAAGGCUAUGCUUAGGUAUGGGCCGAACAACUAGACUUGCCCCUAAAGGCCCAAUCCCAAAAAUAAAAAAAAAAUAAAAUAUAAAAUUAUUUGACCUAGAUUGGUCCAUGGGUCUGGUCAAGCCUAGGCACAAUGCAUGACACAGCCUGCCAUCUAAUGGGUAAUGCCCUAUCAUGAGACACGGCCUAUUACUUAUCCCUAUCCAUAAGAAAAUAAGUUGGAUCCACGUAAAUUCAUUCAUUCAAGACAAAUUUACUUCAUAUCCCUUCGCAUUUCAUUAACACUACCAAUCAACAAAAUGCUCGAACACAGAACGCUCCAGACAAAAAGACAAUGAUGACAUGUCAAAGUAGAUUUUCCAUGAAUUUAUGAUCUUGAAAAUUGUAAUAUGUACGGACACUAUGGAUCGCUCUAGGGAUUGUGAUAACCCAAUUCGUUGAUCAAAAUCAAUAAUAUCCUUAUUGAAGAAAACUUCAGCUACACACUACAACUUCCCUUGACAUUCAGUAGCAACCGAUCCGGAGACAUAGGCAGCCUUGCUGCGAAGCCAGGGACUCCUCAUCCAUCCUCAAAGUUGAGCGCAUAGCUCAUCAUAUCAUACCCAAACUCUAAGGUUGUGAUGUGGCCUUGCUUUUGGCACCUCUUGAUCCGAGUGACGAGGCUUCGGAGGUUGUAUUGGAUCUCCGAUAGUGGGAGCUCUCGAGCCGUGGAGUAGAGCCGCAAGCAAGGCGACUGGGCCGCCCCAUGGUAGCAGCCAUCAUUGUCACCGUCAUUAUUGUAGUUUGAGGAGGCGGCCUCAUUAUGGAUAGUGGCGUCUAGAAAGCAGCAGAAGUGGAGGCGCAGGGAGGAUGAUUUGAGCUCGUGAUUGAACAACAUUGGGUUGUGUGGAGAGAGAAAGAGGGGAGAGGGAGUCGCGGGGGGGGGGGGAGGGAGGAUGAGGUGGCGGGUUUUUAUAGGGUGGACGGGAUAAGGAGGAAGGGGAAAGUGGGGUGGGGGGGGGGGACAUGGUGUUUUGAGUGAAUCCCUCUAUGAUGUUUCGUCUUGUUUUUGCCUAACUGCAUUUUUUAUGUAAUUUGGUAACUAUGCAAAAGUUGAGGGAUCAUGUAGCUGCUCAUUUUUCCUUCUCUACACCGCGUUAUUUCCUCCCCUUAAAUGUUUAAAUCUAACUUAUUGCUAUUAGAAAAAAAAAAUCGCCCCUAAUCAUUCAAUUACAUUUUAUAAGUGGUGGCCCCCAAAUUUUGCUUUCCUUUCCUUUUAACUUUGCUGUUUUUAUGUAGGAUUUUGUUACCAUAGAGACAAAGCUUCCAUGUAUAUUAGGGGUACACUUUUUUAAUUGUUAGAUUUUAUUUCCAUAAAAAUUAGUUUUGUCGAAAAGAGAAAUCCCUAAAAAAAAUUAUUUCCUUUCUACGUUGUUGCUCAAAUUUAUGAAUAAAUUGUCUAGUAAAAUCUAGAAAUAAAUUAAGGGUGGCAUUAUUUUCACUCUCUAAAAAACUUAACCCACCUACACUAAAAAGAAAAAAUUGUCCUCAAUUUUUCAAUUGCAGUUUUAGAUGAUGGCUUAUUUCGCCUUGUGUCUAUUUCACCUUAGGUGGUUGGUUCACAAGUACAACCUUUGUAACUUCAUGGUAUACCCAUGGAUUGGCCAGUUCCUAUUUGGAAGGAUGCAACUUCUUAACUGCCUCUAUUUCUACUCCUGCUAAUAGUUUAGCACAUUCUUUGUUGUUACUAUGGGGUCCUAAGGUACAAGGAGAUUUUACUCGUUGGUGUCAAUUAGGCAGUUUGUGGACUUUUGUGGCUCUCCAAGCACUUUCAGACUAAUAGAUUUCAUGUUACCCCAAUUUGAACUUGCUCGAUCUGUUCAAUUGCAACCUUAUAAUGCAAUCGCAUUCUCUAGUCCAAUUGUUGUUUUUGUUUCUGUAUUCCUAAUUUAUCCACUAGGUUAGUCUAAUUGGUUCUUUGCGCCUAGUUUUGGUGUAGCAGCUAUAUUUCGCAUCAUUCUUUUUUUUCCAGGGGUUUCAUAAUUGGACAUUAAACCCAUUUCAUAUGAUGGGAGUUGCCGAUGUGUUGGGCGCUGCUCUCCUAUGUGCUAUUCAUGGUGCUACCGUAGAAAAUACUUUAUUUGAAGAUGGUGAUGGUGCAAAUACAUUCCAUGCUUUUAACCCCAACUCAAGCUGAAGAAACUUAUUAAUGGUCACCGCUAAUCGCUUUUGGUCCCAAAUCUUUGGGUUGAUUUUUCCAAUAAACGUUGGUUACAUUUCUUUAUGUUAUUUGUACUAGUAAUUGGUUUAUGGAUGAGUGCUCUUGGAGUAGUCGGUCUAGCUCUGAACCUACAUGCAGCAGAAGAUCCUGAAUUUGAAACUUUCUACACCAAAAGUAUUAUCUUAAAUGAAGGUAUUCGUGCUUGGAUGGUGGCUCAAGAUUAGCCUCAUGAAAACUUUAUAUUCCCUGAGGAGGUUCUACCCUGUGGAAACGCUCUUUAAUGGAACUUUAGCUUUAGCUAGUUGUGAGAAACCACCGGUUUCGCUUGGUGGGCCGAGAACGCACGACUUAUCAAUUUAUCUGGUAAACUGUUGGGGGCUCAUGUAGCCCGUGCCGUAUUAAUCGUAUUCUAGGUUGGAGCAAUGAACCUAUUUGAAGUGGCUCAUUUUGUACCAAAAAAGCCCAUAUAUGAACAAGGAUUAAUUUUACUUCCCCACUUAGCUACUCUAGGUUGGGGGGUAGGUCCGGGUGGGGAAGUUAUAGACAUCUUUCCAUAUUUUGUAUCCGGAGUACUUCACUUAACUUCGUCUGCAGUAUUAGGCUUUGGCAGUAUUUAUCAUGCACUUCUGGGCCUUGAGACUCUUGAAGAAUCUUUUCUAUUCUUUGGUUAUGUAUGGAAAGAUAGAAAUAAAAUGACCGCAAUUUUGGGUAUUCACUUAAUCUUGUUAGGUAUAGGUGCUUUUCUUCUAGUAUUCAAGGCUCUUUAUUUUGGAGGCGUAUAUGAUACCUGGGCUCCAGGAGGGGGAGAUGUAAGAAAAAUUAUCAACUUGACCCUUAGCCCAAGUGUUAUAUUUGGUUAUUUACUAAAAUCAUUUUUUUGAGGAGAAUGAUUGAUUGUUAGUGUGGACGAUUUGGAAGAAAAAAUUGGAGGGCAUGUAUGGUUAGGUUCCAUUUGUAUACUUGGCGGAAUCUAGCGUAUCUUAACCAAACCUUUUGCAUGGAAUUGUCGAGCACUUGUAUGGUCUGGGGAGGCUUACUUGUCUUAUAGUUUAGCUACUUUAUCUAUUUUUGGUUUCAUUGCUUGUUGCUUUGUCAGGUUCAAUAAUAUCGCUUAUCCUAGUGAAUUUUACGGGCCUACUGGGUCAAUAGCUUCUCAUGCUCAGGCAUUUACUUCUCUAGUUAGAGACCAACGUCUUGGGGCUAACAUGGGAUCCACUCAAGGACCUACUAGUUUAGGUAAUUACCUAAUGUGUUCCCCGACUGGAGAAGUAAUCUUUGGAGGGGAAACUGGGAUCUACGUGCUCCUUGGUUAGAAUCUCUAAGGGGUCUAACUUCUUCUUUUUUCUAUUUUUUUUCUUUUUCUAUCUUGGAUAGUUGCCAUAAUUAAAAAUUUCACAUGUUUUGUUUUUUAGAUUAGAUAUUCCUAUAUUGUUUUACAUGCUCCGUGUAAAAUUAUCUUGCUAAUAGUAAUGAAAAAAGAAGAAGCAUUAUUUGAUAUGGUAUAAAAUUGAAAAGUAGCAAGGAAAAAAAACAUUAUUUGAUAUAGUAUAAAAUUGAAAAGUCUCUUCUUCAUUAUUGAUCUUAUAACAACUUAUCUAUUUCUUUUGUUCCUUUUAUAUCAAAAACUCACUUUCUUGAUGAAAUUUUUAUUAAUUUCAUUAGUAUAAAAAAUAUGUCAGCUCUCUUAUUUACUAUAUCAAAGUACUUAUAUUUUUUCCUGACUAUAUUGGCGAGAUACCCUUAUAUAUAAUGAGGCAUCUAAAUAAUUUUUCAUAAACAGUUUAUUGAUGAUAUUAAUUUCUAUCAAUCUAAAAUAAAGAAAUUUCACUGGUAUUUUCAAAAAAAAAAAAUCUUACUUUAUGCAAUGUUUUGAUUUAAUUAAAUUUUUUACUUAACAAUUUAUCCACAAAUUUAAUUGACAAUAUAGAAAAGAAAUAGAUUUCUUGGAAAUUUCUCUUUUUGACACAAUUUUUUUUUAUUGAAGUAAUUUCUAACAAUAAAAGAAGCCAAUAGUGCCUCUAAUAUAUAUGGAAAAUCUACAAUAAACAAAAAUUAAACAUGUGCAAUUCUUAAUUAUGGUAGGUAGAUCCUCCAUAAGUAUAGAAAAACUUGUAAUUAAAUGAUAGAGGGUAAUUUUGUUAUUUUGGUGAAAAUUGGGUGAAUUUUAAACUCUCUCUCUCUUUCUCUCUCUCUCACACACAUAGUGGAAUGAUCAGAUGAAGCCAAAAAGAAAAAUUCUUUGAUGAUUAUUCAAAAUAAAAUCACAAUUAUGUUCUCUAACAUAAAACAUGUCGGGCCAAUAUACAAUUCACAAAAUAAACCAAACUAAGGACAUGUUUGCUAAUUUUUCUGUUUUCAGGCAUAAUUUCAUUUCAAAAUCUAUUUCAGAGACUGUUAAUUGCUCAACUUGUGGAACAAAAUAAACCAAACUAAUGAUCAGAUCAACCAUCCAGACAAAAGGCGAAAGCAAAGCGAAGACGACGAAAACAUAUCGAAGCAGAUCUUCCAUAAAAUUGAGAUCUCGAAGUUCUACAAAUAUGUACAGACACUGCGAAUUGCUCUAGAGACUGUUGAUAUAAGCCCAACUUAGUGGAUCAAAAUUCCGGAGGAAAACAACUUCAACAACAAGCUACGACUUCCCUCGGUAACCUCGCCGGCAUCAACCGAUCCGGAGACACCGGCAGCCGCGCCGAGAAGUUCCUCAUUGAGAACUCCUCGUCUGACUCUCGGCUCAAAUCGUCAUCGAAGUUUAGCGCGUAGUUCAUCGGGUCAUACCCGAACUCCGAGGAGGCCGCCGCCGCCGCGUGGCCCGGCCUCCACCGGCACCUCCCGAUCCGAGCGAUGAGGCUGCGGCACCUGUACCGGAUCUCCGGCAGCAGGAGCUCCUGGGCCGUCGAGCGGACCUUGCGUGGGUGGCCGUCGUCACAGUCCGAGGAGGCGGCCUCGUGGUAGGCAGCGGCAUGGCCGCCGUCGUGGAAGCAUGAGAAGAGGAGGGACGGGGAGGAUGAUCAGAGCUUGUGAUGGAAGAGCAUUUCGACGGCGAGAGCGAUGGGACUCGGAUUCUUGGUCUGGUCUGUGCAAGGCCGUGAAGACAGCGGAGAGAGUGGAUGGAGAUGAGGAAGAAGAUGGAGAAGAGGAUGAGGUGGAGGGUUUAUUUAUAGGUCGGGCGGAAGAGGACGGAGGCGUGCGGCGGCAGAGCAGAGUGGUGUGGUGGUGGGGGCGGUGGGGGUGGGAGUCAGGAGUCAGGAUGAGGAGGAAAAGCGCGGCUGCUUCGUGGGGUGGACGUGGAAAGCGGUUUUUUUUGCGUUGAUCCCGCGUAAGUAAGGUGUCCAUCUUUACUUUUUCUUCACUAUAAUUUUGGCAGUUUGGUAAUUACGCAAAAGACGAGGGACCACGUAGCUACUGCCUUUUUUUUUUCUUUAAAGAUCUCUCUUUUGUUUUACGAAAGAGGAAAUUUAAAUGACUCUUUUAUGGGUUUCAUCAUACGACCAUAUAUAUGAUCAAGAGAGUAAACUACAAGAUCGGAAUCAGGAGCUCAAAGUCAUGAAUUCCGACCUUAGACUCCGUUCGUUUGACUGAAAAAUUAAUAUCUUGAAAAAUAUUUUCCUAACUUUAAUUGUUGUUUAUUGGUUACAAAAAUAAUUAAUGAAAUGCAUUUUCAUUAACAACUUAUAUUUAAACAUUUUUGUUGAUGAUGAGAAUAUUUUUUAUCAUCACUUUUCCUAGUGAUGUAAAAAAUAAAAAUUAGAAAAAUAUUUUUCAAAUUAUUAGUUUUUUGUGAAAAAAAGAGCUUUAGUCUCUUGGAGUAACUACGGUGUGGGAAAGAUGAUUUAUAUGAAGAUAGAGAAUCCAUAAACUUGGGAAUGUGAUGGAGACAAUUAGAUCAAGAAAGAAAAUCGAUAAGAUUUGAAAUGUCACAUAUUAAACGAGUCGUUUGAUUUUUCAUGUGAUAUCGAAUCAAAUAUCCGAAGGUUUAAAUCCCUCUAUCAACUCCCACAUUACUACACUUUUUAAUUUCUUUCAAUGUCUAGUAAAAUACUAACUUUGAGUCGUUUUCAUACAAUUCCUUUUGAGUAGAUAGGUGAUGUUUAAAUCAGUUUGUUGGUAUGUUGAUGCAUCCCUUAAAUAUAUGUUGAUGCACAAAUUGAUCCCAAGCUCAAAAAAGUGUGUUGCCUAAAUUAUUUAAUACACGUAGAAAAAUCAUUCAAUCGAUAAUUAAAACUGGGUUGCUUCGAUAAAAUUUUAUUUUCUUGUUCGAAAAUAAAUAGUCCAUUCAUAUCUCAAGAUGAUAUGUGAAAGACUCAAAAUAAAACAAAUCUCAACAAUAAAAUAGUAAAGUAGAAACUGUAGCAACGAGUAUACUGUCAUUCCAUAAAAAUGAAUAUGUGUUGAGCAUCAAAACAAAUUGAACAAUGGCACUAAUAUUUAAAGUCAAUAAGAACAAAUCAUUCUAUUCCCUGCAUAACCUUGCACUGAUCUCCACUCAUCUUUUCAUGUGACACUAAGCUCUUCACUUCCAAUGGUGGUUUCAUAGAUCUCCAAGCUGGUUUUCCCACAUACUUAGAACUUGCUCUCUCUCUCUCUCUCUCUCUCUCUCUCUCUCUCUCUCUCUCUCUCUCUCUCUCUGUCUCUCUCUCUCUCUCUCUCUCUCGUUAUAAUAACCGAGAUGUCCCGUGGUGCAUGAACAAAACGGGGGGACGAAGAAUGUUCCCUAAUGCCCAGUAGCUAGGACAUAAUCAUUGUAAUCAAUCACUAAUUAAAAACGAUGGGGGCAACCAUGCGUCGUGCUUGGUUUGGAUUCUGGUCAUUUAUGAGCCGAGCGCCUCCCGUGACUCCUGGGUUCAAGCCGCUCUCAAAGUGCGAGUCCGCAUAUGAGAGAGCUCCACGUCGGUGGAGAUUGGAGUGAGCGUCCGAGGGAUUCAUGCACCCAGCCAUUGGUUGCCCGCCGCCAGACACUUCCUCACCCGACAUUUUGGUAUAGAUAAUAGGGGAAACAUGGUGUUAAGAUUGACUUGAUCCUACGUGUUCAAUGCUCGAAACUCGACUCGAGCUUGAUUGAGUGUUAAGAUUGAUGCUUGAAUUUAAUUUGACUGGAAAAAUCGAGAUACUAAAGCUUGGAUAAAUAAGUAGUAAACUUCACUUUUAUAGAUCAAAUAUGCUUAUUGAAAGUGUCUAAAUAUAUAAUAUAAUAAUAGUUCGAUGAAAUAAGAUAUCUUUUUGGAUAACGCACGCUUUUCAAAUAUAUAAAAAAAAAAAGUAAAUUUUCGGAUUAUGUUGAAUACACAUAAUAAUUAAGGGAUCUAAAGUCAUUCCUCAUGCCAUAAGCUAUGGUCACUCUUCGCCGAUGGCAAAAAACCUAAAAAUUAUAUUAAUCAUGAAUAUAACUUAUUUAUAUUAUAAUUUAGCCAAUCAUAUCGUAUAGAAAUAGGUCUAUAAUUCAUUUUGACAUAUUUAGUAUCCGGCCAUGCAUAGUCCUCUGGGCCCUAUCCACAAGAAAAGGAAGUCGCAUCCACGUUAUCCAUAAAGUAAAUUCUUUCAUCCACGACAUAAUUUACUUCUUGUCGGCACCCAUUUCAUUGACGCAACACCAAUCAGCAAAAAUUGUUUAAAUACGGCACUCUCCAGGCAAAAAGCGAAAGCAAAAUGGAGACAAAGAUGACAUAUCAACGCAGAUUUUCCAUAAUUUUGAUAUUUCAAAAUCUACAUUAUGUACAGUAAGACACUGUCGACCCUGAUAGCCAAACUUGUCGAUCAAAAUCAAAAGACCUAGAGAAGAAAACUUCAACUAAACUCUAUAACUUCCCUCAGCAACUUUGUCGGUAGCAGCCGAUCCGGAGACACCAGCAGCCUCACCGAGAAGUUCCUUGCUGGGAGCUCCUCGUCUGACUCCCAGCUUCGAUCGUCCUCGAAGUUGAGUGCGUAGCUCAUUGGAUCGUACCCGAACUCCGAGGCCGGAGUUUCCUGCACUUGUCCCUCAUCUCCGGCAGUGGGAGCUCCUGAGCAGUGAAAAGCAGCCACUAGCCGGGCUACCAAGCUGCCUUGCGGCGGUUGACACUCUUAAAACACAGGCAAAUUGCAAAAUUGAACAAAUGUGUCCUUUCGCUAGUGCUAAGUGCGCCAAAAUCGCAUACCCGCACGCGGGUAUGGUGGGGUCUAGCUUCACCCAAUCAUUCAUUUAGCUGCACAAAGGAAAUCCCACACUUAUUAAUUAGCAUACUUCCUCCCACUUUUCUUAUGUGGGACAAAGAAAACGCACUUAAUUUGUUUUACAAACAAAUCUCCAACAAAAGAGAGAGGGAGAGCGCACGAUGCAGUCAGAGUCUGGUCUGGUCUGUGUGAGACUGAAGAGAGUAAAGAGAGUGGAUGGUGAUGAGGAAGAAGAUGGAGAAGAGGCUGAGUUGGUGGGUUUUAAUAGGGUGGACGGAGAAGGACACGGCCGAGGGGCGGGGGCGAGCAGCAAAGCAGAGCAGUGUGAGUCGGUUGUUUUUUGUCAAUCCGGCGUGAGGUUUCCAAUUUACCUCUCUUAACUUUCUUGUUGGGCAGUUUGGUAAUUAAGUAAAAGUCGAGGGAUCUUCUUUUUGGUUUUGCAAAAGUAGAAUUAGAUUAACAUUUUAUGGGUGGGUUGCGGGCAGAUAGGGAGAGAGAAGGGAUAUUUAUUUUCCUCUUUUUUGGGGGGUGGGGGUGUGGGGGGCACGGUUGAUUAUAUGAAAUUGCAGAAUUGAUAAACCUUGGAAUGUGAUGGACAUGAUUAAGUUCCAGGAAGAAAAUCAAAGGGGGCAUAACGGUAUUCCAUGAUUGUAUAGUGACAUUUUAAUUUCAAGACUAUUUUUAUCGAUUUACAUGAAAAUUUCGAAAUUAUUUGAUAGACUAGACAAGUAUAUCUUUAAAGUAAGGCUAUAAAAGAUAGAGGAUUAGGAUGUUCAUUUUUAUUUUUAUUUUCACGUGAUAUCAAAAUACAAUAUCCAAAUCUUUGAAUCCCUCUAUCACCUCCCACAUUGCAAUCGCUUUUCACUUAUAUAUAGCCAAAUACUGAUUUUAAAUUGUGCUGACGUAUUUGAUUUAAGCUUUUACACAUCUCAAUCGUCCGUCUUCUCGAGGACAUACACCUCUAUGUUGACGCGGUGCAUGUAUGAUUAUACCAUGUUCUCUCAACAAAAGUUGAGCGCAAGAACAUAGGAGAGGAGCAAACCACCUUACUAUCUAAGUCAACACUUAAUUAGUGUGUCAUUGCAUCUUUUAAACAUGAGCAAAAAGUGAUCCUCAGCUUGAGAAAGCAUGUUACAUAAAUCGGUCUACAUACAUAGAUAAAUUGUUCGAUUGGGGGUUCAACCUGAGUUACUCCGAUAAUGGAAGUUCGAAAGAAUGAAAAGCUUUAUUCCCUUCAUGCCCUUGCACUGAUCUCCGCUUACCUCAUGCACGUAAGGACUAAGCUUCUUCGCUGCUCUGUCCUGCGACAAUCUAGCUGCAUCUGCGACGCUGAAGCUUCUGUCCCGACGUUGCUGCUCCCUUUGAGGCGACGUCUAGACUCGUUGCUCCCUCAUUGGCCCAAUUGGCUUGACUGAGCACCUGCACGACCAUCGUGAUAUACUUCAUCUGUCCUGGUGCUACUUGCCCGUGCUGAUUGCCAGCAGAUCCACGGCCUCUUCUCACUACACCGCUGACGAGCCGCGAGCCUCUAACCGAUGGUCCUUGCUACGAGCCUUCAACAAUGGAUCACCCCGCGAGUAGUUGCUGCUUCUCGCUCCACAACGGCGCUGUAUUCCAGUUUGCCGUCCACCUGGUACCGCCGUCCGUUGCACCUCCAACACCACCCACCCAACAGCAUCAGCGCUAGCCACGCUUCAGUCCCAUGAAUUUUCUUUUCCUGCGGGUAUCCAGCGCCGCUGACCAUCCAGUGACACCCAGCAUCUCCUGCACUAGUUCCAAGUCCACCGCAGCUGAGCCAAGACAAAAAGAAAGAGGUGAUCUUGAACGGAGUGGAAGAAUGUUAAUUUGUGAUCCAAUUCUAGAAACUUCAAGAUAGAUUUGAACUAGAAAAAUCAAGAAAAAUUCUAGAAGAGUCUACAAGCUACCAUCUCUUAUGUGUUCGAGAAGUUUCAUCUUAUGUUACUAUAAAAUAAUAGUAGUUAUUUGUAGAGAAGUCUAGAGACUUCCUCCACCAACUUUGGCAGCUAUAUAAAGGAGCAAGUGCUCCAUGUUUUGUGUGGGAGCUAACCAUAAAAACCACCUUCCUCACCAACAUCUCCUUCAACUAUUGUAAAAUUAAUUUCAUAAACUAGUGAAACUAUCUUUGUCCCAUAAACAUUCUCAAAAUUUCCUAUCAUUGUCCAUUCUCUAUCAAAUAUAAACUAUACAUGCUUCCACGUACAUUUAAAUUCUAACAUGGUAUCAGAGCCAGGUUACGCCUAGGUUCGUAACUGAGCCAAGCGUAAGGGAUCAUGAAGCCAGAACCAGGCAUAUUGGAUGGUUAUGGGUGUUUGUCCUCACCAUCCUCAACUAAAAAGGCCAGAGCCUGAGCGAGAGCCAAGAGAGUCGGAGCCGGAGCCAGAGCCAGAAUCAAAGCCGGAGCCAGAGUCAGAAUCAAAGCCGGAGCCAGAGCCAAGCCUACGAGAGCCAGAGCCCGAGCCCGAGCUAACAACUACAACUAAGAACAAUUUGAUGCCCCGAGACAUAUGGGUCAUCGUUGAAGAAAAGACAUGCGCAUUCGAAGGCAAGUGCAAAUGUUCCGACAAGAGAAUGCAAGAUCGUGGAACGAAGACGGAAUAAAAGGCAUGGACAAAUUACAAGAGAAAUUUCAAGGUACGUCCAAGGCUUUAUAACACAAGUCCAGAGUAUCCCAAAAUUGGAUAAGGGGGAGUGUUGGAAUUUGUGAUCCAAUUCUAGAAACUUUAAGAUAGAUUUGAACUAGAAAAAUCAAGAAAAAUUCUAGAAGAGUCUACAAGCUACCAUCUCUUAUGUGUUCCGGAAGUUUCAUCUUAUGUUACUAUAAAAUAAUAGUAGCUAUUUAUAGAGAAGUCUAGAGGCUUCCUCCACCAACAUUGGCAGCUAUAUAAAGGAGCAAGUGCUCCAUGUUUUGUGUGGGAGCUAACCAUAAAAACCACAUUAUGUAGCUUCCUUACCAACAUCUCCUUCAAUUAUUGUAAUAUUAUUUUUAUAAACUAGUGAAACUAUCUUUGUCCCAUAAACCUUCUCAAAAUUUCCUAUCCUUAUCCAUUCUCUAUCAAAUAUAAACUAUACCAUGCUUCCACGCACAUUUAAAUUCUAACAAAGAAAAUAAAAGCGCUGGUCAAAGUGGAGAAAAGAAAAAUUGAAACGGAGAAAGAUUUAUUCCAUCAUUUGCAAACAAUAUCAACGCCCCCACUUUCCUGAAUACACGAUGCGGAGAGAAUACAAAGAAAGGGGAGAUUUUGGAAAUUCACUCCUUGGGUGCUCGUUCCUCACGUUUUCCCGAGAGUCACUACCUAACUGAGCCGAGCCGGAUCACGAAUCACCUGCCGAACCACCACCGCAACCAUCCUUUGCCAUCAAGCACAACCACGAGUAGCCUUGAUGCGAGCCUCACCCACAAGCCGCCUUCGAACAAGUUUGAAUUUGGAUUGCUCACUUCAAAUUAGGUAAUGAUCUUAUCCUAUUUGAUUUAAAUAUUUAAUUACAAAUUUUGGAUUGAUUUCGGCAUCUAAUUGUGCUAUUUGAGAUUUUAAUCAUCAUUCGAUAGGAUUUCAUUGACAAAAAUUAAAUAUAAUCAUUAAUUUGAGCCGUGAAAUGAUGGAUCUUUCUUUCUUUCUUUCUUUCUUUCUUUUUUAAAUUUUGUUUCCAAGCUAGUAAGUGCCUUAUAAGACGUGAGACAACAAAUUAUUUAUUUGAAUAUCAUAUUUAAACCCUGUGGAUAUCCUAGAUGAUUAAUAAGAUAGCCAACUUUAAUGAAUGUACAAUAAAUGAAAAUCACAUGUUCGAAUAUAUGGUUUUUUAAUAUGAUAUUGCCUAAUUUUAAAUAGAUUGCAUGUCAAGAUUGAUUCUAAAAAAAUAAAUCAGAAUAUAUUCUAGAUAUGAAUUUUCUUUAAUAAAUAGGAUUUAUUUAGAUAAUAUUGCAUAUUUAAAAUGGUCUUCUAAGAUAGGACAAUGUUUAGGUUAACCUAUUCACUAAUCUAUACACUGGAUAAUAACUUAUUUAAGAUCAAUUAAUUAGGAAAUUUAUCUACUUCAAAUUUUAAUAAAAAUACCAAAAUAUCAUAUGCAUGUCAUGUAGUUUAGGCCAUUUUAUAUUGCUAUGUCAUAUGUGUGUCAUGUUAGGUUCAUUUAAUUGGAAAUUGUAUGCCAUUAGAACUAGGUCAUGUAGUUAAGUGAACUUGCAUGUUACAUAGCCUAGUUUUAAUUUCACAAAUAAAAAGAAAGCUAAAAAAUAAGUGCUUGCUAUGGUAUUUAUUUUCCUGCAAUUUCUUUAUCUAUCGGUUGUUAUCUUUAAUGUUUGUGCACCCGCACUAACACUAGAUUAAAAUUAAUCUAAACUGUCUCACAAUUUAGUAUUUAGUUCUAAAAUUUUUAAUUAGAGUAAUUUAAUAUUAAAAUUUUCUACAUUAAUAUUAAUUGAGUCCAAUUGAUCAAUUUUUUGUUGGAAAUAAUUGAUGUUGACACUAGCCGUCUUAUGUGACAUGAUUGGUACUAACAUAGAUAGUUUUAAUAAUACUUUGAUAUUUUUUGAAAUUUUUUCUUUUAUUUUGGUGUAUUUCUUUUGUUGUUUUUUCACUUUUUUUUUAAGAUAACCUCUGGUUUCCCAUCAGUGCUGCUGAAGCGGCAGAUAGGGAAGAUGGUGUAGGUUUCUUCACCUCCGAAUCCUUCUUCUUUGUCUACUUUUUUCUCAACCUUCUCUCCUGCAAGACCGUUUCGAAUCAACGAAUUCAAACAAAAUCCACAGGACUGCUGUCAAAUUAAUGAUUAACGGAAGUGAACCGGCGUGUUUGGUAACGUUUGUAUUUCAAGGAAUAAUUUUUUAAUAGAAAUAGUUUUUAUUUUUUCUAUUACCAGGAACAAUUUUUGAAUAUAAGAAUACGCUUGGUAAGUGCAAAAAAAUUUCUAUUCCAGGAAUAAAAAUGUGUUUAAUAAACUUGUUUAAUUUUAUUGUUUCUUUUAAUUUUUAAAUAUUUUUAUUAUAUUUUUCCUUUUUUCUUUUUUUUUCCUUAUUUCUCUUUGUGGCCGGUCGCCAGCCAUGGCGGCGGCCAGCUACCGACGACCAGUUGGGUGAGCUCUGACGAGCUUGCCGGAGCCUCGCCAGGCCACCACAAGGCUUAGCCUCGCUAGAUCUGGGCGAGGCCGAGCCUCGCCGGUAGCUUUGGUGGCCAGGAUAGCCUCGUGCCGCCUAGGAGAGGCUCAACCUCGCCUAGGCGGCACGAGGUCGGCCUCGCCAGAUCUGGGUGAGGUCUUUUUUUUUCCCCAGAAAAAAAGAACAAAAAUUUUUGUUCCGCGGAACAGAAACAAUUUUAAACAAAUAGGGCUUAAGCAUCCGGAGUUUUGACCUUCCAAUUCUUCAUUGGAGGAUCAAUCAGGGUCCAGCUCUAUUCCAGUCCUCUUCCUCGCCAAUAGUCACAGUGUUUUCAGUUCUCUGUGAUAGAGAAAAGUAGUAUUUUAAAAUGUGGAUAUGAAAAAAGAAAGACGCGAAAAGACAUCGAGAAAGUUGGAAGUACUGUAUCUAUGGUCAAAUUUAAAAACCACGAAAGAUUGUUCCAAGCGAUUGUUAGGUUACUUGCUUCUAUGUAAAUGUUUUUUUUUUUUUUGGGUCAAAAUAAGAUAUGUAUAGAUUUUUCCGAAAAGAAUACAAGAAGGAGGCCUGGCAUCUACAAAAGACAGACACUCAAAAAGACAAAAGUCAAAGAAGAGUGUAAGGGUACUGUGGUUCCCAAACGAGACCAACUGGUAAAAACCAACAAAAGAAGCAAAGGACCACCAAACAAACGCUAGAGACAUCUAUCAAUCAAAGAGAGACGGAUGUAAAUCCCAGCUCUGUUGAAGUCUUCUAUUCUUGGGAAUGUCAGGAUCAUGCUUAAAGGUCACCGCCUUGUCUUUAAUAGCCUUAAGGAGGUGCAUCUUCAUCGCCGGGAGAAAGAGGGCCUAAUUACGAAAUAAGAUAUUGUUGCGCUGAUAUAACAAAGAGCUCCAAAGCCAAAACGAGCCAAAGACUAGUGAAAGCUACUAUCAGGGGAGAAUUACCAAAAAAGUCGUAAACCUAUUGCAAUUGCGCCAAUUUAUUCCUAAACUUUUUUUUUUGGUCAAUUUAAUCCUAAACCUUUUACAAUUGUGCAAAUUCAGUCCAUCCGGCCAAAAUUGGCCAGCCGGCGCUAACGUGGACGCCGGCCGGCCAAAGGCGAGGGCCGGCGAGGUCGUCCUCGCUGAUUACUGGAAAGACAAGCCCUACCCGACCUGGGCGAGGCGAAGUCUUGCUACAUCUAGNNNNNNNNNNNNNNNNNNNNNNNNNNNNNNNNNNNNNNNNNNNNNNNNNNNNNNNNNNNNNNNNNNNNNNNNNNNNNNNNNNNNNNNNNNNNNNNNNNNNNNNNNNNNNNNNNNNNNNNNNNNNNNNNNNNNNNNNNNNNNNNNNNNNNNNNNNNNNNNNNNNNNNNNNNNNNNNNNNNNNNNNNNNNNNNNNNNNNNNNNNNNNNNNNNNNNNNNNNNNNNNNNNNNNNNNNNNNNNNNNNNNNNNNNNNNNNNNNNNNNNNNNNNNNNNNNNNNNNNNNNNNNNNNNNNNNNNNNNNNNNNNNNNNNNNNNNNNNNNNNNNNNNNNNNNNNNNNNNNNNNNNNNNNNNNNNNNNNNNNNNNNNNNNNNNNNNNNNNNNNNNNNNNNNNNNNNNNNNNNNGGCUCGACCUCGCCAUGGCUGGGCGAGGCCGAGCCUCGCCUUGGCUGAGCGAUGGCGGCCUUGCCGUCGUUGGGCAAGGCUCGCCCCCGCCGGCCACUGGCGAAGGCAAGCCUCGUCCAGCGACGGCAAGGCCGCCGUCGCUAGAUCUGGCGAGGCUCGACCUCGCCAUGGCUGGGCGAGGCCGAGCCUCACCUUGGUUGGGCGACGGCGGCCUCGCCGUCGCUGGGCGAGACUCGCCUUCGCUAGUGGCCGACGAGGCUGACCUCGCCGGCCCUCGCCUCUGGUCGGCCAACUAGCGCCGGCCAAAGGAAGAAGAAGACAGGAAGAAAAAAAAAAUUAAAAAAUCGAAAAAAAUAAAAUUAAAUUAUUAAAAAAUCGUUCGCCGGUCGGCCGGUGUCCACGUCAGCGUCGGCCGGCCAAUUUUGGCCGGUUGGACUGAAUUGGCACAAUUGUAAAAGAUUUAGGACUAAGUUGGCCAAAAAAAAAGUUUAGGACUGAAUUGGCACAAUUGCAAUAGGUUUAGGACUUUUUUGGUAAUUCUCCCCUACUAUCAGUGAUAUGUUUGGUAGCCCAAUCAAGAUUCUCCAUCCAAGGCUUAUUAAGCCAAGCAAAAAGAAGCAAGACUACCAUAGAUGUGGCAAGCAAAAAACAAAUGAUCUAUGGAGUUCAGUCGACAAGAGCAAAGGGGGCACAUUGCAGCCGUAAUUCUACUAUAAGAUAAGAGCAAAACCUGAGUUGGUAGGCGGUUACAUGUGAUAAGCCACAGAUGUGUUUGAUAGUGAGGAGGCAAACAUGAGCUCCAAACGAAUGAGGACCAAGAAACCACAUAACCCCUAGAGCGAAUUAGAUCCCUAGUCGAAGCCGUUGAGAAUCUCCCGAAAGGGUGUCGAAGCCAUUGAAAACGGUCUUCUUCUUGGCUAAAAACUAGAAGAGGAUCUCCCCAGUUUGCUAUAAUAUUGAGGACAUACCAACCCAUAGGAGUAGAAAAUCCAUCGGCAACCGAAGCUAGCUGCAAAAUACCCGACCGGUAAAUUUCCUGGUUGGAAAAAAUUCUAUAGAGGGGACCAUUUGGAUGCCAAGGGUCAAACCAAAAGGAGACCGAGUGUCCAUUCCCAAUAAUCCACUUGAAGUGUUGGUAAAAAUGCUCAUGAAGAUCCAAGAUUUUUUUCCAAGCCCAAGAGCACUGUUUAGGCCAUGGAACAAUCCAAAAGUUCUUCUAUUUUAAAAAGGUGGAAUGAAUCCAUUUGCACCAUAGGGACUCCUUAUCAGAAAAGAGUAGCCAAAUGUGUUUGAGCAUGGAAGUUAUAUUACUUUUUCUCAAAGUACGAAUACCAAGGCCGCCUCCUUUUUUAGGUAGACAAACAUCACUCCAAGACACCUUAGCACCACCCACACCCAACAUCAAACCUUUCCAAAGAAAUUGCCGAAGUAUUUGUUCAAUGCAAUUAAGGACCGCACAAGGUAGAAAGAAAACAUUGGCCCAAUAAACUUGGAUGAAAUGCAACACUGACCCGAUAAGUUGCAAGCGUCCCACAAAUGAUAGGAAACGAUGAGUCCAUGAUUGAAUUCUAGCAAUAAUAGCAUUCACCAAAGUGACACACUUUGCCUUUCCUAAUCUGGAAGAAAUAACAGGCACUCCAAGAUACUGAAAAGGCAGGGAGCCCAAUUGGUAACCCAACUUAUUCAAGAUAUUAUCACAAAGAGUGGAAGAGCCUCCAGAUAAGAAGACUUCACUUUUUCUCAGGUUUGGAAUAAGGCCACUCCAACUAAAAAAAUAUAUGUCUCUGCUUUUAAAAGAUCAAUAGAAGCCAAGCUAGCUUCUACAAAGAGUAGCACAUCAUCUGCAAAGAAAAGAUGAGAGAGCUUGGAAGACUUACAACGCCAAAAGAACCUGAAGGCUAGUUGGCUGGUUUGAAAAUCCAAUAAGCCCGUAAAGAUUUCCAUAACAAGUGUAAAGAUGUAUGGAGACAUUGGAUCACCUUGCCGGAUGCCCCUACUGCUAGAAAGAAUCCAUGGAGUUCCCCAUUCAAGGAUAUUGAAAAUUUAGGAGAACGGAUGCAGACCAUAAUGCGAGCAAUAAACUCCAGGGGAAAGCCAAAAGCUUGUAGAGUUAACUCAAUGAAAUCCUAGUCCACCGUAUCGUAGGCUUUCUGAAAAUCAACUUUAAUAACACAUUUUGGCCGGUAAGGCUUAAGAUGGAAGCCACAAAAAAGCUCCUGAGCUAACAAGAUGUUGUCACUAAUAUGUCUGUCUUUAACAAACGCAUUUUGAGGCAAGCUAAUGAUAGAGGGCAUCACAUGAGAGAUACAGUUGGCAAUUAACUUCAUGAUGCAUUUGUAAAUAGUGUUGCAACAAGCAAUAGGUUGAAAAUCAUUAACAUCAGAGUUAUUGGGGAUCUUGGGAACCAAGGCCAAGAUAGUAGUAUAUAUCUCCCGCAACAACUUGCCAAUCACGAAGAAAUCUUUAACCGCCAUAAUAACCGAGGGACCAACAAUUCCCCAAGAGCGCUUGAAGAAUUCUACAUUAAAGCCAUUGGAGCUAGGGGCUUUGCCCACUACAAGCGAGAAAAGAGUAUCUCGAAUCUCCAAAUCAGAGAUAGGGCUGGAGAGAAAAUGCACUUGGUCUUCAUCAAGGGUCCGCUUUAAGACAGCCCUAAUCUCCUCCAUAGUGGGCCGACCAGAGGGAGAAGAUGCCGCCAGUAGAUCAUGAAAUGUGAGACAAGCAAGUGUUGCACCUCAGUAGGGUCGGAGGUAAUACUAUCGCCACUGGACAACGAGAUAAUCCUAUUACAAAGGUGUCUUCGAUUUACUGAGUGAUGAAAAAAUUUGGUGUUGAGAUCGCCUUCUUUCAACCAACAGACCCUUGAUUUUUGCCUAUAAAAAUAUUCUUCUUGUAGGCACAAAUCAGAGAAUCUCUUAAGUUGAAUCUUCUUAUUUUCAGCCAGUUGUAGAUUCAAUGGAUCACAAUGCAGGGCAUCUUGAGUUUCGCAUAAAAGGUGCCUCGCUUCAGCUGUUCUAGAGGAGAUGUCUAAGAAGGACUCUUUGUUUAGUUGUUUUAGCCUGCAUUUAAGAAGACGCAAUUUGCAGCAGAGUAUGUACAUUGGCGUCCCACUCAAGGGAGAGUCCCAUACUUGAGCAACCAAGCUGAAAAAGUUCAGGUGAGUUGUCCAAAAGUUGAAAAACUUAAAGGGCUUGCAAAUCUUAAGAGCAAACAUAAUUUUAAUAACCAUUGGCUAGUGAUCCGAAAUUCCAGGGGCCAAAAUUUUAUUUUUUGGAAAAAAGAGAACUCAGCAUUCCAGAGAGAAUUCACUAGAACUCUAUCUAUUUUUCUUUGCUUGUGAUUAAGUCCCGAAGAAGUAGCCCAUGUAAACCUAUGGCCAAUGUACCUAAGAUCAUUGAGACCUGCUUCAAAGAGGCAAUGACGAAACUCAUCAAACGCCGGAAUCCAAGCAUUAGAGCUCCUCAACCUGUCAGAGUAGUCCCGAAUAGCAUUGAAAUCACCUGCUAGAAUCCAAGGCAAGCUCGCAAAAAGAGAGCUAGAUUGAAUAAGGUCAGCCCACAGAGGACGUCUCAACACAAAGCUAUGUUCCGCAUAAACCACGGUGAAUAAGAAGACUUUGCCCGAUGCCAACCAAGAAAGCCGACCAUGCACCGCUUGUGCUGAAGAAGAGGUUACAACGAAGGAAACCACCAAGGGGUUCCACCCCACCCAAAUUCUUCCCCUAUGGGAAUAAUCAUAGUUGCUAUACCAAAUCCAACCCGGCAACAAAGUAGCAAAGAUCAAAUUGAAUGCCGAUUGGGAGAUUUUAGUUUCAACAAUCCCAACAUAGUUCAAGUUGUUGGUUCUAACAAAAUUCCUUACUUCUGUCCGUUUUAGGGGGUUGCCUAGGCCCCUAAUAUUCCACGCUCCUAUGUACAUAUAAGAAUAUGAAUAUAUAGACAAAAGAGGAAGGAGUUACUGACGCUUUGGAAGGCGUCUCCGACUGGUCCCCUGCUUUUAUGUAAAUGUUUAACCCAGCUCUUUGGAAGAAUCUAAUUCUGUUUUAGGACUUGACAGGAGGAAGACAAGGCAAAGCUAGUGCAGGAAACCAGCCUACAAUUAAAGCAGAUGAAUAAUUGGUUCAUCAACCGGAGGCAAAGAAACUGGCACAGCAACCCUUCAUCAUCAUCCGUCUCAAAGAGCAAACGCAAAAGGUACCUCAAAAUAGACAUCACCUCGUUAAUGCGAAGCUUCCUUGAUAUUAUGUUUCUUUGCAUGCUAAGUUUGAAGAACUUCUGCAGGUGAAAGCAGCAGCUAUUGAUCCCUUGAUGUGGAUUUGAGCAAGAGCAACGAUCAAAUUCUGACAGACAAUAUUCAGCGCUUCACUAGAAUGGAUACUUAAAGAGUUAAGAUAAGGAACAUUGGCCAGUGGCCUCAUACAAAGCUUCAUCAAACAGGAACAUUUGGAAGAUGACUUUGGUUCUAGGAAAAAAAAAUUAUGUUAGCGAAGAGGACAGCUCUCGCCUUGUGACAGGAAUUUUGAAGAUAGUCAAUUAACCAUAGAUGCGGUCGUGAUUAUUGAGGGGGUACUGAGCUAGGAGAUUACACAUUUAGAACUAGAAGUAAUAUCAUACGGUUUCAUUGUCUCUACUGCUUGUCCACUUUACAUUUUGUGAAUACAUAAGCCUAGUUAGGUAUUGUGUACAAUUGGUAUAAUGAUCUGUAUGUAGUUCCUCUCCAUUCUCCAUGCUGGUGACAUUUAUAGCUUUCCUUGGCUCUCCAAUGUAGUGUAGAUUUACUGUGAGAGUAACAUACAUUUUGUACACUGUUAGGUUACUGGGUUUGGAUUGCUACUAGGGAUAAUGACUGAUUAUGGUCAUAGAUAGGAUCAUUUGCCUGAAAUUCUAUGGCAUAUUACAACCUCAAAAAUUGUCGCCAGUUCUUGUGAUGAUUUAGCCACUUCAUUGUCACAGCUCUAUAUUUAAUUAAUUAUGAAUAAUUGUACAUUAAGCUGGUGUAGCUGAAAAGUUCUGUUCAUAUCCCUCUUCUUCUAUGUAACAAAAAACAACUUUAUCACGCCAAAUUCUGUCUAUCCUGAACUCCUACACAUUGAGCGAUCACCUCUGGUGUGGCUCAUGUUGCAUACAAAGUUCCGUUUCUUGAUAAACUGAGAUUUGAAUAGGAGGAAACGGUCCUGGGGUCAGUCCAGGUGCAAACUUAAAAGAUAACCGUUUGAGCUUGUCUUUAGUGAAUCUAGAAGAAAAAGGCUAUGCUUCACAAUAAUCACCAAAAAUUUCCUCAGCUUUUCUUCAAGAUGACCUAUGACAAAGAAUUGAAAAUUUGUUUCGGCCGGUCAACUCCAAGUCAGCUGAUGAUUGGCAGAAUGAAUCCGAUAAAGAAAAAUGCAUAAAAAAAGAUGAACAUUGAAUUUUCUAAUGCAACUUGGGCAUAUAAAAAUUUUAUAUCAUUUGAACCACCAUUUUGUCCUGAUAUACCAAAUAUUUAUGAUGAACUGUUUGAUGAUUUCUCUAUUAUUGUGUAGGUCAUUUUGUAUCUUUUUGGCACCGUGCUUCACUAUUCUCAUCAUUAACUUCUUGGCAAACAUACCAUACACGUUGUUAUAUAAUCCACAAAAUCAGUGGAUAUCCAAAUUUAGGAUCUUCUAACGUUUCUGCUAACCUACCCUCAAUUUUUGAACUAGAUAACUGCAAUUCCUUUUCUUUUUUUUUCUUUUUUUUUUUUUAUUAUUAUUAUUUUUUUUUUUUUGCUCUUAGACAUCGUUAAACAGCUCGGUGGUUUACACAGAGAAUCACAUUAUCUUGACCUCAUCUUGAAAUCCAACAUUUGAAACCUUGACCUCUCCUAUUUAAAAAAAAAAAAGGAGAUAUGCUAGUGCAAUUUACAGAUGUUUUUCAUGAAAUUAAUGCUUCUUGUCAAGUGUAGCGAACUUUAUUGUCUAACCAUAGAUGCAGACAUAAGAACUUUAUUGUCACAUAGCUUCCCAGUGUGGCCAAUGAUUACAAGAACAACAAAAGUUUGGUGUUUUCCCAGUUGGCGUGCCAAACAAGCAAUAGGUUUCGCAUUGGUCUGUCAUUUGGACGAAGGCCAAUCUAUGUAUUUGCUGCCACACCUGCAGUUCACGAAAACAGAGGUCCUCCUGUCUCCUCCGAGCAGGUCUAUGCAAUUUCCCAUGAUCGAUCGACUCUCUCUGCUUGGUGCCAAUCCAUGGAACGUGACCAACUACAUGUUCUCAUUUUGAGGGGUUACAGUAUCCCACACAGACCAGCCCAGGCUAUCCUUAAGACAUCAGCUACGCAGCUUGACUCAAGCACUUCUCCGACAAAAUCCUUUCAAUCAAAACCAUCUCAGCCUCCUCCUCAUCAGCUUGCUCCAAAACCGAAUGAUCCCCCAGAAGAUUGUCUGACAGAUAUGCUUGCGAGGUUAGGAGAACCCCUGCAGGAUCCUGUAACGAUAAAAAAGAAAUAGAGUAGCUGAGAAUCAACUAAGGAAAGUCAUCAAACAGUUGAUAAGGGCAAUGUGUAGUGAUAGGAAAAUUGAAAACUAAUGCGACGAACCAAUGCCAAAGAGACUUACUAAAAUAGAAAGCAGAUGGCAAUAACUAAUGAUGAUAGAGAGCGAAUAUAAGGAUUACGGAUUAUCGAGAAGAAUGGGGGGUGACGAUCGUGGAGGAAUGUAGGUGAAAGAAAACAUCAUUGUGAUGUAGGGAAAGCUCUCGACAAAGAGAGAGAAGCUCUCACAUAGGGGAGAGACACAAAUCUAUGUACAUCUUCCUGAAGAGAACUUGAUGUCCCAUUCUUUUUGGAGCAUAAAUGCUAGAAAGUUAAACAUAUCAAGAUAAGAGAAAAACGGUUCUUGUAAUUUCCAGCUUAAAGAAGAUCUGUUAGUAAAAUCUCCUGAUUUAAAUUACAUAAAUGUACUUAUGUGCAAUCAAUCUUGAGCUUUAGUGGCUGAAAAAUCAAUCUUGAGCUUCACUCUUUUAAUGCCAAUGAUCUUCCAUUAUUUUUGCACUGUUCUACUUCAAAGCAGGGUCGCACGACGUCGUCAACAUGUCAAAUGGUGAUAACAAUAACUGCCACAGUACUUCUAUGUUCAAAGACUAACCAACGGACCAGCCAACUUUUCCCUCUACGGCGCCUGCAAGUAUUACUUUGUCUACACCUUUGCAAACAGCGAUCGUUGCUCUCAGGGCCAAAAAUUACCUGUCACCGUC